AUUAACUGAUGCUUUGACUUAUUAGCAGGUUGCAAUGAAUUAUUAACUGAUGCUUUGACUUAUUAGUUCUGCAGCUAAGUUAAAUAAAAUAAGGUAUUUUCAAAAGCAAAAUGGAAUACAUAGACAAAACAUCAUCUUAAACAAAUCACAAUCUAGAAUUAGAGUGUUGAUUUGAGAUUCUAGAUUGUGAUUUGAUCGGCUCAUUUGUUAAGAAGUGUUGAUUUGAUCGGCUCUGCAAAUUCUCUUGGGACUCGGUUCCAAUUCCUCUUCAUCAAAACUGUAAUAUAAUUCCCCUUCAUCAGAACUCGAAUCAAAUUCACUUGCAGCAGUUCCACUCGCGCUUGGCAAAUCAUCUAAUUUCCAAACUUCGGUAGCAAAAUUGAGAGUAAAAGUGUUGGCUUUGAUCUCGCUGGGAUUUGCAUAUACUGGACAUACUCCGCAACGUUUUAUCUUCUGACCCUUUUGGACCUUUAGGUUUCGGCAACACUCAUUGAAGAACUUAAGUGAGACAGUUGUAUGAUGGUAACCAUCAGGAAAGCCAACAUUCAAGCAAGGUUUAAAACCAAGUAUGACAUGAUCUGAAUCAAUGAGGUCUUCAAUUGAGUGCGAAUCGAAACUCAGAUGAACAUGUUUGGUUUCAGAGAGAGUCUUUAUUUCUAAGUCGGAUCGACAGCCGACGUAAACAUUACGAAAACGAUCAGAAUAAAGUUGCUUAAAAUCAAGAACAGCACAAAAAGCAAACCCGAUUAAGUUUCUGCAAAAAGAGUGCGGUGGCAGUUGAAUACGUAUUGAAGAUCCUGAACUUUGAUUGCUGAACCAGUCAGGAAUUUUGCUCCCAGGUAAAACAAUUUGGGAUCGCCUGAGUUCAGAAAGUUUCUGUGAAACGACAUUUAAAAAAAGAAAAUUGUCAAAUGAAAACCAUGAUUUCAGAUAUAACAAAGAGGGACAGAGUAAACAAGAGAGGGAAUUUGAUACCUCGUCGAUUGUCUUUCCCCGUCUCAGUGAUGCUGCAAUUGCCAUACGUAGUGAAUCUGCCAAAAUCUUGUUGUUUGCUUUUCCAUCAAGUUUCAAGCAGUUAGUAAACCGAAAAUAAAUUGGUUGUGACAGUCGAUAUUCCGGAUGCCAUUCACAAAGGUCAGGAGAGGGUUUGGAUAGCUUUUCGAGUACGGAUGCAUCUAGUUCUUGUAGACAUGACGGAAUCUCUGGCAAAGAUUGAAGCCGGUUGCAGUUCGUUGCAUUUAGUGAAUGUAGACACAAUGGAAGUUCUGGUAAUGACCGAAGCAUGUUACAACCCGUCAAGUCAAGAGAUUCUAGACACAAUGGAAGUUCUGGUAAUGACUGAAGCAUCUUACAACCCUCCAAGUGAAGAGACCUCAGCUGCGACAGUUGCUUGAUACUUGCAGGUAAGCUCUCAAAGCUAUUUCCACUUAGAUUUAAUGUUGUCAGUGAGGAUAGACAGGCAAUCUCUUGUGGAAUUUCCAUUACAGCACAGUUCCUCAUAUCUAGAUGUCCCAAAUAAGCUAAACCUAAUAAAAACGAUCGAGGCAAUGAUACCAAACCUUUGCAGCGAGAGAAGUAAAGAACUCCAAGUCUGUUUGAAUAUGCAACAGAGGAUGAUGGUAGUUGACUAAUAGCUGAUCCAACUGCUGAGAUGAUAAACAAACAUUUUAAAUUGCCAAUGUUAUCCGGCAACUUAUCAAGCUUAGAGCAAUCUUCUACGAACAAUUCUUCAAGCCCCGGUAGAUUUUCAAAUGACGAUGGCAGCUCUGUAAUUGCCGUCUUGUUUAAAUUGAUGCGUUCUAAAUGUUCCAUUUUCUCCAAGAUUUCUGGGAAGCGCUCAAGGUUCACGCAGCCAUUAAGAAAAAGAUCAACCAAAGAUCUCAAUUUACAAAACCUAGUUGAAAUCCUCUUCAGCCGUUUGCAAUACUUCAAAUUCAACUUUUUAAGAUCAGUUAGGCACUCUAUUGAUGACGGAACUUCUUCUAUUGCAGACUUGCUCAAGUUUAGCGAUGUUACUUUCCCAGAAAUCAGUGGAAACUCUAUGAGAUUAACACAAUAGGAGAAAUUAAUAGUUACUGGACAAACAAAAUGAAGAUUGCUUGGAAAAGACCUAAGACUUUUGCAGCCCUCAAAAGACAACGCACUGAGAUACUUGAAAUUCUGGAUAGAUGAGGGAACACAAGCCAAGUUUGUAUAAUCCAAAAGAUAUGUUUCAACAUUUGGGGUUUCAAAUGGGCCUGGCAUCUUAAUGAAAUGUUGAGAAUGGCUGAGGUUAAUAGAUUUUAACUUGAAAGCUUCCUGCAAUAACAGAUAUAUAAAGACUAUAUUAAUUAAAAAGCAACAUUGAAUUCAACAAUUAAUUGCACGUAUAUUUAAAGAAAGAAAAAAUUAAUGUUUUAGUUUUAGUACAAAACUUACCUUUUCUCCUUCCCAAAGUUGCUCAACUUUACUACAACUCAAAUUCAGUGCAACAAGGUUCUUUGGCUUGAAAUUUGAUGGCAGUGUCCUUAAUGGAUAUGUGUCCCAAUGAAGAUAUCUCAAUUUUUUAGGAAGAUAAUCUAGGCCAUUUGGAAGCUGCACUUUAGAGUAUGAAAGAUGCUCUUCAAUGCUCAUACUUGGAAGCUUUUCAAUCCCAUAAAAUUUGAGCAAUCUCAUAUUAGACAUAUUUGUGAAGGCUCCGGGGUCUAAAUUGAUGCGUUUUAUUUUGGACAAAUCCAGAAAUAUGCCUUCAAUUGCAUCGGUCCCCUUAUUAAAAAAAAAAAAAAGAAUGAGUAAGCCUAAAACUCAAAAGAAACAUUCGUAAACUUUAUUAAUUAAGAGCUCCUUAAACAAAAAUAAAUUACGCAAUCUUUGAUUUUAUUUUUUUAAUAUAUUAAAUAUCUAUAUGCGAGAAAAGAAAAUUUUGGGGACCAUUGCAAAAUUAAACUAACUGAAAAAAAAUUCAAAAUUUCUCUAAUUUACAAACCUGUUAUCUUAAUAUCUAGAAGUUGAGAAGACAAGGCCUAUUUGAUUGGUAUAAGAUUUCGAUUUUUUUUUUUUUUAGUCCAUAGAAUCCAAAAUGUUAGUUCAAAAUUAGGGAAAAAGUCAUUUUUUUUCCACUAGCUGUAAUUGUAUCCAAGUCAAAUUGAGAUACGACCCUUUUCAAAAGGAUUUAACCAUCUUACAGCCUCCUUAAGGCACAUUUAAGCUAAAAGGAGUGAUUGGAGGCAGAACUAGGUGGGCCAAUCAGUCCAUUUUAUUAGUGACCGUUGCUUAAAAAAAAUUAUACUCUAAACCACACUUACUUUUUUGAAAAAAAAAUGUAAUUAUAUUGAAAUAAAAUCAGGUGGGCCAAUCCUCAUGGCACUCACUUUGUUCUAACACUCUUCACUAAAUUUGAAGAAAAAUAAAAUUAUACUCUUCACACUCGUAUUCAACAUUCCAAAAUUGAUAAAAUCGGGAGUUUUCUUUAAAAAUUUAAAAUUUGAAGACUUGUUCUCUUGACACCCUCAGUCAUUAAUUUUACCUAAUUAUGGUUUUUAUGAUUUUGGUUGUUUUGUUCAUAAAAAUGCUUUUACUAAAGGAUGUUCUGGUAAUAAUAAAAUUUAUAAAAAAAACAUGGGUGUGCUGAUAUAGUUGGAAAAAUAUGAGUGCAUAACUCCAAACAAAUAAAAGAUAUAUAUAUAUAUAUAUAAAUGGAGGAUUCUUACCUUAUUAUGCUUUAGUACGCGGCGGAUUUCCUUAGGAUCCCACAACCUGCUGCGUUUGCCUGGCUCUUUCUCAGAUUCUUGGCGAACAAUCUGUCGCCCCAUUUCUUGCAAUAUAUCAUGCAUCUGCAAGGAAUCACCUGAUAUUGAUAUGAGUGACUUAUCAAUAAGGACAUCCAGUCCAUCAGACUCAGAAUCAUCAAGAAUCCUUGCCAGAAAAUCUUUAUCCCCUCCCUCGAAGAAACACGCAAUAUCUAGAAAUAUGCUCUGCACCCUGGGCGUUAAUUCAUAAAAACUAAUCUUUAAUAUUUCAUAAAUAUUAUGAAUAUCAGAUUCACAAAUCCGAUUUAAGUCGUCCAAUACAUUUUCCCAAUGGCUUUUCCUCUUGAGAUACAGGGAGGAACCCAACACCUUAAGAACUAAUGGAUUGCCUUUGGCAUACUUUACAAACCUCCGUGAGUGCCGAUUGAGAUCUUCAGGACAAUGAUUUUCUUUAAAAGCGAAGUUACAAAAAUGCUCGAAAGCCUCAUCCAAUCUCAAUCCAUUGACCCUAUAUAUUUUCUCCACUCCAAAUUUUUCGAGGACUCGUUUAUCCCUGGUGGUUACAACAAUUCUACUUCCUGGACCAUAUUGAUCAAGCCCUCCAAUCAAACCCUCUAAUUGUUCAUCUUUAUUCACAUCAUCGAGUACAAUCAACACCUUCAUGCGUCGGACCCUCCCUUUAGUAAAUUGUGGAAUAUUGGGACCAGCUACUUCAAGUUUUUCACUUAAUAUUGUCGAAAGCAUUUCCUUUUGUAGGUCUUCUAGGCCACCCUCUGUUUCUGAUUUUCUCCUAACAUUUUUUGCAAAGUAUUUACCAUCAAACUCACCAGAGAAUUGAUCGAAAAUAGCUUCAGCAAGGGUAGUUUUGCCUAUACCACCCGUGCCCCAAAUUCCAACAAUUUGGACAGUAUCCCACAAAUCCAUACACAAAAAUGGUUUAAUCUGCUCAAUUCGUGAAUUUAAUCCAACUAGGCCGUUGGAUGAGUCCGUUGAGACUGUUAUUUUUUCCAACUUCUUCAAAACAUCUUCGACAAUUUUGUUUACAAGUUGCGCAUCAAGCCUAAUAUGAAGGUGCAAAGAUGCAAAAACAUUGAGUCAAAUCGGGCCAAGACAGAAACAGAGAAAAGAUGAAUUAGGAAAGAGAGUUACCUGAAUUUCGUGGAUUCAUGGCCGGCUAGAUGGGAUGUUUCUGUCAGUGCAUCCCUCCACUUCUGAACCAUUUCUGGUUUAUCUUUGAACUGUUUUUUGAGCUCAUCAAAACGGUCUCCAAAUGUUCCGUUUUGAUGCCGCACAUCAGAUGGACUUACUCCAUAGAAGACUGGAAUAAUAAUUUGGCCGUUUGUGUUCUUGCAUUCAAGAAUCUUGACAAGUUCAUUCAGGCACCAUUUUGAAGAAGCGUAGUCCUUUGAGAAAAUGACCACCGAAAUUUUUGAACCUUGGAUUGCGUACAAAAGGGCGGGUGAAAUCUCAUCUCCUCGCCUAAGCCCUUCAUCAUCAAUAAAUGUUUUGAUUUUCUUUCCUUCAUACAAUUUAUCAUAGAGAUAGCAAGUAAAGCUCUUACGAGUGUCCUCCCCUCUAAAGUUGAGGAAGACUUCAUAAUUGCCACAAGAAGAAGAGGAAGCCAUGAAGGAAAUUUUAGAAAAUUGGUGACAGAAACAGAGAAUUAAUCUUGAGAGUUGAGAGAGGAGAUGUAAGAAUGAACAUGUGUGAAGAUUCUUGCGAGUACAUAGUAAAUAAUUGAAUGGCUGGAGCUUUCUUAGUUUCCUGGAAAUUUCCUGGAGCUUUCGUAUACAUGAUUUGUCAAGUCAUGAAACAUAAUCAUGAUAAUGGGGCAGACCAAAAAGAAAAGCAACAAUUCAAAUAUUUGAUUCAACCAGUAUAAAAAGGAAGGAAAAGCAAAGAAAGGAAAUGUUGAAAGUAGAGUUAGGGAAUUAUAAAAAGCUGAAGGAAAUUGGAAUUUUGUACAAUUUCUCCAGCGAGGAACUUUCACAGUCGUUACCUCAUUGUUACAGUUUAGAUUAAGAUUUGAGGGUGCAAGCAUUUACCUAGAUUUUACCUCCGCACUAAAUUCUUAAGUUUGAAAAAUUAUGAGACCUUUAUAUUGGAAGAUAUUAUAAUCGAAUCAAAACUUAAAAUUUUAAUAUUGUUAAUCUUUAAUCUUUAAAAAAAAUUACCUUGCCGUUACAAUUUGGAUUAAGAUUUGAAUAAGCAUUUACCUAAAUUUUAUCUCCGCCUGUAAAUUCUUAUGUUUUAAAAAUUAUGAGACCUUUAUAUUGGGAGAUAUUAUAAUCGAAUCAAAAUUUUGAAUUUCAAUAUUAUUAUUCUUUUAAAAAAAUUUGAGAUAACAGAGUGAUUGAUAAUAGAGAACUUGUCUAGGCAAACACAUGCAUACACAAAAAUGUGAUGGAUUCAAAAAGAAAUUAAAGUGAUAAUGUACGUGGAUCCUUAAAACAAAAAGCGAAAUCGCUUGGUGGCCCAGUAAAAUUAAGACUGAAUAUUUUUUACACGAGAAGUCAAGCUCAUAAAUGGCAAAAGCCAUUUCAUUUCACUUUUACGCGUCAUUGACUUUUGUAACACGGUGUAUGCAUCGUCAAGUGGGGCAAAAGGGUUUCGAUUACAGUGGGAAAACAUGAACAAGAAUGCAUAAUGAAUAAUUCUUUCGAUAAAGCGAAAAUUAAACACAGAAUAAUCCUAAAAUUUAAACUCUAAUAUCUUAUAAUGUAUUGAUUAAAAAUAAUCCUAAGAGUUCCCAAUUGAAACUUUCAUAAGUAUUUUUAUUGUUUUGGAUAAACAAAUUGCACUAGGAAAACAAUUUGGCAAAUUCAGAGGAUAAUGAAAAAUAGCUAUGCUUCAAUAGGCCAAAGAUUAGAGAACAAAGAAGAAUUAGUUAUUGAUAUACGAAAGAGAAACACUCCAAAAUUUCAAGCAAAAUAUUUUCAUAUACCAUUUCGAUUUUGGAAGGGGUGUGGUUUUGAACUUCAAUAGUUUCCUCUAAAAUCAAAAGGCAGCAAUUAAGCUAGAAAGAGCAAAGAAGACUUUUUGGUACCUUAUUGAAGGUAAACAUUAUGGAACUUCCAAUGUCAUUACCUCACUGUUUAAUUUUUAUUGAGAUUUGUGCAAGCAUUUACCUAAAUCUUACCUCUGCCUGUAAAUUCAUAAGUUUUGAAAAUUAUGAGACCUUAUAUCGGGAGAUAUUAUAAUCGAACUAAAACUUAAAAUUUCUUUUCUUUUCUUUUUUUAUCAUAAAAGGGCUCUUAAGAGAGCUACGACAACACUAAGUGGGAGUGUGCAACCCCAUGAACAUCAUUAAUCAAUAUGUUUAGCGUAUUUGGAGGAAUAGAUUGAAAGCAAUGUAAACCCAAAGGAAACAAAAAGCUGUACGAAGUAAGGAAAUCUGCUGCUACAUUGGUUUCUCGGUAGAUAUGAUCCACUUUGAUCAGCCAAUCACGCCAAAGGAGUUCUUCGAUGGCCUGAAUGAGAAUAAAAUGCUCAUUGACGGGAGGGUUUUAGUUAGAGAUUAACUUCAUAACACACAUGCUGUCUACUUCCACGUAAAACUUAAAAUUUCAAUAUUAUUAUUCUUUAAAAAAAAAAUUGAGAUAUCAGAGUAAUAUCACAUAGAAAAACUUGCCCACGGACGGUAAGCCAAAUGUCUAGUCAACCACAUGCAUAAAGCUAAGUAGAACAAGAGAACAGAGAAACGCGUGGGUCCCUAAAGAAAAGGCAAGCACAUAAAUGAAAAAGCCAUUACAUUUCUAUUAACACGGUGUGGCAGCAUAUGCACAAUCAAGUGAGGCAAAAGGGAUUCGCUUAUCGUGGCAGAACAUGGACGAGGACGCGUGACGAAUAAUUCCUUCGAUAAAACGAAAAACAAACGCAGAGAAAAGAAUUUCUUAUAUGACAAGAAAUCAAAGAAAUGUGAAGGAACAUGAUGAAGAAAUUGCAGACUGAUCAAUUAUCCCCAUGGACUCCUAUAAAUUCAACCAAAAUAACAAUUCGAAUCUUACCAAAUUCUUGAGUUAAAUUUAUUCAAUGCUUUUAUUUUUUUAGAGAAAUUUUUUCCAUUGCUACUUUCCCUUUUUUGGGGAAAUUAGAACCGCGGCAUGUAUAGAAAACAUUGAGGUGUAAAGCAACAUUAAUUUCAUGGGAUAUGCGUUAUACGCAUAAUAUAUUUUCAGUCCAAAUUCAACUAUACAAAGAGGCUUGAGAACUUAAAAUUAAGCACAAACUAAACAGACGAAGUAAAUACAUGAUUAUGCAACAUAACAUUAAUUCUCUUAAUUUAUAACUGUUUUUGCCACAUGAAUCUUGCACAGUUAAUCCUAAUUGAAGACUAAAAAAGAGCAAUUGGAAGAAGGUUUUGGAAUAGAAUGGUAUACAAUCGAUAUGAUCCUUUUCCAGUAGUCAACGCUAAUUAACUGCAGUUUCUAGACUCCUAAUUAUACUAGCCAUAGAAAACUGGUGAUCAAAUUAGAUUUUGAAAGGAAAUAAUGUUCAUUUUCCCUUCGCUGCCUUUUUUUUUCUUUUCUUUUUAUAGCAAAGAAUUAUAUCAUGAAAAGAAUCAAUUUAAUCACCUUUUCCAGCAGCACAAUUUUUCUUUUAUAAAAUUUGACCACAGAGACAAAGAAGAAUUAUUCAUACCUUCAUCAGUGAGGAAAUACUUUUCGGUAUGGCUAGGGUGAGAAAAGGCUUUCCACAAACACUUGUACUUUGUAUUCCUGUAAAUUUUCUUUAAAGUCAAUAAAAACCAUAAGUUCUUUACAAUAACCACCUCUUUGAUAAAAAAGUGCCGUAUUCCUUUAGAAUUUAAAACCGGCAAAAUCGGAAUCAGUGUCUUUGAAGAGACAUAAUGGUCGUAAUUCUUUAAAUGAGUUGGCUAUGGAAAUCCUUAUCCAAGAUUCUUUUACGCCAUAUUCUUUCGUAAACCAAAAUUCAUUUUGGAAUACUCUGUUGAGAAUGUCAAAUAAAACGGCAUUGAAGGAAGUUUUCAAAGGUAGAAUCCGCACUUGUCAAAGGGAUGAUCUGCACUUGUCAAAGACACGAUCCGCGUCAAACGAAUCGACACAUUUCCUUUCGUAUUCGCAUAUGUAAUCUUUGAAAAAAUGUAGCUUCUGCAUCUAUAAAUAACGCUCAGUGUAUAAUGUUUUAUUCAAGAAAAAAAACAAGUUUCUUCAUACUCGUCGUCCGAACAUACAGAGACCGUCUCUCAUAACUUCAGCCGAAUACUUGUGAUGAUGAUCAUUUGUGAUUUCAUCAGGCAAAGGGUUGAUGGUGAAAAUUUUUGUAUGUGUGAAGAAUUGAGCUGUGGAUAUAGGGGACUUAAGUGUAAUCGAAAGAGAGUUAUUAGGUCAUAGUGCAGAUUGCAUUCAGUUUAUGGGUCGCUAUGCAGAUAAUUUGUUGACGUGGCGAAAUCUGUUAUGGUCGUUAGUAUUGUUUCUGGAAAUUUUCUAGAAACCUCAGCAUAAAAGGGGCUUUUGCAUAGCCUCUGGUGUGCGUGUGAUUUCUCUUUCGUUUCCUCAUCAAAUUCUGUAAUUCUUGCUUUGAUAAAAAGCUUGUAAUCUCUUCUGUAAUGUGUGAUCAGUGCGUAAUCAUUUUGAGCAAUAAACGCUUGUGGGUUUUUCCUUCAAACAGUGUCGUUUUGGUCAGUUUGUUAGUUUGAUCUGUUGGUGGAAUUUUCUUUGGUUAUUUGUUCUCAAAAUUCAACCGUAUAUAAAGUUUGAACUCUAAUGGCUUAUAAUGUAUUGAUUAAGAAUAAUCCUAAGAGUUCCCGAUUGAAAUUUUUAAUGACUAUUUUUAUUGUUUUGGAUAUACAAAUUGCAUUAAGAAAAAAUAUUGUCAAAUUCAGAGGAUAACGGGAAAUAAUUAUGCUUCAAAAGGCCAGAGAUUUGAGAACAAAGAAGCAUUCAUUACUGAUAUACAAAAGAGAAACACUCCAAAAUUGCAAGCAAACUAGUUUCAUAUACUGUUUGGAUUCUGGAAGGGGUGAAGUUUUGAACUUCAGUUGUUCCUCUAAAAUCAAAAGCAGCAAUUAAGCGUUCUCAAUUAGAAAUAGCAAAGAAGACUUAUUCGUACCUUACUGAAGCUAACAUUAUGGCACGGUUGUUCAUAUGUAAUGGCUGCUCUGUUAUGCUAUAUGCUCUGUUAUGCUAGCUUCUCUGUUUUUGCUUACAGUUUUGAACAUAAAUUCUUGCUCAAAUAACCCAUAAUUAAAUAACACUAAUAUGGCUCCUGAAAUCCCAUAAUAGCUAAUUACGCAACUUUCUCCUCCUCCUCAAUUAUGUCUUCCCCUGCUCGGACACUAACUUCAAAAUUCAAUGCCCCGAAAAACAACACAAGAAAUCUUUGAGUUAAAUCGUGACCAGUUUAUAUAUCGUAGCAAUUGAAAAAGAAAAAGAAGAAAAGAGUUAAUUAUUAUUCAGACCUUCACUUAUUAGGAAGUUUGUUCUGCUAUUGGGUGAGAUCAAGCUCUCAGCAUAUACUUCCACAUGAUACUUUCUAACAUUUUCUUGAAAGCCAUCAAUCAUAAAAUCUUCAUACUUUUUUCCAUCCUUUGGAUCAAUAAGUACAAAUUUCUCAUCUAAAACAGACAAAAUAAAAUCACUGUCCUUCAUGGAACAUAAUGGCUGCAAUGCCUGAACUGAAUUGGCUAAUGAAACAUAGUCUUCUUUUCUUUCUCGACAUGGAACAUAGUCUUCUUUUCUUUCUGGACAUAUGUCUCUGUACUUUUCUCUCUCUACUGAUCCACACUUUUUCAUACUUCUAACUAUCAUUUUGUUUUUUUUUUUGGUUAAGUUGUGAUUUAUUCAAUUAUUUUGUAUUUUUAAUGACAAUUAUUUAAUAUUUAGUUAGUUUUGAUAUUGAUUAGUGAUUGAAAGUGUAUUUUAGAAGACUUCCGGUCUCUUGGAAAAAGGAAAAAUGGAGACGAAGAAGAAGUGUUCUUGAUUUUUUUGUAGGCAUUAAAGUUAAACGGUUUGAAAUGAUAUUUUGUUUUAAUUUCACUCAUUAAUCUCAUUCAGGAUAAAAUUAUAAAUGCAAAUAAAUGGGGUUUCAUGAGUUUUUUUUAAUAGUGUUAAAAGGUCUACUCACUAAAUAAACAUGUUUUACCCAAACCAAUCCGAUUAAUAAAGUUAUUGGGUUGGGUUGAUCAGGUUAAAAAUCAAAAUUAAAAAUUAAAUAAAUAAAAAAGGCGUUAAAACUAUCUGUUACUUGAAAAUAAAAAGAAUUUCAAAUAGUUAGUUCUAAUGUCCCAUAUCCAAAACAUGCAUAUUAAAUAAAUAUUAUAAGUUAGAGAUAAAAUAUCCAAGAAAUAAUGAAUGAAUGAAAUACCAUAUUUUUGUUGAGAAUUAAGAGUGUGAUUUUAAUUUUGAUAUUGGAGUCUAAAGCAAUAGAUAGUACAAUGAAAUCAUGAAUGCCACAUUUAAAUAAUGUCUUUUAUAAAAUAAUAAAAAGAAGUUAAAAAUUAGGUUAGCCAUUUAGGCGUUUAGGGUUUAGCAGUUAAGGAUGAACAUAUUAUUAUUAUUGUUGUUGUUGUUGUUAUUAUAACAAUUAUUAUUUACAUAUUAAUUAAUCCAACCCAACCCAAUUAUUAACAAACUAGGAAAUAAAACCGCACUUCGUGCGGCUUUAAAAGAAAAUUAAUAUUAUUUUUUUAUUACUUUACAAUUGAUGAAACUAAUAAAAAAUAUGAAUUAUUUUUAAAAUGACGUAAUCUUAUAAAACUAAUGUUAUUUAUGAAAGUUAAUUAUUUUUUUGUUAACAUUAAAAAUAUAUAUUAAUGUGUAUAGUUAAGUGUACACAACUUUUUCAUCAAUAAAAAUUAUGUUCACAUUAAUCAACUCUCCAUUUUUCUUAGUAUUAACAGACUCUCACAUCUUACAAAGUCUGACCCUUAUUAUUCAACUAUCUUUAUCAUAGUUUAACUCAUGAAGAAAAUAGUACUCCAUGAAGCAUACAAUACUAAAAAUUUAAAUAAGUCAAAAAAUAAAAACACAAAAACAUUUCUAAAGAGAAUGUUGGUUAAAUAAUAAAAAAAACUCAAACAUAACAAAUCUUAAAUGCUUAAUAUUUAUAGAGCUUGAAGAAGCCAAAAGAUACUAAAUAAAAGGUUGCAUAAUUAAAUAUAGGAUUAUAACAUUAAAAUUAGGUCAUAAGGCAUUGGUGAGGGAAGAGGAAGGAACAUUCCUUCUUAUAUUAAUUAGUUGAUGUAUUUUAAACCACUAAAGUUUAUUUGUUGGCUUAAUAAAAUAAAUGAAUGUUUCAAAACUUAUAAUUAAUUUAUUAUUAAUGGUUAUAUAUUGUUGAAUUUAAAUAGAAAGAGAAAGAGACAUGUAAUCUUUUGUAAUCUAUUAAUUAUUUUAUAUUUUUAAUAUUUUGUAAUGUAAUUAUUUUUUAAUCUCAACCAAUAUGUUAGAUAAUAGAGAAUAUAAAAAGAUGAGAAAUAAUAAUGCCACAAAUCUUAACUACUUAAUAUUUAUAGAGUUUGAAGAAGUCAAAAGGUACUAAACAAAAGGUUGCAUAAUUAAAUAUGAGAUUAUAGCAUUAAAAUUAGACCCCACUGGCAUUAUUGAGAGAAGAUGAAGGAACAUUCCUUCCUAUAUUAAUUAAUUGAUAUAUUUAAGCUACUAAAAUUUAAUUGUUGGCAUAAUAAAAUAAAUAAAUGUUUCAAGAUUUAUAAUUAAUUAUUAUUAAUGGUUACAUAUUAUUGAAUUUAAAUAGAAAGAGGAAGAGACAUGUAAUCUUUUAUAAUCUAAUAAUUAUUUUUAUUUUUAAUAUUUUAUAAUGUAAUUAUUUUUUUAAUAUCAACUAAUUUAUUAGAUAAUAGAGAAUACAAGAAGAUGAGAAAUAGUGAUGUCACAUCACCUCCUCUAGUCCCAACUUUAUAUAUAUAUAUAUAUAUAUAUAUAAUAUUUUGUAAUGUAAUUAUUUUUUAAUCUCAGCCAAUAUAUUAGAUAAUAGAGAAUAAAAAAAGAUGAGAAAUAAUGAUACCACAAAUCUUAAAUAUUUAAUAUUUAUGGAGUUUGAAGAAGCCAAAAGGCACUAAACAAAAGAUUGAAUAAUUAAAUAUGAGAUUAUGACAUUAAAAUUAGACUCUAAUGGCAUUGUUGAGGGAAGAUGAAGGAACUUUCCUUCCUAUAUUAAUUAAUUAAUGUAUUUUAAGCCACUAAAAUUUAAUUGUUGGCAUAAUAAAAUAAAUGAAUGUUUCAAGACUUAUAAUUAAUUAUUAUUAAUGGUUACAUAUUGUUGAAUUUAAAUAGAAAGAGGAAAAGACAUGUAAUCAUUUAUAAUAUAAUAAUUAUUUUCUAUUUUCUAUUUUAAUAUUUUGUAAUGUAAUUAUUUUUUAAUUUCAACCAAUUUAUUAGAUAAUAGAGAAUAUGAAAUGAUGAGAAAUGGUGAUGCCACAUCACCUCUUGUAGUCUCAACUUUAUAUAUAUAUAUAUAUAUAUAUAUUAAUUCAUGUCUUUUAUACCACUAAAGUUUAAUUGCUAGCAUAAUAAAAUAAAUAAAUGUUUCAGAAGACUUAUAAUUAAUAUUAUUAAUGAUUACAUAUUGUUGAAUUUAAAUAGAAAGAGAAAAAAAUUACAAAGAAUAUCCACCAAUAUUUUAGAUAUUUUAGAUAAUAGAAAAUAUAAAAAGAUGAGGAAUGAUAUAUAUUAAUAAAGUUACUAUUUAUUAAAUGAGUUAAAUACAAUCAAAUUAAUUAUGAGAAGAUGAAAAGCCAAAUCUAAAAAAAAAAUCUCUAUUUAUUAGAUAAUAGAGAAUAUAUAAAGAAGUAAAAUGGUGAUGCCACAUCACCUACUCAAGUCCUAGCUUUAUAUAUACACUAGAAAAUAGAACCGCGUUUCACGCGGCUUUGAAAAAAAAUUUUAAUGUUAUCUUUUUUUUUUAUUUUGCACAUGAUGAAACUGAUAAAAAAUAUGAAUUGACUUUUUUUUAAGAUGAAGCAGCCUUAUUAAAAAAAAACUAUUAGCCAGCAAUACAAAUAAAGAAGUAAUGUAAGAUAAAAAAUAAAAUGAGAGAAUAUAUUAUAGAAUGAUUUUAUUCAUUCUAAUUGUGUGGUACAAAACAAAAAGAUGAGCUCUCAUUUUAUAGUUACAUAAUCACUCCAUGAAAUUAAUGAAAAAUUAUGGAUCAUAAUUCCUUGUGAGAUAGUGGGAGUUAUAGGGAAGCUAAAGGUUGCUAAUGGAAGAUAGUGGGGAGACUAAGAGAUAUAUGUUAUGAACAUCUACAUUUAUUUUAAUAAAUUCAUAACACUCCCCCUUUGAUGUUCAUUAUAAAAAAUAUGCCUCAUUAAAAUCUAUUAGCCAACAAUACAAAUAAAAAAGCCACACAAUAUAAAGAAUAAAAUGAGAGAAUAUAUUAUAGAGUGAUUUCAUUCAUUCCAAUUAUGUGUGUACAAAACAAAAAGAUGAGCUCUCCUUUUAUAGUUACAUAAUCACUCCAUGAAAUUAAUGAAAAAUUAUGGAUCAUAAUUCCUUGUGAGAUAGUAGAAGUUAUAGGAAAGCUAAAGGUUACUAAUGGGAGAUAGUGGAGAGAGUAAAAGAUAUAUGUUAUGAACAUCUACAUUUAUUUUAAUAAAUUCAUAACACUCCCCUUUGGAUGUUCAUUACAAAAAAUAUGUCUCAUUAAAACCUUUAUAUAAUUGUUAUUGUGUAAUAACAAUCAAAUUAAUUAUGAGAAGAUGAAAAGUCAAAUCUAAAAGAAAAUUUCUCUAUUUAUUAGAUAGAUAAUAGAGAAUAUACAAAGAUGAGAAAUAGUGAUGCCACAUCACUCUCUCAAGUCUCAACUUUAUAUAGAUAUAUAGAUUUGAAAUGAUUGACUCAAUUAAUCCACAAUAAUUCAUUCAACUCGUCUAAAUUAGAUUAUGUUGAAUUUGAUUUGCUACACCUACAUUGAGCAACAAACCUCAACGACAUUCUACGAGCUCUUUGAUUGUUUAUAAAAUUGAUUUAGAGUACAUAAAGUGUAUCGACAAUGAAAGUGCAAAACAAAUUAUUGUACAUAUUAAAAUGUGCAAAACAAUGAAUUAUAUGUACAAACGAGUGCAAACACAUUUUUCAAUAAGAAGUUAAAAGAUAUUUAUGCAUGAAAAAGCCUACGUUUGUAGUUAUUCUAAAUUUUAAAAACAAAAUUUACAUUUAGAUCCCUAAAAUUUACGUAUAAGUAUAAAAGUUUCAAAUAUUGUCUAUUAUUUUUUUAACAUGCCUAUUCCUUAUGGAUAAUUCUGUCUCAUCACUAAUGUUGUUUCUUGCUUAGAAAAAAUAAAUGUCAUCUCCUUUUACAAUUUUUAUAGCGUCUCGAAAUAGACAAUAGGGGAUUUUGAAUUUUUUAAGUCUCAAGAUAGUCUCUAAUCGUGUGAGAAAGAUUUUCUUUCAAUAAUUUGGAGCUAAACAUAACAUAUUUUUUAGACUAAAAUCUAACUCUGCUGGUUAGUAGUUGGUGGUAUCCUUUUCAAGACUUGAGUCUUUAGAUUCGAGUUUUAUAUAGUGUACAUGUGUAUUUAAUUAAUAAUUUUUUUCAAAAAAAAAAAUUACAUCAAAUACUAAUAUUCAUGACAUAAUUUAGUUCAUAAUUUUUUUAAAUACAUCGAAAAAUAUAAUUUUUUAACAACUUAUAGGCACGACAAAUUUCAAGAUAUAAAUAUCAGUCAAAAUAAAUGAAAGAAAUAAUGGUGUCAAUUCUAAUUUCUUAACUAAAUUAAUUAUUGCAUGAGCCCCGAAUACGACAUGAGAGUUUGAUGGGCUAACUUGGCACAAGAACGCGAAUAGUUAACUCAUUUAAGAAAUAAUUCAACAAAAAAUAUAAUUGAUAAGAAUUCAGUAUUGAAAUGAAUUUUUUACGAAACAUUGAAUUAAUGAUUAUUAAGCAAGAACAAUAAAAAAAUAAAAUAAAAAUAAAUAUUAACCAUUGAUAAGCUUCAACAAGAACUUAACACAACCCUCAAUCCUAAUUCAAAUCAUAAAUGUCAUUCAUAUAUUCAUUAUAAAUCAAUAACAAAGGUUAUAAAUGUUUAGAAAUUCUAGAGGGAAGGAAGCUAUCUCCGGGGAAUCAACAACUAAAUUUGAUGUAAUUGUGGCACACGAUGGAAUAUGGAAACUACACCAUAAUUUCAAAUGCCGCCAUAGACAUUGACUUAUCUACAAUAACAAUGAUCUAAUUAAAAUUAAAAUAAAGUUUAUGGGCAUUUAUUAUUUUGCCAUUUCUCAUUUGCAAACAGGGAUAUAAUUAUAAUUUUACUUAGUCAAAGCAAUCAGUAAUUUUCUUCAUUAUCGGAGUGAAGUAAAAACAUUUAGAUUUUAAUGAGUGUACGGAAAAUUUAUCUUUAAAAAUACUUUCUUAAUGUGUGUGUAUAUAUAUAUUGAAAUAUUAUGCUAUCAAAAGUUAAUUUUAGAAAUUCCAAAUCCAAUAGCUAACACAAUUCUUUAAAGAAAAAAAAAAAAAGGUUGAUAAUCAGCAAUUAGUAUUACUUUCUAAACUUACUUCAACUGGUCGUUAAUGAGGGGCCUUGGGCAAGAGUGAUGAAUGUUUAGUCGGUGCAUUUGAUUGAUAGAUAUAUAAAGGGCCGAAACUUGAGAUUAUAUUACUUUUACAAAUUUUAAUCCAAUCACAUAUUUACUGAAACACAAAAUGAGUUAGGAUACUUUAUUUAGAACCCACAUUUUAAUAAGGCUUCAUUUGAUGUAGUUUUUCAAACAGUGAUUAUUUGAGUAAAGUUUCCUCAAUAGAGUUUUUAUCAAAUAAAUUUUAUUUAUUUGGUUGUCGAUAAGAACUUUUAUUAAAAAUUAUAAAAUUAUUUAAAUAAACAUAUUUUUUUAAAAUUACAUUAUAAAAAGAAUUAAAUAAAGUUAUAAAAGUAAAAUAUAUUUUAGAUAUUUUAAUAUUUAAGAAAAAAAUUUUGAAUCUCUACUUUCAGAAGCUCAAAUUUUUAGUUUUUAGUUGUAGAGACAAAAUAUCUUAUUUAAUCUUUAAAAGUUCUGCUAAAAACAAUCAAAUAACUAUAAAAUUUUUAAUAAGAGUAUAUAAAAUUAAAUAAGCAUUUAUUAAUAAUCACUUUAGUGUACUUAUCUAAUGACCAUAAGUGUUUAUUUAAUCUCAUAAGUUCUUAUUUAAUCUCAUGAGCUCUUUUCAAUUUUUUUUGUUGUUUGCUUUUUUUAGUAGAGUUUUUGAAAAUUAAAUAAACUAUUUUGUCUCUAUUAGGAAAAACUCAAAUUUUAGGUUUUUGUGAGUAAAUGUUUAAAUUUUUUUAAAAAUAUUAAAAUAUUAAAGUAAAAGUUGUAGAGACAAAAUAUCUUAUUUAAUGUUUAAAAGUUCUGCUAAAAAUAAUCAAAUAACUACAAAAAUUUUAAUAAGAGCAUAUAAAAUUAAAUAAGCAUUUAUUAAUAGUCACUUUAGUAUACUUAUCUAAUGACCAUAAGUGUUUAUUUAAUCUAAUGAGCUCUUUUUAAUUUUGUUUGUUUGUUUUUUUAGUAGAGUUUUUGAAAAUUAAAUAAACUAUUUUGUCUCUAUUAGGAAAAACUUAAAAUUUAGGUUUUUGUGAGUAAAUGUUUAAAUUUUUUUUAAAAUAUUAAAAUAUCUUUUCUUUAUUUCAUAAUCUUAUUUCAUUCUUCACAACAUAACUUUAAAUAACUCACCUAUUAAAAUAAUUUCACAAUUUAUAAUAAAAAUUUUAAUUGACAAUCAAAUAACAAAUUUUUUUUUAUAAAAACUCUAAUAAUAAAAAUUCUACUUAAAUAAAUUAUAUUUGAAAAGGUAUACCAAACGAACCUAACAUAAAAACAAAAAUUUUUACAUCCACACAAUUAAGCUUAAAACAAUUUCAAAUGAAUUUUAGACUACUCAAAGUACAAUACGUACCAAGUUUGGUAACUUAUUGGGGUCCGCUUGUAAUACAGCUCAUGAGCUCUUUUUAAAAAAAUUUUGAAUCUCUACUUUCAGAAGCUCAAAUUUUUAGUUUUUAGUUAUAGAGACAAAAUAUCGUAUUUAAUGUUUAAAAGUUCUGCUAAAAACAAUCAAAUAAUUACAAAAAUUUUAACAAGAGCAUAUAAAAUUAAAUAAGCAUUUAUUAAUAAUCACUUUAGUGUACUUUAUCUAAUGACCAUAAGUGUUUAUUUAAUCUCAUGAGCUCUUUUUAAUUUUUUUGUUGUUUUUUUAGUAGAGUUUUUAAAAAUUAAAUAAAUUAUUUUGUCUCUACUAGGAAAAACUUAAAAUUUAGGUUUUUGUGAGUAAAUGUUUAAAUUUUUUUACAAAUAUUAAAAUAUUUUUUUCUUUAUUUCAUAAUCUUAUUUCAUUCUUCACAACAUAACUUUAAAUAACUCACCUAUUAAAAUAAUUUCACAAUUUAUAAUAAAAAUUCUAAUUGACAAUCAAAUAACAAUUUUUUUUUAAUAAAAAUUCUACUUAAAUAAAUUAUAUUUGAAAAAGUAUACUAAACAAACUUUUUUUAGACUAAUCAAAGUACAUCUUCUCAUAAAAUAAUUUCACAAUUUCUAAAAAAAACUCUAAUUGACAAUUAAGUAACAACUUUUUUUUUUUUGUAAAAACUUUAUUUAUAAAAAAUCUAAUAAUAAAAAUUCUAUUUAAAUAAAUUAUAUUUGAAAAUGUAUACUAAACCAACCUAACAUAAAAACAAAAAUUUUUACAUCCAGACAAUUAAGCUUAAAACAAUUUCAAAUGAAUUUUAGACUAAUCAAAGUACAAUACGUACCAAGUUUGGUAACUUAAUUGACAUCUUCUCAUAUAACCUUCGAUCAAGUCGAUUCUGACCUGACGACUAAUUGGUACAUCACCGUUGUUCUCUAUACUCGCAUGCAUCCGAUCACAAAUCUCACUCCAAUUGUCGUCUUUCUUCGGCGUUUUAGCGCAUCCUUCUUGAAUUUCCCGCAUUUCGUUCCCUCCUGUUACAAGUCUCCGGUCAGGUCAGUUCACUUGACGAUUAAUUCGGCAAAUCUCGAAUCUCUUCUCUAUCCCUCUCGUUUUCUCGUGUCUCCUUUCAGUUUAAGUGAUUGAAUCAAUUUUAUCGCAGUCUUAAGAGAAAUUAAGUAAUGCUCUUGGAUUUAAAAUUUUUUUGCUUUCGACUUUAGAUCUCGAAAGUCAAACUCUGCUACGAAUCCAUAGAUUCUCAAUGUUUAUAAUCUUAUUUGUGUUUGACCAGGUAACUGGAUCGUGAAAUUCGUCGUUUUGUAUCAAUUCAGGCUUUCGCGAGCUCAUGGAAUCACCUGGUGAGUUGUGGUGAAACGUUAUCGUUUCAAUUUUCGCUUAAUUCUUUAUUGCAUAUUUUUUCUCUAACAUUUCAGUUUAAUUUAGAAAAGAAAGAGGACCCAAAAAGAGAGAGAGAGAGAGAGACUCUACCAUACUCAAUUCCUUGCUCAUUCUGAUUUGGCCUGAAUGUUGGCAUUGACUAUUAUUUGUUUUCAUUUCGAUUUAAUUCUCAUUUAGACAGUCUUUACUAACGGUCAAUAAUAGUUUAAGGAAAAUGAUAAUAGGGAUUCUGCAAUAAUCUUUCUGCAUUGUUCAAGUUAGUAGACGAUGAAUAGGAUGUUUAUGUUUACCUCAUUUUGAACCCUGAGGGCUUCGUUGAGUAGUUGAUUCAACAUAUCCAGCAACGGUUGAUGUGAGAACAGGAUGCCACUUAGAUAGGCUUAAACUGAUUUUGGAGGUUUGUAUUGGUUCUAUUGUACGUCUUGCUUACAAAUUUUUUAUUUUUUAUUUUUAAUUUUGUAUAAUAUGCUCUUUGUUGGUAAAUCUCAUUUGACUUAGAAGAGAUAGUUUUAUCCCAACAGUGGGAUAAAUCAUUGAGAUGCAUGGCAGUGUGAAUAUAGUAGACAAAAUCAUUGAGACACAUGGUGGUGUGAACAUAGUAAACUUCAUGGAAGCAAUGAAGCUUGAAAUUGAACGUCUGCAGCUGAAUCUUUCUGCAGCUGAAAGGGAUAGAGCUUUAUUGUCAAUCGGAACUGAUCGUGCCUCUAUAAAUCCAAAUGUAUUGCUUGAUGAAUCUUACAUGGGAAGACUGUGUCGAGUAGCAACCACUCUUGCAUUACUUGGCCAAACUUCCCUAGAAGACAAAAUUGUUGGUGCAAUUGGCCUUGAGAAUAGUGAUGAUAGUGUUUUAGACUUCUGGAAUAUUACUAGAAUCGGAGAGAGUUGUUCUGGUGGCUGGUGGCGGGUGCAAGGUUCGUGCAGAAACUAAGGUGCCUGCUCUUGCUUCCUCAACUGCAACAUCUGUUGGAGCUUCACAAUCCCCUUUGUUGUGUUCUCAAUGUGAAAGAAAAGUUUGCAAAGUUUGUUGUGCAGGAAGAGGAGCUCUACUGUUUUCAAAUUAUAAAUCAAGGGAUGUGACCAACUACAAUGGCUUCUCAAGUCAGAGUGGAUCAAGCCAUGGAAGCCAAGUUGAUGUACCUACCAGUCGUUCACUAACACUGGAUGGCGUUGUCUGUAAACACUGCUGCCAUGAGAUUGUGCUUGAUGCAUUGAUGUUGGACCAUGUUAGGGUCUUGAUUAGCUUGCGAAGAAGUUCCCGUGCAGACAACACAGCAUACAAUGCUUUGAAUGAGGUUGUUGGAUCCUGCUUAAAGGAUAGUCUUUCUGAAAGGAUUCAGUCUUCCGAUAACGUGCAAGCUGCUGAAGUCCUUCACCAAUUAUGUGGUGGACAGGAAUCAGUUGCUGAAUUUCCAUUUGCUAGCUUUUUGCACUAGGUAUGUUCUUGGUUUGUAUUCAGUUCUCAUCAUGUUAUGUUUUCCUUUUAAAUUUCUUUUCUUGAUUAAAAUUUUUAGAAAUAUGUUUUAGUAUUUGUUCUUAUGAUAUAUGCCCAGAACAUUCAUCCCACUUAUCCAUGAGAAUCCUUGUCUGGUUUGAUUUUCAAUUGAGACAUUUUUGGGAACCCUGAGCAGGUUCCAUAUGCUAAUAAUCUUUGAGGUAAGGUGUUGUAGGAUGCCUUGAGAAGCUAAAAACCAAUUACAAGGAAAAGCUCUUGCAUUGUUUUGUGCAAUCUGUGUGCUAGCAAGUCAUGUCUCUAAUAAUUUCAUAGUUCGCUUGAUUGGAAUUUUUUAUCUUGAUAUGGAUUGUUUAUUCUAGAUUCCUUGGUGCCACUGUAGGUUGAAACAGCAAAAGAUUCAGCACCGAUUUUGUCACUGCUUGCUCCAUUAAAUUCUGGAUCAAGGCACUCAUAUUGGAGAGCUCCACCUAGUACUACUUCUGUUGAAUUUGUUAUUGUUCUCGGUUCUGUUUCUGAUGUCAGUGGGGUUAUCUUGCUUGUUAGUCCUUGCGGCUAUCUGUGGCUGACACUCCGAUGGUAAGUGCCAUAUUUAUUCCCUUAUUUCCUUGUUGUUCAAUAAAUUUGGUGAUAAGCCAAGUGGCCUUAAUAAUGAAGCCCAGUACCAGGGGUGGUGGGUAAUCGAUAUUCAACUUGUGAAUAUUCCUAAGCAAGCACGGAAUCAACAUAGACGUCGGCAAAAAUUCUCCAUGCUAUUAUAACGAAAGUCAUAUUUUGAAAUGAUUAAAAGAGUCCCUUUGUAGUGCCAUUGCCAAAGAAAUUGCAGCUGGGGGUUUAGUUUCAUGUAGGUUAGUUUCCGAUAAUAAACUUUCCAUUUCAUUAAUUGCUGAUGAAAAAACCAAGUAAGAACAGUUUCGUUGCUCGUCAUUUAUGUAUAUUUUGGUAAACUGUAAUUUUAAAUUCUCAACGAUCUUCCCUUGGUAGGUAAGAAGAUGGUCCACUCACUUUAUAUUUAUGAUUGUAGAUCAGGUUUCUAUUGGUUUGCCUUUAUCAUUGGGAACCCAAGUUUGAUAUUAACAGAGAUCACGUCAAUAAUAUCCUAUUUGGGUAGAUGUGGGUGAGGAUUUAAAAUCAAAUUUGAAAUUGGGGGAAAGAAGAGAAAAGGAACCACAAUAAUUAAACAAAAUAUUAGGAACUAUUCUGAUGAGUUUUAAUCUCGAGAGGAACAAUUUUCAAAUGCAAAUUUAACUGCUAGAGAAAUUGUAGCUUUUUGUCAUUAGUUAAGAGGAAAGAGAAUAAGAACUAUCCAGCCCUUUCCUUCAUGAAUGUGUGUUGAGGUUGCUGUAUUAUUUAGUCAGUAUUUGUAAUUUUCUUCCCUGCAGUGCUCUCUGCCUCCUGAAUUUGCUACUGAGUCCAUAUUUUUCUUUGAGCUGUUGCUUCCUAUUGCUGUUACAAGUACAAAUCUGGGCAAGCAAUAAGAUACACCGGGAGGAAAGGUCAUCAAUGGGAAAAUGGGAUGUCCAAUCCCUCAUCACAUCUUCUUCAGACUUGUAUGGUCCAGAAAAGACAGCUAGUGUUGAAAAAUUACCUAGGCAUGUAAAAUUUACUUUUAAGAAUCCUGUUAGGUGCCGCAUUGUUUGGAUCACAUUACGUCUUCAGAGACCUGGUUCGGCUUCAGUUAAUUUCGGGAAGGACUUCAGUCUUUUGUCUCUUGAUGAAGAUGAAAACCCCUUUGCGCAAGUAGACAGACGUGCUUCAUUUGGAGGAGCAGUUGAAAAUGAACCAUGUAUUCAUGCCAAAAGAAUUCUUGUAGUCGGAAGCCCAGUAAAAAGGGAGGGGCUUACCUCAUCACAGAGCUCUGAGCAGCUAAGUAUUAGAAACUGGUUGGAUAGAGCUCCACAAAUGAGUAGAUUCAAGGUAUUAGUUGCUUUCACUCUUUGUUCAUUCAUAAUUCCAGCUUUCUGCUUGAUGCCCUGCCUCUGAUAAACCUCUUUUUUUCUCUUCAGGUCCCAAUUGAGGCCAAGAGAUUGAUGGACUACGAUCUCGUCUUGGAACAAUAUCUACCUCCAGCGUCACCUUUGCUUGCCGGAUUCCAUCUAGACGCUUUCAGUGCAAUAAAACCUAGGGUUACCCAUUCACCUUCCUCAGAUUCAGAUAUCUGGGACAAAUCAGUAACAUUUUUAGAAGACAGGUACAUCUCUCAAGCUGUGUUGUAUUUACAAGUAUCCGCACUCCAGGAACCACAUAACAUGGUAACUAUUGCGGAAUAUCGACUGCCGGAGGCUAGAGCCGGAACGCCAAUGUACUUUGAUUUCCCAUGACCGAUACAGUCCCGACGAGUUUCAUUCAAGCUUCUUGGAGAUGUUACAGCAUUUGCAGAUGAACCUUCAGAACAAGAUGAUUCAGGAUUGAGAGCUCCACUUGUGGCCACAGGUUUGUCUUUGUCAAACAGAAUCAAGUUAUAUUAUUAUUGUGAUCCUUAUGAGCUCGGAAAAUGGGCAAGCCUUUCUGGAGUUUGAUCGUUAUUUAUAUGUCAGAGAAAGGGUUUUGGGUUUGAUUUUGAUUUUGAUUUGUAAUUUUUGUCAGUUUAUUGAAAUUUUUUGUUGUAUAAAAGCAGAAUGUAAAGGUAUAAAAAUUCAUUGAUGCUGCAAUGUCUGUGCUUUUGAGAAAGAAGAAUUAAUUGUCUUUUCUAUGCCAUUGGAGUUUCCCACUGCUUGUAUACUUGGGCUGUCGAAUGCUCUGUGAACCUUAAGGGCUAUAAAGUAAUUUUCAAGACUGAAGGAUUUAUUAAUCGAGUUCAAAAGAUUGUAAGUUGGUGACUGGUGAGCGUUGGCAUUUAAAAAUCAAUUGUUAUUCUCUCAAUAAUCUCUCUCUUCUCCUCGUGAAGUGUUUUCUUUUUCGAGUGAAGGUGGUUUUCCACUUGCAUACGUCGGGGGUCUUAUGAUAUGUAAUGUGUGAAAUUUCUUUCUCAUUUUACCAUAAAGAAAAAUGUUGUAAUAAUCUAAAGCUCGAGUCUUAAAUUAUCUUAAAUUUAUAUUUAGAGUGGAGCUAUUCGCAACCCUAUAUUAAAAUUACAAUUAAAAACAAUUGAAAAUUAAACACUUAUAGAUUCUUUUUACAGCAAAUUACUUAAUUCAUAAUCAAUCCUUUAAAAAAAAAAUACAUAUGUUAUUUCUUAUCUAACUAAAAUAAAUUGUACAAAUUUAGAAUAAUCUAUUGUUCUCUUUUGAUUUCUUAUUAUUUAAAUAUUUUUAUACAUAAAGUUACUUUGAAAUUAUAAUUUGAAAUAUGUGUUAUUUCAGCCAAUGAUUAACACUAAAAAAUUUAUCACCCAUAUAACUUUUUAAUUUGUGUGUAGGGUAAUAAUAAAAUCGAAAAUAAUUAAAAAAAUAGUACAAUAAUGAUUUUUAACAAUAAAACAAAUCAAAUGAAAAUUGAAAAUUUAGAAAAGUGUAUCUAAAAAAAGGAACGUUUUCAAAAAUAAAAUGAAUAUAACUAAAAAGAGAUUUUAUGAGGAGAUCACUGGGGUGCCAAUAGUCCAACUUGUAAUUAAGAAUCUCCCAUUAUAUUGUCAACCAAAAAGACACUUGAAUAAGAAGAAGAAUUUAUCAGUUUGAUUUUAUUUGUAGAUCCAACAUUUCUCAUAUCCUGAACGCCUUUUCGUAUCAAAUUAAAACAGUAGUAGCAAAAUCGUAGUAUUAAAAUCGUAGUGCACAUUCAAUUAACCAACUAAUAGUCUUUGGUAUAAGAUUUUAUAUUAGGUAGCCAAGUAGGUUGUCCAUCCCACUCAGACAUGCACGAAAGCUAAAUUCAUCAAAUGAAUUACUUAAGAAGUAUUUGAUAAUUUUGAAAUUAUCAAAAGGUGUUAUACUAUUAAAUAUUUUUAUACUUAAAAUUGUUUUGAAAUUAUAAGUUCAAAUUAAAAUAAUAGUAGCAAAAUCGUAGUGCACAUUCAAUUAACCAACUAAUAGUCUAAGAAGCAAAGAGAGGAUUACAAGUUCACAACACCAUUACAAAGGAUUCAAAAUUCCCACACGAAUACAUCAAUGUACAGAUUAUAAACAAUCCGAAUUGGACACAAGAAAAACCCUUCAAUAGAUUGCUUGCCUUCCCAAUGCUAUAUACUGUGCAAACUGCGCAUUGGCCAAGAAAAUGUUUUCAAUUUAGUGUAUUUUCAAAAUGCUUAUUUUCUCAUAGUAUAAAAAAUAAAAAAAAUAAGAAAGAAUUCUCACAUGUUUCAUCAGCAUGAUUAAAAUCAAAGAAGAAAGCGAGACAUAAUGUCUCUGACAUAAUAAAAUUACAAAAAUUUCAAGGAAAAAAAAAGGUUAAAACAUGUAAUCUUCAGAAGCAUAUAAUAAAAGAACACUUCCACAAAUUACUACAAUUUCAUGCAGUAGAGAUUGAAGAGUUGAAUUCCACUAAUUUUAAUAAUGAAAACAACAACAGAGGAUUAACUGAUGCUUUGACUUAUUAGUUCUGCAGAGCAUCUCCAAAAGCCUAUAUAAAUUUUACUCUUCAAAUACUUAUUUGCUUACCUAUGUGGCAAAUAAAAGGGUGAAAAAAUAUGAUAUUCUCCAAAAGACUCUUCAAAUAGAAAAAAGUUAAUAUUAUUUUAAUCAUAUAAUUAAUUUUUUAAAGAAAAAGUCAAUAGCAAUUAAAGCACUUCUCUCUCUUUCUUCAAUGAAAAGUAAUAAAAUAUAAAUUGAAGAGGGAGAAAUUAACUCUCCAAAUUUGAAGAGAGAGAAUUAAUUCUUAUUUAAAGAAUCUUAAUUGAAGUGUCUUUUGGAGCUUUAAAUAUUGAUGUGGCUCUUCAAAUAAGUAAUAAAAUCUUAUUUGAAGAGCCUUUAAAUAAGGUGCUUUCAAAAGCAAAAUGGAAUACAUAGAUAAAAACAUCAUCUUAAACAAAUCACAAUCUAGAAUUAGAGCAUUUUCGACAUACCUAAGGAAAACGAAUACGUGAAAACGGGUGAUUCAUUUGUUAAGGAGUGUUGAUUUGGUCGUCUCUGCAAAUUCUUUAGGGACUCGGUUCCAAUUCCUCAUCAUCAAAACUGUAAUAUAAUUCCCCUUCAUCAGAACUCGAAUCGAUGCAAUAUAAUUCCCCUUCAUCAGAACUCGAAUCAAAUUCACUUGCAGCAGUUCCACUCGCGCUUGGCAAAUCAUCCAAUUUCCAAACUUCGGUAGCAAAAUUGAGAGUAAAAGUGUUGGCUUUGAUCUCGCUGGGAUUUGCAUAUACUGGACAUACUCCGCAACGUUUUAUCUUCUGACCCUUUUGGACCUUUAUUAUGUUUCGGUAACGCUCAUUGAAGAACUUAAGUGAGACAGUUGUAUGAUGGUAACCAUCAGGAAAGCCAACAUUCAAGCAAGGUUUAAAACCAAGUAUGACAUGAUCUGAAUCAUGGGGGUCUUUAAUAGAGUCCCAAUAGAAACUCAGAUCAACAUGUUUGGUUUCAGAGAGAGUCUUUAUUUCUAAGUCGGAUCGACAGUAAACGUAAAAAUAACGAGAACGAUCAGAAUAAAGUUGCUUAAAAUCAAGAACAGCACAAAAAGCAAACCCGAUUAAGUUUCUGCAAAAAGAGUGCGGUGGCAGUUGAAUACGUAUCGAAGAUCCUGAACUUUGAUUGCUGAACCAGUCAGGAAUUUCGCUCCCAGGUAAAACAAUUUGGGAUUCCCUGAGUUCAGAAAGUUUCUGUGAAACGACAUUUAAAAAAAGAAAAUUGUAAAAUGAAAACCAUGAUUUCAGAUAUAACAAAGAGGGACAGAGUAAACAAGAGAGGGAAUUUGAUACCUCGUUGUAUGCAUUUUCAUAGCCCAGUCUCAGUGAUGCUGCAAUUGCCAUACGUAGUGAAUCUGCCAAAAUCUUGUUGUUUGCUUUUCCAUCAAGUUUCAAGCAGUUAGUAAACCCAAAAUAAAUUGGUUGUGGCGUCACAUAUUCCGGAUGCCAUUGACGAAGGUCAGGAGAGGGUUUGGAUAGCUUUUCGAGUACGGAUGCAUCUAGUUCUUGUACACAUGACGGAAUCUCUGGCAAAGAUUGAAGCCGGUUGCAGUUCAUUGCAAUUAGUGACUGUAGACACAAUGGAAGUUCAGGUAAUGACCGAAGCAUGUUACAAUCCUCCAAGUGAAGAGUUUCUAAACCCAAUGGAAGUGCUGGUAAUGACUGAAGCAUGUUACAACGCCACAAGUGAAGAGUUUCUAGACCCAAUGGAAGUUCUGGUAAUGACUGAAGUAUCUUACAAUCCCUCAAUUCAAGAAAUUUUAGGCCCAAUGGAAGUUCUGGUAAUGACUGAAGCAUAUUACAAUCCUCCAAGUAAAGAUAACUUAGCCACGACAGUUGCUUGAUACUUGCAGGUAAACUCUCAAAGUUAUUUCCAUUUAAAUUGCCAAUGUUAUCCGGCAACUUAUCAAGUACAGAGCAACCACUUACGGACAAAAGUACAAGCCCCGUUUGCAAUGCCUCAAAUCCAACUUUUCAAGAUCAGUUAGGCACUCUACUGAUGAUGGAACUUCUUCUAUUGCAGUCUGGCCCAAGUUUAGCGAUGUUACUUUCCCAGAAAUCUGUGGAAACUCUAUGAGAUUAACACAAUAGGAGAAAUCAAUAGUUACUGGACAAACAAAAUGAAGAUUGCUAGGAAAAGACCUAAGACUUUUGCAGCCCAUAAAAUCCAACCUACUGAGAUACUUGAAAUUCUGGAUAUAUGAGGGAACACAAGCCAAGUUUGUAUAAUCCAAAAGAUAUGUUUCAACAUUUGGGGUUUCUAAUGGGCCUGGCAUCUUAAUGAAAUGUCGAGAAUGGCUGAGGUUAAUAGAUUUUAACUUGAAAGCUUCCUGCAAUAACAGAUAUAUAAAGACUAUAUUAAUUAAAAAGCAACAUUGAAUUCAACAAUUAAUUGCACGUAUAUUUAAAGAAAGAAAAAAUUAAUGUUUUAGUUUUAGUACAGAACUUACCUUUUCUCCUUCCCAAAGUUGCUCAACUUUACUAAAACGCAAAUUCAGUUCAACAAGGUUCUUUGGCUUGAAAUUUGAUGGCAGUGUCCUUAAGGGAUAUGUGUCCCAAUGAAGAUAUCUCAAUUUUUUAGGAAGAUAAUCUAGGCCAUUUGGAAGCUGCACUUUAGAGUAUGAAAGUUGCUCUUCAAUGCUCAUACUUAGAAACUUUUCAAUCUCAGGUACAUAAAAUUUGAGCAAUCUUAGAUUAGACAUUUUUGUGAAGGCUCCAGGGUCUAAAUUGAUGCCUUUUAUUUUGGACAAAUCCAGAAAUAUGCCUUCAAUUGCAUCGGUCCCCUUAUUAAAAAAAAAAACAAAGAAUGAGUAACCCUAAAACAGAAAAGAAACAUUCGCAAACUUUAUUAACUAAGAACUCCUUAAACAAAAACAAAUUCUGCAAUCUUUGAUUUUAUUUUUUAAAAAUAUUAAAUAUCUAUAUAUGAGAAAAGAAAAUUUUGGGGACCAUUGCAAAAUUAAACUAACCAAAAAAAAAAUUCAAAAUUUCUCUAAUUUACAAACCUGUUAUCUUAAUAUCUAGAAGUUGAGAAGACAAGGCGUAUUUGAUUGGUAUAAGAUUUCGAUUUUUUUUUUAGUCCAUAGAAUCCAAAAUGUUUGUUCAAAAUCAGGGAAAAAAACGAAAGUUAUUUUUUUUUCCACUAGCUGUAAUUGUAUCCAAGUCAAAUUGAGAUACGACCCUUUUCGAAAGGAUUUAAUCAUCUUAUAGCCUCCUUAAGAUACAUUUAAGCUAAAAGGAGUGAUUGGAGGCAGAACUUAGUGGGCCAAUCAGUUCAUUUUAUUAGCGACUGUUGCUUAAAAAAAAUUAUACUCUAAAACACACUUACUUUUUUGAAAAAAAAUAUAAUUAUAUUUAAGUAGAACCAGGUGGGCCAAUCCUCAUGGCACUCACUUUGUUCUGACACUCUUCACUAAAUUUGAAGAAAAAUAAAAUUAUACUCUUCACACUCUUAUUCAACAUUCCAAAAUUGAUAAAAUCUGGAGUUUUCUUUAAAAUUUUAAAAUUUGAAGACUUGUUCUCUUGACACCCUCAGUCAUUAAUUUUACCUAAUUAUGGUUUUGGUUGUUUUGUUCAUAAAAAUGCUUUUACUAAAGGAUGUUCUGGUAAUGAAAAAAUUUAUAAAAAAACAAACAUGGGUGUGCUGAUAUAGUUGGAAAAAUAUGAGUGCAUAACUCCAAACAAAUAAAAGAUACAUAAAAAAAAAAAAGGAGGAUUCUUACCAUAUUAUGCUUUAGUACGCGGCGGAUUUCCUUAGGAUCCCACAACCUACUGCGUCUGCCUGGCUCUUCCUCAGAUUCUUGGCGAACAAUCUCUCGGCCCAUUUCUUGCAAUAAAUCAUGCAUUUGCAAGCAGUUAUCUGACACUGUUAUAAGUGACUUGUCCACGAGGACAUCCAGUCUGUGAGACCCAGAAUCAUCAAGUAUCCUUAACACAAAAUCUUUAUCCUCUCCCUCAAGGAAACACGCAAUAUCUAGAAACAUACUCUUCACCCUGGGCGUUAAUUCUUUAAAACUAAUCUUUAAUGUAUCAUAAAUACCAUGAAUAUCAGAUUCACAAAUCCGAUUUAAGUCGUCCAAUACAUUUUCCCAAUGGCUUUUCCCCUUGAGAUACAGGGAGGAACCCAACACUUUAAGAACUAAUGGAUUGCCAUCGGCAUACCAUACAACCCUCCAUGAGUGCCGGUAGAGAUCUUCAGGACAAUGAUUUUCUUUAACAGCGAAGUUACAAAAAUGCUCGAAAGCCUCAUCAAAUUUCAAUCCAUUGACCCUAUAUAUUUUCUCCACUCCAAAUUUUUCGAGGACUCGUUUAUCCCUGGUGGUUACAACAAUUCUACUUCCUGGACCAUAUUGAUCAAGCCCUCCAAUCAAACCCUCUAAUUGUUCAUCUUUAUUCACAUCAUCGAGUACAAUCAACACCUUCAUGCGUCGGACCCUCCCUUUAGUAAAUUGUGGAAUAUUGGGACCAGCUACUUCAAGUUUUUCACUUAAUAUUGUCGAAAGCAUUUCCUUUUGUAGGUCUUCUAGGCCACCCUCUGUUUCUGAUUUUCUCCUAACAUUUUUUGCAAAGUAUUUACCAUCAAACUCACCAGAGAAUUGAUCGAAAAUAGCUUCAGCAAGGGUAGUUUUGCCUAUACCACCCGUGCCCCAAAUUCCAACAAUAUGGACAGUAUCCCACAAAUCCAUACACAGAAAUGGUUUAAUCUGCUCAAUUCGUGAAUUUAAUCCAACUAGGCCAUUGGAUGAGUCCGUUGAGACUGUUAUUUUUUCCAACUUCUUCAAAACAUCAUCGACAAUUUUGUUUACAAGUUCCGCAUCGUGCCUAAUAUAAAGGUGCAAAGAUGCAAAAACAUUGAGUCAAAUCGGGCCAAGACAGAAACAGAGAAAAGAUGAAUUAGGAAAGAGAGUUACCUGAAUUUCGUGGAUUCAUGGCCGGCUAGAUGGGAUGUUUCUGUCAGUGCAUCCCUCCACUUCUGAACCAUUUCUGGUUUAUCUUCGAACUGUUUUUUGAGCUCAUCAAAACGGUCUCCAAAUGUUCCGUUUUGAUGCCGCACAUCAGAUGGACUUACUCCAUAGAAGACUGGAAUAAUAAUUUGGCCGUUUGUGUUCUUGCAUUCAAGAAUCUUGACAAGUUCAUUCAGGCACCAUUUUGAAGAAGCGUAGUCCUUUGAGAAAAUGACCACCGAAAUUUUUGAACCUUGGAUUGCGUUCAAAAGGGCGGGUGAAAUCUCAUCUCCUCGCCUAAGCUCUUCAUCAUCAAUAAAUGUUUUGAUUUUUUUUCCUUCAUACAAUUUAUCAUAAAGAUAGCAAGUAAAGCUCUUACGAGUGUCCUCCCCUCUAAAGUUGAGGAAGACUUCAUAAUUGCAAGAAGAAGAAGAGGAAGCCAUGAAGGAAAUUCUAGAAAUUUGAAAGUAGAUUUAGGGAAUUAUAAAAAGCUGAAGGAAAUUGGAAUUUUGUACAGUUUCUCCAGCGAGGAACUUUCACCUCCGCACUAGAUUCUUAAGUUUUGAAAAUUAUGAGACCUUUAUAUUGGAAGAUAUUAUAAUCGAAUCAAAACUUAAAAUUUUAAUAUUGUUAAUCUUUAAUCUUUAAAAAAAAAUUACCUCGCCGUUACAGUUUGGAUUAAGAUUUGAGCAAGCAUUUACCUAAAUUUUAUCUCCGCCUGUAAAUUCUUAUGUUUUAAAAAUUAUGAGACCUUUAUAUUGGGAGAUAUUAUAAUCGAAUCAAAAUUUUGAAUUUCAAUAUUAUUAUUCUUUUAAAAAAAAAAUUGAGAUAACAGAGUGAUUGAUAAUAUAGGAGAACUUGUCUAGGCAAGCACAUGCAUACACAGAAAUGUGAUGGAUUCAAAAAGAAAUUAAAGUGAUAAUGUACGUGGAUCCUUAAAAUAAAAAGCGAAAUCGCUUGGUGGCCCAGUAAAAUUAGAGAACAAAGAAGAAUUAGUUAUUGAUAUACAAAAGAGAAACACUCCAAAAUUUCAAGCAAAAAUAGUUUCAUAUACCAUUUCAAUUUUGUAAGGGGUGAGGUUUUGAAUUUCAAUAGUUUCCUCUAAAAUCAAAAGGCAACAAUUAAGUUAGAAAGAGCAAAGAAGACUUAUUAGUACCUUAUUAAAGGUAACAUUAUGGAACUUUCAAUUUCAUUACCUCACUCUUCAAUUUUUAUUGAGAUUUGUGCAAGAAUUUACCUAAAUAUUACCUAAAAUUGAGAUAUCAGAGUAAUAUCAAAUAGAAAAACUUGCCACGGUAAGCCAAAAGUCUAGUCAACCACAUGCAUAAAGCUAAAUAGAACAACUAACAAGAGAACAGAGAAACGCGUGGGUCCCUAAAAGAAAAGGCAAGCACAUAGAUGAAAAAGCCAUUACAUUUCGAUUUUACAUGUCAUUAAUUUCUGUAACACGGUGUGUGGCAGCAUAUGCACAAUCAAGUGAGGCAAAAGGGAUUCGAUUAUCGUGGCAGAACAUGAACGAGGACGCGUGAUGAAUAAUUCCUUCGAUAAAACGAAAAACAAACGCAGAGAAAAGAAUUUCUUAUAUGACAAGAAAUCAAAGAAAUCAAAGUAAUGUUUCAUUUUCCCUUCCCUACCUUUUUUUUGUUUUAUUUUUAUAGCAAAGAAUUAUAUCAUGAAAAGAAUCAAUUUAAUCACCUUUUCUAGCAGCACAAUUUUUCUUUUAUAAAAUUUGACCAGGGAGACAAAGAAUAAUUAUUCAUACCUUCAUCACUAAGGAAAUACUUUUCGGUAUGGCUAAGGUGAGAAAAGGCUUUCCACAAAAACUUGUACUUUGUAUUCCUGUAAAUUUUCUUUAAAGUCAAUAAAAACCAUAAGUUCUUUACAAUAACCAUCUCUUUGAUAAAAAAGUGCCGUAUUCCUUUAGAAUUUAAAACCGGCAAAACUGAAUCAGUGUCUUUGAAGAGACAUAAUGGUCGUAAUUCUUUAAAUGAGUUGGCUAUGGAAAUCGUUAUCCAAGAUUCUUUUACGCCAUAUUCUUUCGUAAACCAAAAUUCAUUUUGGAAUACUCUGUUGAGAAUGUCAAAUAAAACGGCAUUGAAGGAAGUUUUCAAAGGCAGAAUCUGCACUUGUCAGAUGGAUGAUCUGCACUUGUCAAAGACACAAUCCGCGUCGAACGAAUCGACACAUUUCCUUUCGUAUUCACAUAUGCAAUUUUUGAAAAAAUGUAGCUUUUACAUCUAUAAAUAACACUCAGUGUAUAAUGUUUUAUUCAAGAAAAGAAAACAAGUUUCUUCAUGGUAUCAGAGCCAUGAAUACGCUCAAGUUUCUUCAAGUUUCGCUGCUCUGUUUGUAACAAAAACAGAGAAAACCAAAAUCUUCCCACAACCAUUUUUUCCACCAUUUUCUUCCUUAAAAUCAUUCCUACCAUUAUAGAAAUCCAUGCCGAUCAAAAAACAAGCCACCCAUACGUAAAAAACUUGAGUUUACAAAUUUAUCAACAAUCUCAUAAAUUAGAUACAAAACAACGUGAUGUUAAAUCUCCAGAACUGCAGCAGUCUUAAAACGACAUGUCGUUUCUAUUCCAUCAGAACCGACAUAUCAUUUCUUUAAGCAGAGGCCAAACGACUUGUCGUUUUUUUUUUUAUCUAAAAAAGUUAUUUUUUCUUAUUUCAAUCUAGACGCCAAAAAAAAAACAAAAAAAUGGAGAAAACUCCAACUGAAUCUGAUCCUGUUGUCAUUCAAUCUGUUCAAUCUGAUGAGUAUUUAAUGUUGGAAUUAUCUUCACUGAGACAAACUACGAUAUUUGGUCUUAAAUAAUGGAGUUGCAUCUCGCAGAAAGAGAAAAACUCUCAUAUAUUUGUAGCAACACAAAGUCAUCUGAGGAAUCUUCAAAGGAAUAUGAGAAAUGGUAUAGUGAGAAUGAAAAGGUAAAAAAAUGGUUACUCAUAUCCAUGUCUCUGGAUAUCAUGAAGUGAUAUUUACGAAUUCCUACAGCCUACGAAAUAUGGGAUGCAUUAUCAAAAGCCUUCUAUGAUGGAAUCGAUGAAUUACAAGUUUUCACUCUAAACCAGAAGGCGUCUCUACCAAGAAAAAUUGACAGCCACUAUCUAAAUUCUACGGAGAAUUGAUCGAAAUAUUUUGAGAACUUGAUCACCGAGAUAAAGUGAUCAUGAAGGAUCCAGAAGAUGUUGUAAUAUACAAAAGGUCUGUUGAAAGAUUGAGAGUUCACAUUUUUCUUGUUGGGCUAGAUGAAGAAUUUAACCAAGUUCGUGGAGAAAUUCUAUGAAAAGAUAUUAUCCCAGACUUAGAAGAAUGUUAUUCUUUGAUCUGAAGAGAAGAUGUACGGCAAAACAAACUAAACAAGAAGGUCGACUCAGAAACGUUUGCUAUGAUAGCACGACAACAGCCUCAAAGGAAGCUUGUUGACAAGUCAUCACUCCAUUGCACUCAUUGUAGGAAGAAGGGUCAUAUGAAAGCACAAUAUUUUGAAAUCAUUUGAUAUCCUGACUGGUGGGAUACUUGAAAGAAAAACAUCAAGCAGGGAUAAAAAACUGCAGUAGCUGAAUCCACAUCCACUACAGAUCUUAGAAAAGAAUCUUCAGUGCAAAUCGCAACCUCUGUUAGUCCAGGUAAGGCCCUUAAAACUCUUAUACUUGUUAUUAAUAGUACAUGGAUAAUUGAUUCUGGGGCAACUGAUCAUAUGACUUUUGAUUCUCGACAAGUUUCUCAAUUGAUACCAUCUUCACAAAAACAUGUUUCCACUCCAAAUGGAACCACAACCUUAGUUAUUGGGGAAGGAUCUUUACGACUCACAUAUAAAUUAAAUUUAGACUCUGUGUUAAUUGUUCCAUCUUUAGAUUAUAAUCUUUUAUCUGUGUCUCAAUUAACCACUUACUUAUCAUGUGUUGUAAUUUUUUGGCCUGAUCAUUGUGUGUUUAAAGACAUCCAAACGAAGCAAACGAUUGGUUAUGGUAUUAGACGGGGCCACUUGUACUAUUUGGAGAUGACAUCAACAAACACUGGAAAGCUAAGCCCUGCACUAGUCGCAGAUAGUUCCAUAAAAAAAAGGAAAUCAGAAAUUUGGUUAUGGCAUAGACGUUUAGGGCAUGUGUCAUUUGGUUACUUAAAAAAAUUAUUUCCUAGUUUAUUUCUGAAAUUUGAUAUUUGUAACUUUAAAUGUGAUGUUUGUGAACUUUUAAAAAGUCAUCGAACUACUUUUCCAUUGUCCUUAAAUAAGAAUCAAGUUCCUUUUAUGGUAGUACAUUCUGAUGUAUGGGGGCCAUCGAAAGUUUCUACAAUUGGAGGUGCUCGUUGGUUUGUUACAUUUAUUGAUGAUUGUAGCAGAAUGACAUAGAUUUUUCUGAUGAAAUCGAAAGACGAAGUAAACUCUUUAUUUUAAAGAUUUCAUAAGAUGGUGACGACUCAAUUUCAGACACAAAUUCGAGUUCUACAUACUGAUAAUGGAGGCGAGUAUAUGAGCACAACAAUUCAACAGUUUCUGAAAUCACAAGGAACUGUCCAUCAAACCACUUGUGUGGGGACACCCCAACAAAAUGGCAUUGUUGAACGAAAAAACAGACAUUUACUAGAAGUUGUUCGAGCAUCACUAAUCCAGGCCCACAUGCCACUAUCUUAUUAGGGAGAAGCACUGGCAUCCGCAGCAUACUUGAUCAAUCGAACACCUUCAAGCUCCCUUGGAUUCCAGACUCUUUUCCAGGUUCUAAAUGAUGCAAUUAUGUCACCAAAUGUGCCGAAUUUACCCCCACAUGUGUUUGGCUGUGUUGCCUUCGUUCAUUUGCCGCAACAAGACAAAUUAUCUCCUCGAGCACUACGUUGUGUGUUUGUAGGGUAUGCCUUACAGCAAAAGGGAUACCGAUGAUAUGAUCCACCAUCAAGAAAAAUAUACAUCACCAUGGAUGUCGUCUUUCAUGAAGAUAUCAUAUACUACUUGUCAAAGCCUGAAUUUCAGGGGGAGUAUAAUGAAGAGGAAAUUCAUAAUCUUAUAUAUCUUCCACCUAAAGAAGAUCAAUCUUCCAUUGAGGUUGUAAACCUUCAAGAUACUGGAAAAGAAAAUGGUGGUGAUUCUCAGGCUGAGAUAAGUGAAGACACAUUUGGGGAGCAAAAUAACUUAGACACAACUGCAAUCGAGAAUGAGUCACAUGAAGAAAUACCUAACUAAUCGUCUGCAGAGGAUGUUCCUACCACAAGUCCUAGUCUAGUCAGAAGAAUUCUUCCUCAGCGUCAAAAUAGAGGUAUCCCUAAACCCACAUAUGAGCCCGACCUUUCUAGUAGAGUCAAAUACCCUAUGAUUUAUUUUGUGUCUAACCAUCGCUUGUCAGAAUCAAAUCAGUCAUUUGUGAAUCAAUUAUCUACUGUAUCUAUUCCUAAUAGUGUGCAGGAAGCCUUAAAAGACCCAAAGUGGAAAGCGACUAUGAAUGACGAAAUGUGAUCUCUUCAAAAAAAUCAAACAUGGGAACUAGUUGAUCUUCCACCUGGAAAGAAACCAGUGGGUUUCCGAUGGAUCUACACUAUAAAGUACAAAGCAGAUGGCUCUAUUGAACGAUACAAAGCAAGGCUCGUAGCUAAGGGUUACACCCAAACCUACGGGAUAGAUUAUGCCAAUAUGUUUGCACCGGUAGCAAAAAUUAAUACUAUUCGUAUCUUAUUAUCAUUAGCAGUCAACUUGGAUUGGCCAGUGUAACAGUUCGAUGUAAAGAAUGCUUUCCUCCAUGGAGACCUGUCUGAAAAAAUUUAUAUGGAUAUGCCACCAGGAUGUAGUGGACCAGAACGACUCAAUCAGAAAGUAUGCAAAUUGAAGAAAUCAUUGUAUGGGUUGAAGCAACCCCUAAGAGCAUGGUUCGGGAAAUUCACAAAGGCUAUGGUUCUUUUUGGGUAUAACCAAAGCAAUUCAGAUCAUACCUUGUUCAUUAAAAAAUGACAAGGUAAAAUCACUGCCCUCAUUUUCUAUGUGGAUGAUAUGGUAGUCAUAGGUAACGACGGGGAAGCAAGAGAGGCUCUUCAGAAGUACUUGUCGAGAGAGUUUGAGAUGAAGGAUUUAUGAGCCUUAAAAUACUUUCUUGGAAUUGAGGUUUCUCGAUCUAAGGGAGGAAUUUUCCUGUCUCAAAGGAAAUAUGCUUUAGAUCUAUUAAACGAAACGUGAAUGACAGCUUGUCAGCCUAUUGACACCCCAAUAGAAGAAGGACUGAAGUUUUGUAUUACCUCAGACUAAGUUCCAGUAGACAAAGGAAGAUAUCAAAGGCUGAUUGGAAGAUUGAUGUACUUGUCCCACACAAGGCCAGCUCUUGCUUAUGCAUUGAGUGUUGUAAGUCAGCUUAUUCAUAAUCCCGGAGAACAACACAUGAAAGCAGUAAUGCGGAUCCUAAGGUACCUGAAGUCAAAUCCAGGAAAAGGAAUCCUAUGUUCCAAAAAUGGAGAUUACAGCAACAUAGAAGUUUAUACUGAUGCAGAUUGGGCCCGGUCAGUUAGUGAUAGACGCUCUACCUCAGGAUACUUUACCUUAGUGGGAGGCAACCUUGUCACAUGCUGCUUCACUUGCUGCCAAUCCAGUUCAUCAUUCAAGAACAAAACAUAUAGAGAUUGAUGUUCACUUUGUGAGAGAUAUAAUUUCCAACGGCGGAGUGGAAGUAAGAUAUGUCCCUACUGAAUAUCAGCCUGCAAACAUCUUCACAAAAGCUCUUCCUGCUGAUAUGUUUCAACAGUUGCGAGACAAGCUACAUAUUCUUCCUAGAACAUUGCGCUUGAGGGGGCAUUAUGAAAAUAUUGUAGCAGAGCUACCAAACUUGAGUAAUACGAAUUCAAAGUUGUUAGAUGACAUGGCAGCACACUUGGCAUUCAUUGGUGUUUUGGAAAGUUAAAGUGAUCAACCUUAUCUCUUAGCUUAUCAUUAAUUCAAGCUGCACUUUUGUAUUUAUCAAGAUCAAGAUAAAGAUAACAAUUGUGCUAGGCUUGAUCUUAUUCUUGGCAUUAUCGUGUUUCCUGUAGAGCAUUAUAAAUGUAAUGAUUAUGAGAUGAAUAAAAUAACGAAAAUGUGUUUUGUUUCUUCUUUAAGCUCAUCUUUAUAAUUUAAGUUGGUAUCAGAGCAUGGCGAGCUCCAAUUCUGCGAAAUUAGUCAAUAUGAAUACUGUAAACCAAACACCACAAAUUUCUAAUUUUUUGACUCCUGUCAAAUUGGAUAGGCAAAAUUUUAUGAUAUGGAAGUCUCAAGUGCUACCUUCCAUUCGUGGUAACAAUCUUGAAAGCUUGAUCAAUGGAGCAAAACUUGUACCCACUAAAUUCUUGGUGCAAGUAGAAGAGGAUCAAACAGUAACGACUGUGGAAAAUCCAGAAUAUAUACAAUGGCUGAGACAAGAUCAGCUUUUACUUAGUUGGCUUUUGUCCACUAUGACUGAAUCAGUUUUAAGCAUAGUGGUGCAGUAUACAACCUCUUUUGAGGUUUGGAAUGCCUUGAAGACAUUGUUUGCAUCUCAGUCAAAGGCUAGAAUUUUGUAGCUCAAGAUGCAACUCCAAACCACGAAAAAGAAUGCUAUGACCAUGAGUGACUAUGUCAACAAAAUGAAAAAUUUAGCUAAUAGCCUGGCAAUGGCUGGAAAAUAUGUUACUGAAGAUGAUUUAAUUUCUUAUAUUCUUGCAGGUUUAGGAACUAAAUACGACCCUGUGGUUGUAAAUAUUACAGCAAGAACAAAUGAUUUAUCUCUGCCUGAAGUAUCCUCUCUUUUGCUCAAUCAUGAAAGUCGAAUGGAACAACUCUCAGCUGCUGCAAAUCUUGAGUCUAAAGGCAGUUUUAAUGCAAAUUUUGCAGGAGCUUCUUUUCACAAAAGGAAAGUUAUAAGAAAAGGCUUUAUGUCAGGAAGUUUAUGAGGCAAUGAACGUGGUAGAGGCAAAGGAAGAACCAAUUUUAGCCGUGGUGGAAAUAGGCCAACCUGUCAGAUAUGUGGCAAAUAUGGACAUUCAGGAUAUCAAUGUUUCUUCCGCUUUGAUCGGGGGUUCUCUGCAAGACAAGAGGCAACACAAGCAGGUCAAGCCUCUGCCUAUAUGGCACUCCCUGCUGAAGAAAUAGAUAAUGGAUGGUAUUUGGACAGCGGAGCAACACACCAUGUUACAAAUGAUUUAAACAAUCUGCAGAUUAAGUUAGAAUUUAAGGGAGGUGAGAAGCUGGUAGUAGGUAAUGGUAAAACUUUAGCAAUAUCUCACAUUGGCAGUGCACUUAUUUAUAUUCCAAACCAUGAACCAUUGUUGCUUAAUGACAUUUUAUAUGUGCCCAAAAUCACCAAGAACUUAAUUAGCAUUUCAAAAUUACUUUCUGAUAAUAAACUAAUGCUUGAUUUCUGUGACAAUGUUUGUACUCUUAAGGACAAAGUUCUGGGGAAGAAGCUGCUGCAGCGAAAAAUUGAAAGAGGCUUAUAUCGGCUACCAGUGCUUUCAAGACAAGCCAUUCUAUCUGAUUCAAAAAUUAUUUCCAAUAAAUCUUAUUAGUCUUCUCUUCCAUUUAGCUGUUUCAAUUCUAGCUCAACAAUAAGUUCUGUAAAUGAACAAGAAUUUAUUUCCAAUUCCAAGCCUAGCAGUUUUAUAAAUCUUUUGCACAGAAGGAUGAGACAUCAUCAUCUUGCUGUACUAAAACAAAUUCUACCUUUGUGUAACAAAACAAGUCAGUUAAAUAAAAAUCUCAUUCCUCAAUUCUGUGAUGCAUGUCAACAAGGAAAAAGUCAUAGGCAAACUAUCAAAGCAUCAAAUAGUAGAGCUUCAGAACCUUUAGAAUUAUUGCAUCUUGACUUGUGGGGGCCUGCACCUUUAAUGUCUAGAAAUGGCUACAAAUAUUAUUUGAGUAUUGUAGAUGACAACACACGUUUUACAUGGAUAUUUCCACUUAAAGUUAAAUUACAAGCGUUUGAAGCUUUUAAGUAUUUCAAAGUUCAAGCCGAAAAACAAUUAGGAAAGAAAAUCAAAAGUUUACAAACUGACGGUGGAGGAGAGUUUCAAGCAUUUACAAUUUUUUAAAAGAACAGGGUAUUAUUCACUGACUUUCUUGCCCACACACGCAUCAUCAAAAUGGUAGAGUGGAGCGAAAACACCAACAAAUUGUAGACACUGGUUUAACACUUUUGGCAUAGGCUGGCAUGCCACUCACUUUUUGGUGGGAUGCUUUUCAAACAUCUGUUUAUUUAAUUAAUAGAAUGCCUACUUCCAUCUUAGAAAACAAAUCACCAUUUCAAAUACUUUAUGAUGAAGAAUAGGAAUCAAUAUUAUACUAGGAUUAGUUUCCUUAUUAACUAAAGUUUAAGACUUUUAAAUUCCUUUCUAAUUUAGAAUUUUGUUUCCCUUUCAAUUUAGGAUUUUGUUUUACUUCAUGAAUUAGGAUAAUUAUUACUACUAUAAAUAGCUCCCUCUUGUAGCCUUUAAAGGCAGAGAAUUUUGAGUUUAAUAAUAUUUCAAUUUUCAAAUCUCUUUGUGAGUAUUUGAACAGUUAAUUCUCGGUAUUCUGCGAAAUCAACGAGUCUUAAAUCCCUAAGUUCGCGGUAUUCUUUUGAAUCAACAUGAAUUUAGUUGUUCUUUUAUUCUGGUAUUCUCUAGAAUCAACGGAAUAUUUUGAAUAUUAAACUUCCACUGCAUCACUUUACAAGAAAAUACCUGAUUAUUCUUUUCUAAAAGUUUUUGGAUGUGCUGUAUUUCCUCAUCUUCGAGAUUACAACAAACAUAAAUUAGAUUUUUGAUCAGAUAAAUGUAUAUUUUUAGGCUAUAGUACAGCUCAUAACGGGUAUAAGUGUCUCCACAAGUCAGGAAAAAUUUUUGUAAUGCGACAUGUUGUCUUUAAUGAAUAUGAUUUUCCUUUUAAAAGUGAUCCCUCCUUCAAAAUCUCAAAGAGUUAUCCAAAUCAUGAUUCUAGUACUCUCUUUCAGUCUCCUAUGUUUGCAGGUUUUGAAAGUCCUAGAGCCUAUAAGACUCUCUCGGUUAUUCAUGCAACAGACUCUCUACUAGAGUUGGUUCAUAACACAAUAGUUAUAGAUCAGGCAUCAAGUCAAGAUGAGGAAACCAAUUUUGAAUCCAACACCAAAAGCCCACCUGGAAAAGCCAACCUUGAAUCAAGCACUGAAAUCCAAGCAACUGAAAACACCACACAAUCUUUAUCUAUCCCCGCGUUUAUCAAUCAAGAAGCCGAUCACACAAUCUCUCAACCACCUAGUUCAACUCCUCAUUCUCAACAGCCAACACAUACACAAUCCACUCAUCCAAUGAUCACUCGUGCCAAGGCCGGCAUCUUUAAACCCAAACCUAGACUUUACCUAACAACCUCUCAUACCAAAAUAAGUGUACAUGCCAGUGUUAGUGAAGCUUUGGAAGAUCACAAUUGGCGUAAUGCUAUGACAGAAGAAAUGAAUGCUUUGGCUAGGAAUAACACACGGUGUUUAGUUCAACCUACUUCUGACAUGAAGAUUGUGGGAAAUAAAUGGGUUUUUCGGAUAAAACAAAAGGCUGAUGGUUAGAUAGAGCGAUAUAAGGCUCGGUUGGUUGCAAAAGGAUUUCAUCAGACCCCAGGAAUCGAUUUCAACGAGACUUUUAGUCCUGUUGUUAAAGUUGCAACAAUUCGAUUGGUGUUAAGUAUUGCUGUGAUGAAAAAUUAGGGUGUAAUACAACUGGAUGUGAACAACGCCUUUUUAAAUGGAGACUUAGUAGAAGAUGUUUACAUGAUGCAGCCUGAAGGCUUUAUCAACAAAGCACAACCAAAUCAUGUGUGUAAAUUGAGAAAAGCAUUGUAUGGGCUUAAGCAGGCUCCAAGAGCUUGGUUUGAAAAACUCAAGAGAGCAUUGAGUGACUGGGGUUUCACAAAUUCUAAAUUAGACACAUCACUAUUUAUUUUGCAGCAAGGAAGGGAUAUAAUAUUUGUCCUUAUUUAUGUGGACGAUAUUUUAAUAACAGGAAGUAAAGAAAGUUUGGUGCAAGAAGUUAUUGAACGACUUAAUUGUCAGUUUGCUUUAAAAGUGCUCGGACCAUUAAGCUAUUUCCUUGGUCUUGAAGCUCAUCGCACAGAGAAUGGCCUACAUCUUAGCCAACACAAAUAUAUUUGUGAUCUCUUGAAGCGCACAGAUAUGGAUGGCUGCAAGGAAACAUCUACUCCUAUGAGUGUAGUACCGAAACUUUCAGCUGAAGGUGGUAAGCAAUUUUCUGAUCCUACACUUUAUCGUAGCAUCGUUGGAGCCUUAUUAUACGUAACUAUUACUCGGCCUGAAAUUUCUUAUGCUGUUCAUCGUUUAAGUCAGUAUAUGCAAAAUCCUUUACAGCCGCAUUGGCUUGGGUGUAAAAGAAUCCUUAGAUAUUUACAAGGAACAGCUGAUUAUGGAAUUUAUUAUACUACCAAAGGAAGAAUGACGCUCACAGGCUAUACAGAUGCAGAUUGGGCAAACAAUAUUGAUGAUAGAAAAUCAACUGGAGGCUACUGUAUUUAUCUUGGCAAUAACUUAAUCUCAUGGAGUUCAAAGAAACAAAAUGCAGUAGCAAGGUCUUCAACUGAGUCAGAGUAUCAAGCACUUGCAAAUACCACAGCAGAAAUUUUAUGGCUUCAAUCUGUGCUUAAAGAGUUGCAGGUGCCACUAACUGAAAUUCCAAUUAUUUGGUGUGACAACACUGAAGCUGCUUCACUUGCUGCCAAUCCAGUUCAUCAUUCAAGAACAAAACAUAUAGAGAUUGAUGUUCACUUUGUGAGAGAUAUAAUUUCCAAAGGUGGAGUGGAAGUGAGAUAUGUCCCUACUGAAUAUCAGCCUGCAGACAUCUUCACAAAAGCUCUUCCUGGUGAUAGGUUUCAACAGUUGCGAGACAAGCUACAUAUUCUUCCCAGAACAUUGCGCUUGAGGGGGCAUCAUGAAAAUAUUGUAGUAGAGCUACCAAACUUGAGUAAUACGAAUUCAAAGUUGUUAGAUGACAUGGCAGUACACUUGGUAUUCAUUGGUGUUUUGGAAAGUUAAAGUGAUCAACCUUAUCUCUUAGCUUAUCAUUAAUUCAAGCUGCACUUUUGUAUUUAUCAAGAUCAAGAUAAAGAUUACAAUUGUGCUAGGCUUGAUCUUAUUCUUGGCAUUAUCGUGUUUCCUGUAGAGCACUAUAAAUGUAAUGAUUAUGAGAUGAAUAAAAUAACGAAAAGGUGUUUUGUUUCUUCUUUAAGCUCAUCUUUAUAAUUUAAGUAAAGGGACUUUUGCAUAGCCUCUGGUGUGUGUGUGAUUUCUCUUUCGUUUCCUCAUCAAAUUCUGUAAUUCUUGCUUCGAUAAAAAGCUUUUAAUCUCUUCUGUAGUGUGUGAUCAGUGCGUAAUCAUUUUGAGCAAUAACAGCUUGUGGGUUUUUCCUUCAAACAGUGUCGUUUUGGUCAGUUUGUUAGUUUCUGUGUUCGUCUGAUUCCAUUGCUCUUGUUCUCUGUUCUUGAUCUGUUCGUGGAAUUUUUCUUUGGUUAUUUGUUCUCAAAUUUCAACUGUAUAUAAAGUUUGAACUCUGAUUGCUUAUAAUGUAUUGAUUAAGAAUAAUCCUAAGAGUUCCCGAUUGAAAUUUUUAAUGACUAUUUUUAUUGUUUUGGAUAUACAAAUUGAAUUAAGAAAAAAUAUUGUCAAAUUCAGAGGAUAAGGGGAAAUAAUUAUGCUUCAAAAGGCCAGAGAUUAGAGAAUAAAGAAGCAUUCAUUACUCUAUCAAAAAAAAAAAAAAAAAAAAAGCAUUCAUUACUGAUAUACAAACUGCUUUUAUUUGGAUUUUGGAAGGGGUGAAGUUUUGAACUUCAGUUGUUCCUCUAAAAUCAAAAGCAGCAAUUAAGCGUUCUCAAUUAGAAAGAGCUAAGAAGACUUAUUGGUACCUUACUGAAGCUAACAUUAUGGCACAGUUGUUCAUAUAUAAUGGCUGCUCUGUUAUGCUAGCUUCUCUGUUUUUGCUUCUAUUUUUGCUUACAGUUUUGAACAUAAAUUCUUGCUCAAAUAACCCAUAAUUAAAUAACACUAAUAUGGCUCGUGAAAUCCCAUAAUAGCUAAUUACGCAACUUUCUCCUCCUCCUCAAUUCUGUCUUCCCCUGCUCGUACACUAAAUUCAAAAUUCAAUGCCCCGAAAAACAACACAAGAAAUCUUUGAGUUAAUUCGCGACCAGUUUAUAUAUAGUAGCAAUUGAAAAAGGAAAAAGAAUAAAAGAGUUCAUUAUUAUUCAGACCUUCACUUAUUAGGAAGUUUGUUCUGCUGUUGGGUGAGAUCAAGCUCUCAGCAUAUACUUCCACAUUAUACUUUCUAACAUUUUCUUGAAAGCCAUCAAUCAUAAAAUCUUCAUACUUUUUUCCAUCCUUUGGAUCAAUAAGUACAAAUUUCUCAUCUAAAACAGACAAAAUAAAAUCACUGUCCUUCAUGGAACAUAAUGGCUGCAAUGCCUGAACUGAAUUGGCUAAUGAAAUUUGAGUCCAGGAUUCUCUCAGCCCAUAUUCUUUCAUAAUCCAAAAUUCUUUUCUUUCUCGACAUGGAACAUAGUCUUCUUUUCUUUCUGGACAUAUGUCUCUGUACUUUUCUCUCUCUACUGAUCCACACUUUUUCAUACUUCUAACUAUCAUUUUGUUUUUUUUUUGUUAAGUUGUGAUUUAUUCAAUUAUUUUGUAUUUUUAAUGAAAAUUAUUUAAUAUUUAGUUAGUUUUGAUAUUGAUUAGUGAUUGAAAGUGUAUUUUAGAAGACUUCCGGUCUCUUGGAAAAAGGAAAAAUGGAGACGAAGAAGAAGUGUUCUUGAUUUUUUUGUAGGCAUUAAAGUUAAACGGUUUGAAAUGAUAUUUUGUUUUAAUUUCACUCAUUAAUCUCAUUCAGGAUAAAAUUAUAAAUGCAAAUAAAUGGGGUUUCAUGAGUUUUUUUUAAUAGUGUUAAAAGGUCUACUCACUAAAUAAAUAUGUUUAACCCAAACCAAUGCGAUUAGUAAGUUAUUGGGUUGGGUUGAUCAGGUUAAAAAUUAAAAUUAAAAAUUAAAUAAUUAAAAAAGGCAUAAAAACUAUCUGUUACUUGAAAAUAAAAAGAAUUUCUAAUAGUUAGUUCUAAUGUCCCAUAUCCAAAACAUCCAUAUUAAAUAAAUAUUAUAAGUUAGAAAUACAAUAUCCAAGAAAGAAUGAAUGAAAUACCAUAUUUUUGUUGAGAAUUAAGAGUGUGAUUUUAAUUUUGAUAUUGGAGUCUAAAGUGCCACGUUUAAAUAAUCUCUUUUAUAAAAUAAUAAAAAGAGAUUAAAAAUUAGGUUAGCCAUUUAGGCAUUCAGGGUUUAGCAAUUAAGGAUGAACAUAUUAUUGUUGUUGUUUUUUGUUGUUGUUGUUGUUGUUGUUGUUGUUAUUAUUAUUAUUUAUAUGUUUACUAAUCCAAUUUACGUAUAAGUACAAAAGUUUCAAAUAUUGUCUAUUAUUUUUUUAACAUGCCUAUUCCUUGUGGAUAAUUCUGUCUCAUCACUAAUGUUGUUUCUUGCUUACAAUUUGUAUAGCGUCUCAAAAUAGACAAUAGGGGGAUUUUGAAUUUUUUAAGUCUCAAUAUAGUCUCUUAUCUUGUGAGACAGAUUUUCUUUCAAUAAUUUGGAGGUAAACAUAACAUAACUUUUUGGACUAAAGCCUAGCUCUGCUAAUUAGUAAUUGGUGGUAUCCUUUUCAAGACCUGAGUCUUUAAAUUCGAGUUUUAUAUAGUGCGCAUGUGUAUUUAAUUAAUAUUUUUUUAAAAAAAUUACAUCAAAUACUAAUAUUCAUGACAUAAUUUAGUUCAUAAUGUUUUUUUAAAUACAUCGAAAAUAUAAUUUUUUAACAACUUAUAGGCAUGACAAAUUUCAAGAUAUAAAUAUCAGUCAAAAUAAGUGAAAGAAAUAAUGGUGCCAAUUCUAAUUUCUUAACUAAAUUAAUUACUGCAUGAGCCCCCAAUACGGCACGAGAGUUUGAUGGGCUAACUUGGCACAAGAACAAUAGUUAAUUGAUUUAAGAAAUAAUUCAAUGAAAAAUAUAAUUGAUAAGAAUUUAGUAUUGAAAUGAGUUUUUUUCGAAACACUGAAUUAAUGAUUAUUAAGCAAGAACAAUAAAAAAAAUAAAAUAAAAAAUAAAGAUUAACCAUUGAUAAGCUUCAACAAGAACUUAACACAACCCUCAAUCCUAAUUCAAAUUAUAAAUGUCAUUCAUAUAUUCAUUAUAAAUCAAUAACAAAGGUUAUAAAUGUUUAGAAAUUCUAGAGGGAAGGAAGCUAUCGCCGGGCAAUCAACAACUAAAUUUGAUGUAAUUGUGGCACAAGAUGGAAUAUGAAAACUACACCAUAAUUUCAAAUGCCGCCAUAGACAUUGACUUAUCUACAGUAACAAUGAUCUAAUUAAAAUUAAAAUAAAGUUUAUGGGCAUUUAUUAUAUUUGCCAUUCCUCAUUUGCAAAUAGGGAUAUAAUUAUAAUUUUACUUAGUCAAAGCAAUCAGUAAUUUUUAGGGGUGUUCAAAAUUCAAUCCGAUCCGCUCAAUCCGUCUGAUCCGUAGAAAUCCGAUCCGUAAAAAUCUGAUCUGUGGAUUGGUAGAUUGGAUUGAAUUGAAAAUUUGAUAAUCCGCAAUCGGUGGAUUGGGUAUGGAUCUACUUCUGUAAAUUCGUAAAAAUCCGUGAAUCGGCAAAAAAUAAAAAGUAUUUAUUUAUUAAAAAAUAAAACUUGUAAAUAUGGCAAUAGUACUUACUAGUAAAUAAAUAAGUUAAAAUAUAGUUACAUUAACACUAUAUUAUAUCUUAUCCGAUAAUAAUAAAAAAUAAAAAAUAAUUAAAUAAACAAAUAUAACUUUCUAAAUAGUUAAUUUUCAUGUACUGAUCUAAACGAAUGAGAUUUUUUUUUUUUCAUUUUGGUGUGUUAUGUUUUGAACUUUAAAUGUAAUUUUUAGUUUUAUUUAAACAAGUAAUUUAUUUAAAUCUUAUUUAAUUUUAAAUUUGAUCGGCAAUAAAAUUAUUUAUAUUAAUUUUUUUUUAUUUAGUUAGUUCGUAGAUUGGACAGUAUUAAAAAUUUUCAGUCCGUAAACCAAUUCGCAAAAUGGUGGAUUGGAUAUGGAUUGGGUCAAAUCCGCAUCCAAUCCGCAGAUGUAUGAAUUGAAUUUCACCAAUCCAUGAAUUGGAUUGGAUUAAAAAUUUAUAAUCCGCAAAAUCGUGGAUCAGAUAUGGAUUGAGGUCCAAUCCGUAAAAUUUGAUCCGGAAACACCCCUAGUAAUUUUCUUCAUUAUAGGAGUGAAGUAAAAACAUUUAGAUUUUAAUGUAUGUACGGAAAAAUUUAUCUUUAAAAAUACUUUCUUAAUGUGUGUAUAUAUAUUGAAAUACUCAAACCAAUUUUGGUUAUUAUAUAAUUAAACAAAUUUUAAAAUAUGAAAAAUAUAAUGUAGUUAUAGUGGAUAAACAAUAAGUGAGCGCAAUAUAAUUAAUCAAAUAUCAUGCCAUCAAAAGUUAAUUUUAGAAAUUCCAAAUCCAACAGCCAACACAAUUCUUUUAAAAAAAAGCUGACACAAUUAAUAAAAUUAGUGACAUGAAUUUCACACCAUUGAUAAUAAGCAAUUAGUAUUACUUUCUAAACUUGCUUCAACUGGUCGUUGAUGUCCGGGGUCACCAAAAGUAUAAGCAAUAAUAAGGGGCAUUGGGCAAGAGUGAUGAAUGUUUAGUCGGUGCAUUUGAUUGCUAGAUAUAUAAAGGGCCGAAACUUGAGAUUAUAUUACUUUUACAAAUUUUAAUCCAAUCACAUAUUUAAUGAAAACAAAAUGAGUUAGGAUACUUUAUUUAGAACCCACAUUUUAAUAAGGCUUCAUUUGAUGUAGUUUUUUAAACAGUGAUUAUUUAAGUAAAUUUUCCUCAAUAGAGUUUUUAUCAAACAAAUUUAUUUAUUUAGUUGUCGAUAAGAGUUUUUAUUAAAAAUUAUAAAAUUAUUUAAAUAAACAUGUUUUUUAAAAUUACAUUAUAAAAAUAAUUAAAUAAAAUUAUAAAAGUAAAAUAUAUUUUAGAUAUUUUAAUAUUUAAGAAAAAUUUUCAAUCUCUACUUUCAAAAGCUCAAAUUUUUAGCUUUUAGUUGUAGAGACAAAAUAUUUUAUUUAAUCUUUAAAAGUUAUGCUAAAAACAAUCAAAUAACUACAAAAAUUUUAAUAAGAGUAUAUAAAAUUAAAUGGUAAUUUUUAAAAACCUCCCCUGAGGUUUGGGCUUGUUGCAAGUAGAUGGCGAGAAUCCAUUUAUUUGUAACAAACCCCCUACCGUCAGUUAAUUUUUGCAUUAACCGUUAGUUGACUGUGCAAAGACAAUAUUGUCCCUAAUGACAGUUUGUAGACUGACAUAGCUAAAAAAAAUGCUGAGAUUGUCGGCACGAAAAUCACAAAUAAUUUUUUUUUGACAAUUUUGUCCUUGUUAAUUCCAAGAUUUACAAUGUCAUAAGUAAGGAUUAUGACUAUUUUACCCUCUUAAAAUUAUUGAUAAUUCCUUAAAAUUUCUACAAAAAAGAUAAAAUUAAAAACUUGAAGAAAAAUAAAGUUCUCAAGCCGGCUAACCAAACACAUAGAAUAAAAAAUCCAUCGUUUGACAACAAAAACAACUUUCCAUAAACCCAAACAAAAAUAAACAAGUCCCCAUUACUCUAAUUGGCUUUGCUUGGAGCUGUUACUAUUGUGCAUACAUUUCUAGGCAAAGCAAAAUGACCCCAUGAUAUAAACCUUAUAAAACAUGCCUCCACUAUUCUUAAUUUUGGUAUAAUAAUAAUAAUAAUCACAAAAAAUUAAUUGAAAACUUGACUAAUUAUCUUUGGUGGAGAAUUUUAAACCGAAACCGAUUCAGGAACCUUAAAUUGAUCAAAAGGAAGCUAAUAAUGACAAAAAAGUAACCGAUCAAAAAUCAUUAAGCAUAAAAAAAUAUUGAAUUUAAAUAACUAAAAAUGCCAUCGGAAAUUGAAAUUAAUUAUUUAACAUAUAGCAUGAAAACAAAUCUUCACUAUUGGUGCUAGGCGGCUGUCGUUUAGCUUGGUUCUAAGAGGUGGCAGUCAGUCAACUUCGAGACGGUGCGUUCGAAGUCAACUAAGCUGCAGCAGAGGUUGCAGGGGGCAGAUUGCAGCGAAGUCGCGGUGGAGCAGAGGUCGCGUCGCGGUGGAGAAGAGGUCGCGUUGCGCUGGCUUGGCUUCACGGUGGUGGGAUGGCUGGGCGGGCUGGCCAGCUGUGUGCGCAUUGUAUAUGAUUGUUUUUCACUUUUUUAAUAUUUUCUUGUGCAUUAGUUCAGAUUAGAUUAGUGAGUUUGUGUGUGUGUUUGCAGUUGAUUUGGUUAAGAUAUUUAGGUUAAAAUAAUUUUUUUUAAUAAAUUUUUUUUUUCAAAAUGUCAACAAUGCCCACAACUACCCAAAUGGCAACUAAGCAGAGUAAAAACGUAGGGGUUUUUUUUUAUAAAUAAAUAGAUUCUCGUCAUCUAUUUGCAACAAACUCAAAUCUCGGGGGAGGUUUUUAAAAAUUACCCUAAAAUUAAAUAAGCAUUUAUUAAUAAUCACUUUGGUAUACUUAUCUAAUGACCAUAAGUGUUUAUUUAAUCUCAUAAGUUCUUAUUUAAUCUCAUGAGCUCUUUUCAAUUUUUUUUGUUGUUUGUUUUUUAGUAGAGUUUUUGAAAAUUAAAUAAACUAUUUUGUCUCUACUAGAAAAAACUCAAAUUUUAGAUUUUUGUGAGUAAAUGUUUAAUUUUUUAAAAAAAUAUUAAAAUAUCUAAGAUAUCUUUCCUUUAUUUCAUAAUCUUAUUUCAUUUUUUCAUAACAUAACUUUCAAUAACUUACCUAUUAAAAUAAUUUCACAAUUUCUAAUAAAAACUCUAAUUGACAAUUAACAAUUUUUUUUUGUUUGUAAAAACUCUAUUUAUAAAAAAUCUAAUAAAAAUUCUAUUUAAAUAAAUUAUAUUUGAAAAGGUGUACUAAACCAACCUAAGAUAAAAACAAAAAUUUUUACAUCCAGACAAUUAAGCUUAAAACAAUUUCAAAUGAAUUUUAGACUAAUCAAAGUACAAUACGUACCAAGUUUGGUAACUUAUUGACAUCUUCUCAUAUAACCUUCGAUCAAGUCGAUUCUCACCUGACGACUAAUUGGUACAUCACCGUUGUUCUCUAUACUCGCAUGCAUCCGAUCACAAAUCUCACUCCAAUUGUCGUCUUUCUUCGGCGUUUUAGCACAUCCUUCUUGAAUUUCCCGCAUUUCGUUCCCUCCUGUUACAAGUCUCCGGUCAGGUCAGUUCUCUUGACGAUUAAUUCGGCAAAUCUCGAAUCUCUUCUCGCGUCGUUUCACUUCAAUUUUUUGUGUCUCCUUUCAGUUUUAGUGAUUGAAUCAAUUUUAUUGCAGUCUGAGAGAAAUUAAGUAAUGCUCUUGGAUUUAAAUUUUUUUUGCUUUCGACUUUAGAUCUCGAAAGUCAAACUCUGCUACGAAUCCUUAGAUUCUCAAUGUUUAUAAUCUUAUUUGUGUUUGACCAGGUAACUGGAUCGUGAAAUUCGUCGUUUUGUAUCAAUUCAAGCUUUCGCGAGCUCAUGGAAUCACCUGGUGAGUUGUGGUGAAACGUUAUCGUUUCAAUUUUCGCUUAAUUCUUUAUUGCAUAUUUUUUCUCUAACAUUUCAGUUUAAUUUAGAAAAGAAAGAGGACCCAAAAAGAGAGAGAGAGAGAGAGACUCUACCAUACUCAAUUCCUUGCUCAUUCUGAUUUGGCCUGAAUGUUGGCAUUGACUAUUAUUUGUUUUCAUUUCGAUUUAAUUCUCAUUUAGACAGUCUUUACUAACGGUCAAUAAUAGUUUAAGGAAAAUGAUAAUAGGGAUUCUGCAAUAAUCUUUUUAAGGAAAAUGAUAAUAGGGAUUCUGCAAUAAUCUUUUUAAGGGAUGUAUAACUUAUUAAUCAGAGUCCUGUUAUUAUGGUUUGACACUACUGACAUAUUGUGUUGGUAUUUAUUUGUACUUCCCUUGGUUGAAUUAUUUGCUGUCCCCAUGCCAUUCGAUAUGGUGCUACUUGGUUUUUGAUCAUCCAUGACGCUAUAUAUAUGUAAAGGAUGAAUUGAUUGUUUUGGCUUGUAUUCUCACAUUUUAUGAUUGAUCGAUGGAAAGGUCUUCAUGUAUUAAAUUCAACCUCACAAGCGUAAGAUUGACAGAUUCUGGGCAAAUUUUCAGGAAAAGAAACUAGACUUCAUGGAAGCAAUGAAGCUUGAAAUUGAACGUCUGCAGCUGAAAGGGAUAGAGCUUUAUUGUCAAUUGGAACUGAUCCUGCCUCUAUAAAUCCAAAUGUAUUGCUUGAUGAAUCUUACAUGGGAAGACUGUCGAGUAGCAACCACUCUUGCAUUACUUGGCCAAACUUCCCUAGAAGACAAAAUUGUUGGUGCAAUGGCCUUGAGAAUAGUGAUGAUAGUGUUUUAGACUUCUGGAAUAUUACUAGAAUCGGAGAGAGUUGUUCUGGUGGCGCGUGCAAGGUUCGUGCAGAAACUAAGGUGCCUGCUCUUGCUUCCUCAACUGCAGCAUCUGUUGGAGCUUCACAAUCCCCUUUGUUGUGUUCUCUGUUGUGUUCUCUGUUGUGUUCUCAAUGUGAAAGAAAAGUUUGCAAAGUUUGUUGUGCAGGAAGAGGAGCUCUACUGUUUUCAAAUUAUAAAUCAAGGGAUGUGACCAACUACAAUGGCUUCUCAAGUCAGAGUGGAUCAAGCCAUGGAAGCCAAGUUGAUGUAUCUACCAGUCGUUCACUAACACUGGAUGGCGUUAUCUGUAAACACUGCUGCCAUGAGAUUGUGCUUGAUACAAGUUCACAACACCAUUACAAAGGAUUCAAAAUUCCCACACGAAAACAUCAAUGUACAGAUUAUAAACAAUCCGAAUUGGACACAAGAAAAACCCUUCAAUGGAUUGCUUGCCUUCCCAAUGCUAUAUACUGUGCAAACUGCGCACUGUCCAAGAAAAUGUUUUCAAUUUAGUGUAUUUUCAAAAUGCUUAUUUUCUCAGAAUAUAUAAAAAAAAAAAAAGAAUUCUUACAUGUUUCAUCAGCAUGAUUAAAAUCAAAGAAGAAAGCGAGACAUAAUGUCUCUGACAUAAUAAAAUUACAAAAAUUUAAAAAAAAAAAAGUUAAAACAUGUAAUCUUCAUAAGCAUAUAAUAAAAUAACACUUCCACAAAUUACUACAAUUUCAUGCAGUAGAGAUUGAAGAGUUGAAUUCCACUUAUAGACACCGACCUCUUAUUUUGUCUAAUGUUAACAAUGAAAAUAACAACAGUAAUGAAAACAACAACAGAAUACAACAACAGAAAACAACAAUCCGCUCUGCAAAUUCUCUUGGGACUUGGUUCCAAUUCCUCUUCAUCCGAAGUUCCACUCGAAUCAAAUUCACUUGCAGCAGUUCCACUCGCGCUUGGCAAAUCAUCCAAUUUCCAAACUUCGGUAGCAAAAUUGAGAGUAAAAGUGUUGGCUUUGGUCUCGCUGGGAUUUGCAUAUACUGGACAUACUCCGUAACGUUUUACCUUGUGACCCUUUUGGUUUUGGUAACAAUUAUUGAAGAACUUAAGUGAGACAGUUGUAUGAUGGUAACCAUCAGGAAAGCCAACAUUCAAGCAAGGUUUAAAACCAAGUAUGACAUGAUCUGAAUCAAGGGAGUAUUUAUUUCUAACACUUGUGGUUGCGGGCCCACUGAAACCUAGAUCAACAUGUUUGGUUUCAGAGAGAGUCUUUAUUUCUAAGUCGAGUUGAGAGCGGCCGAAAACAUUGCAGCAAUAACAAGAACCAACUUUCUUAAAAUUAAGAACCGCACAAAAAGCAAACCCGAUUAAGUUUCUGCAAGAAGAGUGCGGUGGCAGUUGAAUACCUAUCGAAGAUCCUGAACUUUGAUUGUUGAACCAGUCAGGAAUUUCGCUCCCAGGUAAAACAAUUAGGGAUGUCCUGAGUUCAGAAAGUUUCUGUGAAAUGACAUUUAAAAAAAGAAAAUUGUAAAAUGAAAACCAUGAUUUCAGAUAUAACAAAGAGGGACAGAGUAAACAAGAGAGGGAACUUGAUGCGUUCUAAAUGUUCCAUUUUCUCCAAGAUUUCUGGGAAACGCUCAAGGUUCAAGCAGCCAUGAAGAAAAAGCUCAACCAAAGAUUUCAAUUUACAAAACCUAGUUGAAAUCCUCUUCAGCCGUUCGCAAUCCCUCAAAUCCAACUUUUCAAGAUCAGUUAGGCACUCUAUUGAUGAUGGAACUUCUUCUAUUGCAGACUGGCUUAAGUAUAGCCGUGUAAUUUUCCCAGAAAUCUGUGGAAACUCUACGAGAUUAACACAAUAGGAGAAAUUAAUAGUUACUGGACAAACAAAAUGAAGAUUGCUUGGAAAAGACCUAAGACUUUUGCAGCCCACAAAAUCCAACCUACUGAGAUACUUGAAAUUCUGGAUAGAUGAGGGAACACAAGCCAUUUCUCCUUCCCAAAUUUGCUCAACUUUACUAAAACGCAAAUUCAGUCCAACAAGGUUCUUUGGCUUGAAAUUUGAUGGCAGUGUCCUUAAUGGAUAUGUGUCCCAAUGAAGAUAUCUCAAUUUUUUAGGAAGAUAAUCUAGGCCAUUUGGAAGCUGCACUUUAGAGUACGAAAGUUGCUCUUCAAUGCUCAUACUUAGAAGCUUUUCAAUCUCAUACUUAGGUACAUAAAAUUUGAGCAAUCUCAGAUUAGACAUAUUUGUGAAGGCUCCGGGGUCUAAAUUGAUGCCUUUUAUUUUGGACAAAUCCAAAAAUAUGCCUUCAAUUGCAUCGGUCCCCUUAUUAAAAAAAAAAAAAAAACAAAGAAUGGGUAAGCCUAAAACAGAAAAGAAACAUUCGUAAACUUUAUUAACUAAGAGCUCCUAAAACAAAACAAAUUCUACGAUCUUUGAUCUUAUUUUUUUAAUAUAUUAAAUAUCUAUAUGCGAGAAAAGAAAAUUUUGGGAACCAUUGCAAAAUUAAACUAACCGAAAAAAAAAAUCAAAAUUUCUCUAAUUUACAAACCUGUUAUCUUACUAUCUAGAAGUUGAGAAGACAGGGCCUAUUUGAUUGGUAUAAGAUUUCGAUUUUUUUUUUAGUCCAUAGAAUCCAAAAUGUUAGUUCAAAAUUAGGGAAAAAAAUGAAAGUUAUUUUUUUUCCACUAGUUGUAAUUGUAUCCAAGUCAAAUUGAGAUAUGACCCUUUUCGAAAGGAUUUAAUCAUCUUAUAGCCUCCUUAAAGGAGUGAUUGGAGGCCUAACUAGGUAGGCCAAUCAGUCCAUUUUAUUAGCGACUAUUGCUUAAAAACAUUUAUACUCUAAAACACACUUACUUUUUUGAAAAAAAAAUAUAAUUAUAUUGAAGUAGAACCAGGUGGGCCAAUCCUCAUGGCACUCACUUUGUUCUGACACUCUUCACUAAAUUUGAAAAAAAAUAAAAUUAUACUCUUCACACUCUUAUUCAACAUUCCAAAAUUGAUAAAAUCUGGAGUUUUCAUUAAAAAUUUAAAAUUUGAAGACUUGUUCUCUUGACACCCUCAGUCAUUAAUUUUACCUAAUUAUGGUUUUUAUGAUUUUGGUUGUUUUGUUCAUAAAAAUGAUUUUACUAAAGGAUGUUCUGGUAAUAAUAAAAUUUAUAAAAAAAAACAUGGUUGUGCUGGUAUGAUUGGAAAAAUAUGAGUGCAUAACUCCAAACAAAUAAAAGAUAUAUAAAAAAAAAUGGAGGAUUCUUACCAUAUUAUGCUUUAGUACGCGGCGGAUUUCCUUAGGAUCCCACAACCUCUUGCGUUUGCCUGGCUCUUUCUCAGAUUCUUGGCGUCGCCCCAUUUCUUGCAAUAUAUCAUGCAUUUGCAAGCGGUUAUAUGACACUGUUAUGAGUGACUUAUCAACAAGGACAUCCAGUCCAACAGACUCAGAAUCAUCAAGAAUCCUUGCCACAAAAUCUUUAUCCUCUCCCUCAAAGAAACACGCAAUAUCUAGAAAUAUGCUCUGCACCCUGGGCGUUAAUUCAUCAAAACUAAUCUUUAAUUUCUUAUAAAUAGCAUGAAUAUCAGAUUCACAAAUCCGAUUUAAGUCGUGCAAUACUUUUCCCCAAUGGCUUUUCCCCUUGAGGGAGGAACCCAACACUUUAAGAACUAAUGGAUUGCCAUCAGCAUACUUUACAACUCUCCGUGAGUCAGGUUUGAAAUCUUCAGGACAAUGCUUUUCUUUAAAAGCGAAGUUACAAAAAUGCUCGAAAGCCUCAUGAAAAUCCAUUCCAUUAACCCUAUAUAUUUUCUUCUCCUCCACUCCAAAUUUUUCGAGGACUCCUUUAUCCCUAGUGGUUACAACAAUUCUACUUCCUGGAACAAAUUGAUCAAGCUCUCCAAUCAGACCCUCUAAUUGUCCAACUUCAUUCACAUCAUCGAGUACUAUCAACACCUUCAUACGCCGGACCCUCUCUUUAGUAAAAUGUGGAAUAUUGGCACCAGCUACUUCAAGUUUUUCGCUUAAUAUUGUUGAAAGCAUUUCCUUUUGUAGGUCUUCUAGGCCACCCUCUGUUUCUGAUUUUCUCCUAACAUUUUUUGCAAAGUAUUUACCAUCAAACUCACCAGAGAAUUGAUUGAAAAUAGCUUCAGCAAGGGUGGUUUUGCCGAUACCACCCAUGCCCCAAAUUCCAACAAUUUGGACAGUAUCCGACAAAUCCAUACACAAAAAUGGUUUAAUCUGCUCAAUUCGUGAAUUUAAUCCAACUAGGCCGUUGGAUGAGUCCGUUGAGACUGUUAUUUUUUCCAACUUCUUCAAAACAUCUUCGACAAUUUUGUUUACAAGUUCCGCAUCGUGCCUAAUAUAAAGGUGCAAAGAUGCAAAAACAUUGAGUCAAAUCGGGCCAACACAGAAACAGAGAUAAGAUGAAUUAGGAAAGAGAGUUACCUGAAUUUCGUGGAUUCGUGGCCAGCAAGACCGGAUGUUUCUCUCAGUGCAUCCCUCCACCUCUGAACCAUUUCUGGCUUCUCUUUGAACUGUUGUUCGAGCUUACCAAAGCCGACCCCAAAAAUCCCAGUUUGAUGCCGCACAUCGGACGGACUUACGCCAUAGAAAACCGGAAUAAUGAUUUGGCCGUUUGUGUGCUUGCAUUCAAGAAUCUCGACAAGUUCAUACAGGCACCAUUUUGAAGAAGCGUAGUCCGUUGAGAAAAUGACCACCGAAAUUUUUGAACCUUGGAUUGCGUUCAAAAGGGCAGGUGAAAUCUCAUCUCCGCGCCUAAGCUCUUCAUCAUCAAUAAAUGUUCUGAUUUUCUUUCUUUUAGACAAAGCAUCAUAGAGAUGGCAAGUAAAGAUCGCACGAGUGUCCUCCCCUCUAAAAUUGAGGAAGACUUCAUAAAUGCAAGGAGAAGAAGCCAUGAAGGAAAUAUUAGAAAUUUGGUGACAGAAACAGAGAAUUAAUCUUGAGAGCUGAGAGAGGAGAUGUAAGAAUGAACAUGUGUGAAUAUUCUUGCGAGUACAUAGUAAAUAAUUGAAUGGCUCGAGCUUUCUUAGUUUCCUGGAAAUUUCCUGGAGCUUUCGUAUACAUGAUUUGUCAAGUCAAGAAACAUAGUCAUGAUAAUGGGGCAGACCAGGAAGAAAAGGAAAUUGGAAUUUUGUACAAUUUCUCCAGCGAGGAACUUUCACUGUCAUUACCUCACCGUUACAGUUUGGAUUAGGGUAAUUUUUACCCCGCACCCAAAUGUUUUGACAUACAGCACAACGCACCCAAUUCUUUUGCCCAUGAGCACCGCGCACCCAUUUCCGUUUAUUUUUCAGUUAACUGUAACAGAUCAGGGUAAAAUUGGAAUAACGCAUCAAAAUUUAAAAAUAAAAAAAUAGGUAAACUCGAUGUUUGCGCCAAAAUAAUUUCACAUCACUGUGCUUAUGUUCACUGCGUUUGCGUGUGAGACCAAGAAGCAUGGCCACACCUCCAUUGAUGCCAAAAUCGAGGAGGUGGGUGAAGAAGAAUUGGCGCCAAAAUCAUUCACAUAUGAUGUGCAAGGAAAUUAUUUCAGCCUUUAAAUACUUUUUUAUUACAGCAGCAUCAGCUAUUGCUCUGUUUCGAAGAUCUGCUCAAUUUCUAAGACAAUAGUUGGUUUGAGAGUUUAAGGGAAGUGAAUCCACUGAGCGUGCUAUUGAAGAAGUGGAGGUCAGUUUCAUUUCUUGCUCAAUUGUUUUAAUUUAUUCCAUUUUGUUUGCAUGUCAAUUAUUUACACAUUUUUAGCUGGAUUUUGCUUAUCUAUAAAACUUGAAUCAUUGUUAAUCAAAUCAGCUAUAAUUUACGCCUCAAUGUGGUUUGUAAGUUUAAGUUAUGUUGGAUUAUACCUGAAUAAUGUGGUGUUUGCGUUAUUGAUUUCAAUUUCUAUUGAUGAUUUUGAGUAUACAUAUUAGUGGAUGAAAGUUUUUAAUUAGGAUGAUUGGUCACGCAUAUAUGUCAUAGCAACUGUGUUUUUUUGGGUUAUGGUUGUACUGUAGAUCAGUAGUAGUAGUGAUUUGGAUAUAAACGCUAGUGCUUUUAUUGUAAAUGAUAGUGAUGAAGAUCCAGUGUUACAGAAUUUGAUGUAAAAGUUAUUGGUUUUUGGCUAAAUAUCUUAGAUAAAUAUGAUGCUCAUGCAAUCAAAUCCAAUGCUUAUGCAAUUUACACCAUGUUUAUGAUAAGUAAUUAAAAAAAUAAAUGACUAUUCCAGGUGAAAAUGGAUGAUGAUGAUAUUACAACUGUUCUUUGUACAUUCAAGGGCAAGACAUAUAAUGUUGGUGUAAUUGAUCCAGAUAAGUUUAGUAGAGUUUCUGUAAUUAACAAGGUUUUAGUUAGAGUCUAUGGAAGAAAGAUGAGGCCUGAUGAGAAGUUUACACUAAGUGUUUGGGUACCAUGGGUCUAUAAGGAAGUAGAGAUUAUGUCUGAUCAUGACUUAAUAUUCCAGCUGAGAGAGCAUAAUAAGAUGUUGUUCUACUGCAUGCAAUUGUAUAUUGAAGAAAUCCAUGUACCUCAUGAGUUUGUACCUAGAAGGGCUUUGUUUCAGCACUCAGCAGAAGAAAGCUUACAAGGGUAUGCUGAAACAAACUUUCCAGCCACUACUGACCUGCACAAACCUUAUACACAUGCUACAUCCACCAACACAAAUCCUUAUGAAAAUGACAGUAAUGACCAUUCGAACCAUGAACCCCCUGUCAAGAACUCCAGCAGCAUAAUGAUGCAUAAUGUUGCACUUGAUAGCAUCCAAUCACAGACCAAACCAGAUACCAACCCUGACCUAUAUCAAGACUUUUUGGAUACCUAUUUCAGAUCAUCACCACAACAGAAAACACCAUCAGCUGCCCAAACUAAUGCCGAAAAUAGUGAUAGUGAUAACACAUCUUCAUUUGGUACAAAUAAGACUCCUACUGAGCAGCUUCAACAAAACUUUGCCAUCUCUUCUGAGUUGUCCCCUUUAUUGCAGCAACAUGGACAUCAUGCAUCCCAAAAUGAACCUAUACCUUUUCACCAACCUGAGUUCUCAUCUCAACCAAUAACUCAAAACCCUCAGUCACAAGUUGUACAAGCAGAAAACUUCCAGCAACCAGAAGCCACUACACCAGCACUAGUAGAUUAUAACUCAGAUGAUAGCCAUUAUAGUGUAACUGAUAGUGAGGAAGAUCCAGAUCAUCCAUUAGGUGCUCCAAACAUUAAUAAUACUCCUAGGAAACCUUCUGUUAAUGUUGACUUAGGCUCUAUGCCUUCUGAUGAUAGUGAUGAAGAUUGUAUGCUAUCUGAUUGUGAGAGUGAUGACAAUGAGUUUGGGGAAGAAUCUGAUGAAGAGAUUGAUCAAGUGCUGGUCAGAAUGGAUGCUGUUAUGAGAGAGAACAUGUACAUUCCUAGUGAUACACCUGUUCAAUUCUUUAUUGGGCAGUGUUUUAGGAACUUCAGGCAGCUGGCAUGGGCAAUAAGGACUUAUGCUGUGGAAAACAAGUUCAAGGUUUAUAAGCACAAGUUUGAAAAAUCCAGAGUAACUGUUGGAUGUAAUUAUUUCAGGUGCCCAUGGUUUUUACAUGUUGCAAAAACUAGAUUUGGACAAACCUUUAUUGUUAGGAGGCUUCACAACGUACAUACAUGUCAGAGAGACUUAAAGAAUCCUGAAUGCACUGCAGAGUUCAUUGUUGCCAAGUUUGCUGCAACUAUAAUUGAGCAUCCAGAUACAAAGGUUGGGUGGAUUCAAAGUGAACUUAGAAGGAUGUAUGGAGCUAAGAUACACAAGUAUAAAAUUUAUAGAGCAAAGAAGAAGGUUUUACAGAGACAAUGAGCUGAUUAUGAGUCUAGUUACAUGUUGAUCAGAAAUUAUGCUCAGGCCAUACUUACUAAGAUGCCACAGGCCUUGGCAUUGGUUAAGGUUUUCAGGAUGCAUGGUCAACAACCUCAAACUCACUUUGACAGCACUGUUAUAUCUUUCCAUGCCCUCAGAGAUGGCUUCAACCAAGGUUGUAGACCCUUCAUUGGUAUUGAUGGAUGCCAUUUGAAGGGUCCAUAUAAGGGUGUUCUUUUAUCAGCAGUUGCUAUUGAUGCCAACAAUGGAAUCUUCCCACUUGCAUUUUGUGUAUGUAGUGUCGAGAGUACAACCAGCUGGACAUGGUUUCUAAGCCACUUUAGGGAAUUUUUACAAGAUACAAGACAACUGACCUUUAUGUGUGAUAGGCAGAAAGGAAUUCAGAAUGCUCUUGCCUUAGAGUUUCCUAAUGCACAUGUUAGAUUCUGUGCUAGACACAUCUUAGCAAAUAUUAAGUUAAAACAUCCUCAAUCUGACUUUAAAGCAUAUUUCUGGGCAGCAGCAAGAGCAUCAAACAGAAGGGCAUUUGAUGAUGCUAUGCAAAACAUAAGAGCAGCACAUGAGGGUGUAUAUGAGACUCUUAGGAGGAUACCACCAAAUUUCUGGUCAAGGCAUGCCUUUGACAAUAAUUGCAAGUCUGAUCAUUGCACUAACAACGUAACUGAAUCUUUUAAUGCAUGGAUUGGGAUUCAAAGAAAGUUGCCAAUAAUCUCAAUGCUGGAGUGGAUUAGGAAGAAGCUGAUGAAAAGAAUGAUUGGAAGAAGAAAUAAGGCAGAGUCUUGGGACAGUGAUAUACCAAGAAGAAUUUAUGCACAAAUGAUGAAGAAUUUACAGAUUGGCAGUGCAAACCCUAUCUGUAGAGCUAGUAAAUGGCUUUAUGAAGUGGAUGAAAAUACCAAGACUUAUAUCGUUGAUCUUGAACACCAUAUGUGUGACUGCGGACAAUGGCAAGUUAGUGGGAUUCCAUGUGUACAUGCAAUGCCUUGUAUUGUGAAUAGUCAAAAAGAUCAAGCUCAGUUCAUUAGCCAAUGGUUGAAGAAAGAUACUUACCUAAGGUGUUAUUCUGGAUUGAUUAAACCAAUUCCAGAUAGAACGUCAUGGGUAGAUGCUGGUGGUGAUGAAAUACUGCCCCCUUUAGUGAGAAGACCACCUGGACGACCUAAGAUGACAAGAAGAAGAGAAGCUGAUGAGGUACCAGCACAUAAUAAACGAUACAAGAUGCAAUGCACUAUUUGCAAGGGAUUUGGACACAACAGAAGGGGUUGUCCUGUUAACCCUCAUAAUGCUCACAAGACAACAAGACAAUAUAAGGUGAGUGUGUAUGCUUGUAAGAGAAUAUUCAAUUAUUUUUUGAACCAUGUUCCUCCCAUGUGAUGACAGCUAAUGUGCCUUGUUUGUUUGUGCUUUUUUAUAGAAUAACCUGAAGAAGCACGUGACAAGGACAAAUGGGGAGCAAAGUGAAGGUAUAAGAGUAAUUUACUAAGUUAUAUUACUAUAUUACUUUACAGCUGUAUUAGAUAAUUAUAUAGUUGUGUAUCACCAAACUAUAUUAAAUUAACUUAUUUAUUUAACGUUGCUUUAUUGGUAAUUUAUAAGGCCAAGUUCACGGAAUUACCUCAACUAUUUUGGAAAGCCAAGACAAUGACAUGGUCCAAGUAACUGUCUCAGGCCAAAACAUAACAAAGAACCAGCAGACUGCAUCUAACAAACGCAAGAUUGGCAAUCAAGCAGGGCCAUCAAAAGCAAAUGAAGUCAUUGGCAAGAGCAUGAAUGGGGUCAUAUCUGUAGCUCCAUGGGUAGGUGAACAGGGAAGAAAAGUAAUGUCAGCCGCUGGAUUAACCUUCAGCAAAGAGGAUGAAGUCGGCAACUAUACUGAAAUGAAGCAUUUGGACAAAGGGAAGGCACCAGCCUUCCCUUCGUAAAGGGUAAAACCAUAGUUUUCUAUUGAUAUAAAUUAAUAUUGGUUUUGGAAAUGAUAUUUAUAAUUUGUAACUUGUUUUGUAGUGAUUCUUUGGCUAUGAUGGAGACAUUGGCAGCAAACUUAUUAACAAACAGUGGAGGCAACAUUAUCAUUUUUUGACACCUUCCACAAUGCCACAUCAACCCACCAGGCACAAGGUUAAGGUUAUCUGGAUGCUGAUUUCAUUAGGAUCAAGUGGCCAAGUAAUGACCAGGCAUGUCAUUGUUUUCUUUUUCUUUUUUAUUUUGGAGCUGAAAUUGGUGGAAGUUGUUGGACAUUAAGCUUAAGCAUUAUAGAGCUGGAAGCUGUGAUGACCUACUAUAAGUAUGAUUGGAAGGGUUUAUGGCAUUUUGAAAGUUUUUGGGAUUAAGAUACAUAUAGGACUGAUAUCAACCAAACCAACACUUUUUUUUUUUGUUUUUUGGUCACAUGUAUGUAAACACCAGAUUGGAUGUGACUAACAUUGUAAGUUGCUGCCAAUAUGCAUUUAUAGAUAAAAUAACUUAUUGCUAUUAUUGAUAUCAUAUUUGAUUAAAUGGUAUAUGUCAAGAAACGAAUGCAUUUUAUUGAUCAUAAGAUUUCAUUUUACACAUUGUUCUAGCAUUCCUUACAGUACAAUACAAGCAAUACAAGUAUAGUUAUCACUAUAAUCGUGAUUUGAUACUUCUUAUUUUUAUGAAGUAAACCUUCAAUAUUGAUGAACCUGUUGUGGAAGUCCUCAAUGUUAAAUUGUUGAAUCUCACUUGCCCUGUCUGCAGCUUCUUCUUCAAACCUUUGUAACGCUGCUUCAAUUUCUAUAGCCUCACCUGUAGAUGGUUUCCACCAUCUAAAGAAACCACAAGAUGGGUCAUUAGGGCAUGUGUAAUAUAGUUUGUUGGGGUUUGUUUUUGAUUCUGACACUUUGAUUUCUGCCCUUCUUCGACAGUAGCAUACUGUGUUAUAGAACUUGAUGAUGCCCCCAUUGAUUUUAGGUAAAUCCCUUCUUCUGUUAUAAGUUGAUGAACUUGAUGCAUUCCUUGAAGUGGACAUUUUCUUCAAAUUUCCAAUGUCGUGUCUGUUAUAUUCUUUUUGAAAUACAGCACAACGUAUCUGAACUUCAAGUUGUUGUGCUUGUUUUGUGUGUGAAUGAAGCUGCUGUUGAAGUUGUAUUGUUUCGGUGGGUAAAACCAAAUGUUGUACUACUGUAAGUUGUUGCUGAGUAAAAAAAAUGGUGGAGUUUCCAGGUGAGUCAAUGAAAAUCACUGAGGUGUGAAGAGGGUAGGAAUUUAUAUGUGUUAAACAUCACAGCUUGUGGUGAUGCAUCAGCUCAAAUUUAUCAAUUUCUUUUACUGUUCUUGUAACCAUAUAGCCGUUAUUACUGUUGCUCAGAUUUUAUAGCCGUUGGAUUUUUGAUGCGCAUGGUAAUAAACCAAUAUGCUAAGGGCAAUAUAGUCAAUAUAAUUUAACAGUUAUAGUUGGUCUUCGUGUGUAAAUACACCUUUAAAUAAUGGCCAGUGGUAAAUUCCUUAGUUCAAUGACUCACCUGGAUGCAUUUGAAUUCAACGCAAGGGUAUAUUUGUCAUUUAAUCAAAAUAUAGACUGAUCCGUUACAAUUAACUAAAAAAUAAACAGAAAUGGGUGCGCGGUGCUCAUAGGCAAAAGAAUUGGGUGCGUUGUGCUGUAUGUCAAAACAUUUGGGUGCGGGGUAAAAAUUACCCUUUGGAUUAUGAUUUGAGGGUGCAAGUAUUUACCUAGAGUUUACCUCCGCACUAAAUUCUUAAGUUUUGAAAAUUAUGAGACCUUUAUAUUGGGAGAUAUUGUAAUCGAAUCAAAACUUAAAUUUUUUAUAAUGUUAAUAUUUAAUCUUUUAAAAAACAAUAACCUCGCCGUUACAGUUUGGAUUAAGAUUUGAGUAAGUAUUUACCUAAAUUUUACCUCCGUCUGUAAAUUCUUAAGUUUUGAAAAUUAUGAGACCUUUAUAAUCGAAUCAAAAUUUUGAAUUUCAAUAUUAUUAUUCUUUAAAAAAAAUUUUGAGAUAACAGAGUGAUUGAUAAUAUAGGAGAACUUGUCUAGGCAAGCACAUGUAUACACAGAAACGUGAUGGAUUCAAAAAGAAAUUAAAGUGAUAAUGCGAAAUCGCUUGGUGGCCCAGUAAAAUUACGACUGAAUUUUUUUUUUUUUUUUUACAAAAUUCAAGCUCAUAAAUGACAAAUUUCAUUUCCCUUUCACACGUCAUUAACUUUUGUAACAUGGUGUGUGCAUCGUCAAGUGAGGCAAAAGGGUUUCAAUUACAGUUGGAAAACAUGAACAAGAAUGCAUAAUGAAUAAUUCCUUCGAUAAACCGAAAAUUAAGCACAGAAUAAUCCUAAAAUUUAAACUCUAAUAUCUUAUAAUGUAUUGAUUAAAAAUAAUCCUAAGAGCUCCCAAUUGAAACUUUCAUAAGUAUUUUAAUUGUUUUGGAUAAACAAAUUGCACUAGGAUAAAAAUUUGGCAAAUUCAGAGGAUAAUGGAAAAUAGUUAUGCUUCAAUAGGCCAAAGAUUAGAGAACAAAUAAGAAUUAUUUAUUGAUAUACAAAAGAGAAACACUCCAAAAUUUCAAGCAAAAAUAGUUUCAUAUAUCAUUUCGAUUUUGAAAGGGAUGAGAUUUUGAACUUCAAUAGUUUCCUCUAAAAUUAAAAGGUAGCAAUUAAGCUAAAAAGAGCAAUGAAGACUUAUUGGUACCUUAUUAAAGGUAAACAUUAUGGAACUUUCAAUGUCAUUAUCUCACUGUUCAAUUUUUAUUGAGAUUUGUGUAAGCAUUUACCUAAAUCUUACCUCCGCCUUUAAAUUCAUAAGUUUUGAUUAAUUAUGAGACCUUAUAUUGGGAGAUAUUAUAAUCAAACUAAAACUUAAAAUUUCAAUAUCAUUAUUCUUUAAAAAGAAAUUGAGAUAUCAGAGUAAUAUCACAUAGAAAAACUUGCCCACGGACGGUAAGCCAAAAGUCUAGUCAACCACACGCAUAAAGCUAACUAGAACAAGAGAACAGAGAAACGCGUGGGUCCCUAAAAGAAAAGGCAAGCACAUAAAUAACUUUCAAAAUGCCCAAGCAAAUACCGAUGAAAAUCACUGUUUAAGAAUAAUUUAUUAUGUGGUUGAAGCUUUCUUUUUAUCAAUCUUCUUUCUACCCAUUAAUUUUCCCACGACUUUCCCGUUUCAUUUCUUGAAUCUCCAUGGAUUAACUUUCAAUAAACCAUAAAAUAAACUAAGGAAUCAUUUUCUCGAAUACAGCUAUGAUUUUAAUAAAUGGGCGGACCAUCUAGAAUAGUAUAUAUAAUUCUGUUUAAUUAAUAAGUUGAAAAAACCAUCAAGAGAAAUUCUAAUAUUAUGAGCUUGACACGAAUUCUUCACUAAUUCCAAAACAAGGAGCUGUUUUAUAAGAACUGUGGUUGGAUUAUUAAGUUUUACAAUUUGAAUAUAAAUAAGAAAAUAAAAUCAGUCGCGUUGAUGUUUUCGAUACAUUUCGCUGCUAACUUUUUUUUUUUUUUUAUUACAUGAGACUAUUGCUCAAAUUACAACUCAUAUUACAUGAGAAUAUAACUGAUAUUUACAAAUCAGACUAUAACUGGGACCAAUAUACAUCAAUACUAAUGGAGCGCUGCCCAGAUUUUAACCCUCUCAAAUAUUCAAGGGAUGUCUACACCUCACACUUGGGUAAGGAAACAGACUGUCUUCACUUAAAUUUACUUGAGGAAUGAAGACCCCCACAAUACAUUGUGGGGGUUCACCACUCGACCAAAGGCCGAGUGGCUCAUUUCGCUGCUAACUUAAUUAAUUACUUUACUUCAACUUUAUUUCCUUAGGGGCACUUUAUGGUGGGUCCAAGAUGGGACCUACAAUAAUCAAUCCUAAAAUUUAGUAUGGUUACCAAAUAGCUAGUAGCUAGUGUUAUUUUGUGUUUGGUGGAAGAGAUUGAAUAUUUAGUUUUAACUUAACCAUUCAACUAAUUAGAAAAUAAAUAAAAUUAAAUGAAAUGUUUAGAUAUCAAUUUAAAUAUUAAUAUCGGGGAUAUAAAUUAGUUAUAAUAUAGUUCAUUACAUAAAAUUGAUUAAAUUAAUAAUUACCCGUGAACAUAGAUGUAUAUGCUUUCCAAUUUCCAAAGUGCUCAAAGCACUUUUCUCACCAAACUUUCCUCUGAAUUUCCCGUAGCUGACUCCUUUGUUUGCGUUUUGUGAAAUUUCUAGGAACUUUUUUCGAUUUAGAAUAUUGUACAUUUUUCUUUUCAGCUGAGAUUAAUUUAACUUAUAGAAAAUCUUAUCCUUUUUUAAUAUUAUUUAAAUAAAAUUUGUCUAUCUUUUAUUUUAUUAGUCUACUUUUUACCCAUUAAUUAAGACUUUUCAAUUUCUUUUUUACCUGAGGUUUUCAGUGACUAUCUUUCAAUAAACCAUAAAAAUUACUUAGUCAUUUAUCGAACAAUUAGAUGACCAUAUUUCAAAAUAUCAACUAGAAGUUGUCCUGAAAUAUUUAAUUAAUAGUUGAAGAAUUGUGAUUAGUGUGGGCAUCUACAUAAAAAUUAUAUUAAAACACCGCUAAAAGAUAAAAAUAAAAUAAAAUAGUACAAACAUACACCCAUAGGUUAAAACAAAGAAAAAACACGAACCAAUACACUAAAAUGUUUUAGCUGUAGUUAGUUUUCAGUUUCAUUACUUAAGUCCCACGUGCAUGUCACGUGACUGAGGUCAAAAAAUGAUUGUCACAUUAAAGUUCAAAAUACGGAGCAGGGUAAUUAAGGAGUGGAGCUAUUGGCACCCCUCCAUUAUUCUUACAAAACUCCACUUUAAAUCAAAAUAUAAUUAAGAAUAAUUGAAAAUUAAACACUUAUAGAUUUCUUUACAACAUGUUGAGUGAUAAAAAAGCACCAGUCGGGCAUGUCCCCAUUUCUUACCCGGUGCCGAAUCUCCACGGUCGAAUGGUAUGAGUAGACUCUUGGUGAUGUCUUCUAUGUGGAGCACGUAACAACAGACCAGGAACUAGUACCAACCAAAAACGAGUACUGAUCGAAACAAGCAUGACCAGAAACGCAUACCGACCAGAGACUUGUGGGUCCGUAAAAGAAAAGGCAAGCACACAAAUGAAAAAGCCAUUACAUUUCUAUUUUACAUGUCAUUCCUAAUUUUUGUAACACGAUGUGGCAGCAUAUGCACAAUCAAAUGAGGCAAAAGGGAUUCGACUAUCGUGGCAGAACAUGGACGAGGACGCGUGAUGAAUAAUUCCUUCGAUAAAACGAAAAACAAACGCAGAGAAAAGAAUUUCUUAUAUGACAAGAAAUUAAAGUAAUGUGACGGAACAUGAUGAAGAAAUUGCAGAUCGAUCAAUUAUCCCCAUGGACUCCUAUAAAUUCAACCAAAAUAACAAUUCCAAUAUUACCAAAUUCUUGAGUUAAAUUUAUUCAAUGCUUUUUUUUAAGAGAAAUUUUUUCCAAUGCUACUUUCCCUUUUUUGGGGAAAUUAGAACUGCGGCAUGUAUAGAAGACAUUGAGGUAUAAAGCAACAUUAAUUUCAUGGGUUAUGCGUUAUACGCAUAAUAUAUUUUCAGUCCAAAUUCAACUAUGCAAAGAGGCUUGAGAACUUAAAAUUAAGCACAAACUAAACAGACGAAGUAAAUACAUGAUUAUGCAACAUAACAUUAAUUCUCUUAAUUUAUAACCGUUUUGCCACAUGAAUCUUGCACAGUUAAUCCUAAUUGAAGACUAAAAAAGAACAAUUGGAACAAGGUUUUGAAAUAGAAUGAUAGACAAUCGAUAUGAUCCAUUUCCAGUCGUCAACGCUAAUUAACUGCAGUUUCUAGACUCCUAAUUAUACUAGCCAUAAGAAACUGUUUAGAAAACUGGUGAUCAGAUUAGAUUUUGAAAUGAAAUAAUGUUCAUUUUCCCUUCGUUACCCUUUUAUUUAUUUAUUAUUUUUAUACCAAAGAAUUCUAUCAUGAAACGAAUCAAUUUAAUCACCUUUUCCAGCAGCACAAUUUUUCUUUUAUAAAAUUUGACCACAGAGACAAAGAAGAAUUAUUCAUACCUUCAUCAGUAAGGAAAUACUUUUCGGUAUGGCUAGGGUGAGAAAAGGCUUUCCACAAACACUUGUACUUUGUAUUCCUGUAAAUUUUCUUUAAAGUCAAUAAAAAUCAUAAGUUCUUUACAAUAACCAUCUCUUUGAUAAAAAAAGUGCCGUAUUCCUUUAGAAUUUAAAACCGGCAAAAUCGAAUCAGUGUCUUUGAAGAGACAUAAUGGUCAUAAUUCUUUAAAGAGUUGGCUAUGGAAAUCCUUAUCCAAGAUUCUUUUACGCCAUAUUCUUUCGUAAACCAAAAUUCAUUUUGGAAUACUCUGUUGAGAAUGUCAAAUAAAACGGUAUUGAAGGAAGUUUUCAAAGGCAGAAUCCGCACUUGUCAAAGGGAUGAUCUGCAUUUGUCAGAGACACAAUCUGCGUCGAAUGAAUCGACACAUUUCCUUUUGUAUUCGCAUAUGUAAUUUUUGAAAAAAUGUAGCUUCUGCAUCUAUAAAUAACGCUCAGUGUAUAAUGUUUUAUUCAAAAAAAGAAAACAAGUUUCUUCAUACUCGUCGUCCGAACAUACAGAGACCGUCUCUCAUAACUUCAGCCGAAUACUUAUGAUGAUGAUCAUUUGUGAUUUCAUCAGGCAUAGGGUUGAUGGUGAAAAAUUUUGUAUGUGUGAAGAAUUGAGCUGUGGAUAUAGGGGACUUAAGUGUAAUCGAAAGAGAGUUAUUAGGCCAUAGUGUAGAUUGCAUUCAGUUUAUGAGUCGAUAUGCAAAUAAUUUGUUGACGUGGCGAAAUUUGUUAUGGUCGUUACUAUUGUUUCUGGAAAUUUUCUAGAAACCUCAGCAUAAAAGGGGCUUUUGGAUAGCCUCUGGUGUGCGUGUGAUUUCUCUUUCGUUUCCUCAUCAAAUUCUGUAAUUCUUGCUUUGAUAAAAAGCUUGUAAUCUCUUCUGUAAUUGUGAUCAGUGCGUAAUCAUUUUGAGCGAUAAAAGCUUGUAGGUUUUUCCUUCAAACAAUGUCGUUUUGGUCAGUUUGUUAGUUUGAUCUGUUGGUGGAAUUUUCUUUGGUUAUUUGUUCUCAAAUUUCAACCUUAUAUAAAGUUUGAACUCUAAUGGCUUAUAAUGUAUUGAUUAAGAAUAAUCCUAAGAGUUUCCGAUUGAAAUUUUUAAUGACUAUUUUUAUUGUUUUGGAUGCACAAAUUGCAUUAAGAAAAAAUAUUGUCAAAUUCAGAGGAUAACGGGAAAUAAUUAUGCUUCAAAAGGCCAGAGAUUAGAGAAUAAAGAAGCAUUCAUUACUGAUAUAAAAACUGCUUCUAUUUGGAUUUUGAAAGGGGUGAAGUUUUGAACUUCAGUUGUUCCUCUAAAAUCAAAAGCAAUAAUUAAGCAUUCUCAAUUAGAAAGAGCAAAGAAGACUUAUUGGUACCUUACUGAAGCUAACAUUAUGGCACGGUUGUUCAUAUGUAAUGGCUGCUCUGUUAUGCUAGCUUCUCUGUUUUUGCUUCUAUUUUUGCUUACAGUUUUGAAGAUAAAUUCUUGCUCAAAUAACACAUAAUUAAAUAACACUAAUAUGGCUCAUGAAAUCCUAUAAUAGCUAAUUACGCAACUUUCUCCUCCUCCUCAAUUCUGUCUUCCCCUGCUCGGACACUAACUUCAAAAUUCAAUGCCCCGAAAAACAACACAAGAAAUCUUUGAGUUAGUUCGUGACCAGUUUAUAUAUAGUAGCAAUUGAAAAAAGAAAAAGAAGAAAAGAGUUAAUUAUUUUUCAGACCUUCACUUAUUAGGAAGUUUGUUCUGCUAUUGGGUGAGAUCAAGCUCUCAGCAUAUACUUCCACAUGAUACUUUCUAACAUUUUCUUGAAAGCCAUCAAUCAUUAAAUCUUCAUACUUUUUUCCAUCCUUUGGAUCAAUAAGUACAAAUUUCUCAUCUAAAAAAGACAAAAUAAAAUCACUGUCCUUCAUGGAAUCAGAAUUGAGCUUACAAAAACCGAAGUGGACAGUUCCAUUCAGAUUGGUCGCCCGAGAACAAUGAUGAGAAGACUUAAAAUCAGUUUCAAAGGUUUUCCAAGUAUUGUUCCUCUAAACCACUUGUAUAUUUUACCAGAACUCUUGGUUAAGAAAAUCCUAGUCCAUGGAGUAUGAUAUAUCAAUCAUGCAACAAUGACCUACAACAUCUAUGUGGAUUGAUUUUUGCAAAAUAAAGAACAAUGCUGACUGAGGAAUAAGGUGCAUACCCGAUUAGCAAUAUCUCAGCAAGUAACCAACAAUUUUUUAUCUGAUAAGAAAAAAUUACAAUUUCUUGAAUAUACAUGAAACAUUUUGCAGAAAGAACCAUGUCAUAAUUAUUAGUCCAACUGAAGAAUUAUCAAUACUUAUCACAUGAAACGAAAGAUACCCGAGUUCACUUAAUGAAAUUCUCUUUUUUUUUUCUCUAACAUUGAGAUAAGCAAAAACUUUUAACUAAAGACAAUCAUCUAGUGAUCUCAAACAAAUGAGGUUAGUAUGAAACCAUCAUAAUUUGUUCGCUCAUUGCCUAAUUUUAUUAAUGCAAGAGCCUGGAAGCAACUCAAAAAGAAAAUAACCGACAUAGGAAGUGUCAUCUCAUAUCUCACCAAUGAAUGGGAACAGCUUGAUGUGGCUGAGCAAACUGGCAGAAUUGUCAUUUUAACACACGUUCAAGAAACUCAGCAAAUUCUCAUAUCUGUUUAAAUUCCACAGCAAAGAUAGUUACAAGAAAUCUAAUCAAAAUUUAAAAUGUCAGAAGGCAAAUCUUCCAAUUAGGAUCAAAAGAAGAUAAUUAUAAUUUGUCAUUUCAAUUCUGAAUGUACAAUUUUAUUUUUUUAUGUGUGCAUUAAUUAAGAUUCUACCUUCUCUGCAAAAUUGUGAUGGACUUGGUAAAUAAUGAAUUGUAUCGACUUGAAUUUUAUACAACUUAUUGAGAUAAUAAUACGCCAAAUUCAACACCGUCCAUCCCAAAUCACAACAAGAAACUCAAACUUUUAUCCCCUCAAGUGGGUUCUUGAAACUGAAGCUUUAGUGCCAGUACAAUUUUGAAAGAUUGUGAUCAAACUAAAACAUCAAAUAAAAUAAGACGUAACAAAAACACGUCUUCAGAAAAUUAGUAUAGGAAUAAGAUAAGCUACACAGACCUACUUCAAUGAAUUAGAAAAAUUAUGAUAAACUUGAUGCAUUUCGAAAAACAACAAACAAAUAUUCCCAGGAAAACAAAAAAAAGACAACUUUGUUUAAGCUUAGACAAAAAUAACUAAGGACAUAUGAAUGCAUCAUAAUAGUAUCUCUAUGGGUAAUUUUCAGAAAUCUCCCCUAAGGUAUGGUGUAUUCUUAGUUUGAUAGAAAAUAUCUAAGUAUUCUUAUAGACCUCCCCUACUGUUAGUAUUCCAUUUCGUAUAUGUUAGGUAGAUGAGGGUAAGAUCGUAAUUUGAAUAAGUUAAUGAUAAAAAAUCCAGAAAUUUUAAGAUUUUCACAUUGGCCUCUGGGCUUUAUUCAUCUCUUUCAUCCACCAAAACCAGAAAUACAACUCACCUCUCUCCUCCACCUAAAUCGAAGCAAGGUAGCUCAAAACUCAUUUCAAAAAAUUGAUCAAUUACUUGGGUCACAAACUAGAGACAAUGACGACGAAGUUGAUGACGCCAAUAUCGACGACGAAGCUGAUGACGCCAAUAUCGACGACGAAUGAUUCGCAACUGCCAGGUAAGAGAGUAUAGUAGGUUUCGCCAUCGAACGCCCAAUCAUCCAGUUGUUUUGGAGCCGCGUUAUUUUUAUUAGCUAAAAUUAGAAUUUUUAGUGAAAAAUUGAAAGUGGGUCUCAAAAUUUUUUGAGAGCGUAUAUGUUUCUCCUGAUUUUUCGAUCGAUUCGUGUUAGUUGCAGUUAAAUGAUUAAUCCAAUUCGUGUUGAAGAUAGAGCUAACUCGAAUAUCUCUAUAGUCCUGUAAUUGAUUGAAAAUGGGUCUUGAAAAUUGUUUUAGAUUUCAGCUGUGUGCUUCUGAUUUUUUCCAUGGAUUCAUGAUAGAUGAAAAUGGUUGAUGAAGAUUUGCUUGACAUGUAUAUAGAUGGUAUUUUGUUAAAGGGGUUUUAAUUUUUUCCUUUUUUGGUGGUUUCGAUUGUGGUAUUUACAUGCCUUAGGUUGAGAAAAACGAAAAUGGUUUGUUGCACUCUUUUGUGUUGGAUCAGUGAGUUUAGGCGAUUUGAAAUGGUUUGCGGCAUUCAAUUGAUUGUUUUAUUUAUGUGGUUUGAUAUGGGAAAAGUAUAAUAAAAUUCAAUUGUUCCAUAUGUCAAUUUGGAUGUUUUGAAAUUAUGAACUACAAAAAGUUAAAAUUAAUUUCUUAUUAUAUUUUCAAUUGAAAGUUACUAUUGUCUUCUUUUUAGUACUUAGUAUGCAUUUUUCCCCAUCUUCUAGUGGUGGUGUUGCACCCAUUUUGAAUUUGAUCGGCAUCUUCUUCUGUACAUGCAUGUUUCUUGGACUCCAAUUUUUGUUUCAUAUGAUGAAGCUAAUUUAAUUCCUCCUUUUUAAUAUCAACUUUGUUCAUCUAGGUUUGCGAUUUUGAUCUUUCUCAUUUGAAGGCAAACACAUUUAUGUCAUCAAAAUUUCCAAUAUUUUUUAUUUUAUAGUAUCCAAACUGCUUAUGGCAAUAUGAAAUUGAGAAUAUUUCUUUCAUCAUGUUAACCUAAGUGGAUGGUGGAUGAUGUUUGUGUAAGAGAUUUAAGUUAUUUGUAUUAUAGAAUAUGUCUUAUGUUUUGAUUUGCAAUUUCACCAUUAAAUUGGCUUUGUAAAUGAUUAGAAGCUAAAUGCAUAAAAUGAAAACAAUAGUAACAUUUCUGAGUGGGGUAUAAUCAGAUGCUAACAUGGCGAUCCAUGACUUGUAAUUUCUAUUGUCGUUAUAAUUGGACUAGAUCGAGGUAAACUGACUUUUCUUGUUCUGUUUUUUUUUUCAUUUCUUUGUUCUAGAUUUUUCUUUCUUUGUUUUACUUCUGGUUUCUUCUUCAGCAUAUUCAAUAACUAGCAUGAGCAAAUGGAGAGGAAAAGGGUAGAAUAUGCUUUUAAAAAAAAAGAAAAGAAAAAAAGAGAUAGCUCUAAUUCAAAAAUAAGGAGGAGAAAAGGGCAAUGAUUGAAGUUGUGGAGAAGAAAUUCUUAAUGCAUAGGAGAUGACAACAAAGUGUUGCAACUGGGAGCAGUUUUAAAGUGCUAUUCGAUUGCUUUUGUAAUCAAAUUGUCUUUUGUACCUAUUUAUACACACACAUAUUUGUAUUUGUAAUUUGAAUUUUACAUUUUCUCAAGACAACUAUGUUUAUUUUAAAAAAAAUCUAAAUGUAACUAAAAUAUUAAAGUUUUUGUACUUAUUACUCCAUUUGAUGAUUUUUUUUAUUUUUUUGCUGACGAAUAUUCCAUGUCAAUUUUUUUCCCUUCAGCUCGUUUAAGGUGUUUUAUUGUCUGAUGUGAUAUUUGGUGCUCGGGAGGAAGGGUGUUUUAAGUCUUUUUUGGUGUCAGGGGCAAUUUUGUCUUUACAUCAGUCAACAAAUAGUCAAUGGAUGGAAAUGCAAACAGCAGGGGAGGUGUCUGAUAAUACACGGAUACUUUCUAUCAAACUUAUAAUACACAAAAUCUCAGGGGAGGUUUUUGAAAAUUACCCAACUGUGCAAAAUUAUGAAAAAAAUGAGCUAAACAUAUAUAGCAUUUCAGAGGAGUGCUUACUUGACAAAUCACUAAUACAAAGCUGCGAAUGGGCAUUCGGAAUGUUUUGAGAGACUCGUAUGGAUAAAAUAUGUAGUUAUUUAAGUAAUGACAGAAGGAGAAUCGUGUGGCUUGUCAAAGCCGUUAGCUCCAUCUCAUUUGCCUCGUCCUCUCGUUUUGUUUCUGUGGGGACAUAUUUGAUAUUUUGGAUUUUGUCUAAAAUUCGUCAUGUUUUUGGAUACUAACAUCUGCGCCUCUAGACCAAUAGCCAUUUGAUUAAGUGGGAGAACCCUUACACUAGUGUAAGAAUUUGAACUUUUAUAAAAUUAUUUAUGAGAUUAUUUAUAAUUUUUUUUAAUUAUCAAAUAAUUGAGUAGAGUCAGUUUAAUCCUUACGAAAUAUUUACUAUUCAUAAAUAUCUUUUUUUUUCUCUAUCUUACAAUUGAAUAUUCUCUCUCUACUCCAACAUUAUGUAACCUAAAUAUUUAAUUUCACUCUUUUUUAAUUUAUUUUUUUGUCUUUUCUUAGUAUAUUAUAAUCUUUAUUUCAUGUUUUCUAUAUAUAAGAAUUUUUUUAUAUCUAUUAAAUUUUGUGUUUAGUGAAAAUUAAUUUCUUGAUAUUUUUAAUUUUUAUAAUUGAUAAAAAUAUAUCAAUGUUCAUUUUUAAAUGAUGGGUUUUGUUCAUUUUAGUUUGUUAUAUUAAUUUUUUGUAGGUAAAAGAAUAUAUUUGAAUGAAUUGAAGGAAAAUUGUGAAAUUGAGAAGAGAAAGAGAAGAAAAAGUUAAUUAAAUAAUUUUUUCAAAAAUUAUUUAAAUAAUAAAAUUCUUAAUUAAAAACAAAGAUGGAGAGAGAAAUUUAGUGGGUUCAAAAUACUUAUUUUAAAUCCAAAAAAGAACCAAUAAAAGAAAUCAAAAGAUGAUUCUUUUCUUUCUGACAUAUUUCUCUGUACUUUUCUCUCUCUACUGAUUCACAAUUUUUCAUACUUCUAACUAUCAUUUUAUUCAAGUAUUUUGUAUUUUUAAUGACAAUUAUUUAAUUUUUAGUUAGUUUUGAUAUUGAUUAGAGAUUUAAAGUGUAUUUUAGAAGACUUCCGGUCUCUUGAAAAAAGGAAAAAUGGAGAAGAAGAAGUGUUCUUGAUUUUUUGUAGGCGUUAAAGUUAAAUGGUUUGAAAUGAUAUUCUUUUUUAAUUUCACUCAUUAAUCUCAUUCAAGAUAAAAUUAUAAAUGCAAAUAAAUGGGGUUUCAUAAGUAUUUUUAAUAGUGUUAAAAGGUCUACUCACUAAAUAAACAUGUUUAACCCAAACCAAUGCGAUUAGUAAGUUAUUGGGUUGGGUUAAUCAGGUUAAAAAUCAAAAUUAAAAAUUAAAUAAAUAAAAAAGGUAUAAAAACUAUCUGUUACUUGAAAAUAAAAAGAAUUUCUAAUUGUUAGUUCUAAUGUCCCAUAUCCAAAACAUGCAUAUUAAAUAAAUAUUAUAAGUUAGAAAUACAAUAUCCAAGAAAGAAUGAAUGAAAUACCAUAUUUUUGUUGAGAAUUAAGAGUGUGAUUUUAAUUUUGAUAUUGGAGUCUAAAGUGCCACGUUUAAAUAUUCUCUUUUAUAAAAUAAUAAAAAGAGGUUAAAAAUUAGGUUAGCAAUUUAGCCAUUUAGGGUUUAGCAAUUAAGGAUGAACAUAUUAUUGUUGUUGUUGUUAUUAUUAUUAUUAUUUAUAUGUUUACUAAUCCAAUCCAAUCCAAUUAUUAACGAAUUUGAAAAAAUUGAUUCAAUCAAGCCAUAAUAAUUCAUUCAACUCGUCUAAAUUGGAUUAGGUUGAAUUUGGUUUGCCACCCUUGUUUUGAGCAACAAACCUCAAUGUGAUUCCAUGAGCUCUUUGAUUGUUUAUAAAAUUGUUUAUGAAAGUGCAAAAUAAAUUAUUGUAUACAUUAAAAUGUGCAAAACAAUGAAUUAUAUGUACGAACGAGUGCAAACACAUUUUUCAAUAAGAAGUUAAAAGAUAUUUAUGCAUGAAAAAGCCUACGUUUGUAGUUAUUCUAAAUUUUAAAAACAAAAUUUACAUUUAGAUCCCUAAAAUUUACGUAUAAGUACAAAAGUUUCAAAUAUUGUCUAUUAUUUUUUUAACAUGCCUAUUCCUUGUGGAUAAUUCUAUCUCAUCACUAAUGUUGUUUCUUGCUUACAAUUUGUAUAGUGUCUCAAAAUAGACAAUAGGGGGAUUUUGAAUUUUUUAAGUCUCAAUAUAGUCUCUAAUCUUGUGAGAAAGAUUUUCUUUCAAUAAUUUGGAGGUAAACAUAACAUAACUUUUUGGACUAAAGCCUAACUCUGCUGGUUAUGGUGGUAUCCUUUUCAAGACCUGCGUCUUUAGAUUCGAGUUUUAUAGUGUGCAUGCGUAUUUAAUUAAUAAUUUUUUAAAACAAUACAUCAAAUAUUAAUAUCCAUGACAUAAUUUAGUUCUUAAUUUUUUUUUUAAAUACAUCAAAAACAUAAUUUUUUUAACAACUUAUAGGCAUGACAAAUUUCAAGAUAUAAAUAUCAGUCAAAAUAAGUGAAAGAAAUAAUGGUGCCAAUUCUAAUUUCUUAACUAAAUUAAUUAGUGCAUGAGCCCCGAAUACGACACGAGAGUUUGAUGGGCUAACAUGGCACAAGAACCUGAAUAAAUAAUUGAUUUAAGAAAUAAUUCAAUGAAAAAUAUAAUUGAUAAGAAUUCAGUAUUGAAAUGAGUUUUUUAUGAAACACUGAAUUAAUGAUUAUUAAGCAAGAACAAUAAAAAAUAAAUAUUAAUCAUUGAUAAGUUUCAACAAAAGCUUAACACAAUCCUCAAUCCUAAUUCAAAUUAUAAAUGUCAUUCAUAUAUUCAUUAUAAUCAACAACAAAGGUUAUAAAUGUUUAGAAAUUCUAGAGGGAAGGAAGCUAUCGCUGGGCAAUCAACAACUAAAUUUGAUGUAAUUGUGGCACGAGAUGGAAUAUGGAAACUACACCAUAAUUUCAAAUGCCGCCAUAGACAUUGACUUAUCUACAAUAACAAUGAUCUAAUUAAAAUAAAAAUAGAGUUUAUGGGCAUUUAUUAAAAUAAAAAUAGGAGUGAAGUAAAAACAUUUAGAUUUUAAUGUAUGUACGGAAAAAUUUAUCUUUAAAAAUACUUUCUUAAUGUGUGUGUGCAUAUUGAAAUACUCAAACCAAUUUUGGUUAUAUAUAAUUCAACAAAAUUUAAAAUAUGAAAAAUAUAAUGUAGUUAUAGUGGAUAAGCAAUAAGUGAGCACAAUAUAAUUAAUCAAAUACUAUGCUAUCAAAAGUUAAUUUUAGAAAUUCCAAAUCCAAUAGCUAACACAAUUCUUUAAAGAAAUAACAAGGGGCAUUGGGCAAGAGUAAUGAAUGCUUAGUGGGUGCAUUUGAUUGAUAGAUAUAUAAAGGGCCGAAACUUGAUAUUAUAUUACUUUUACAAAAUUUAAUCCAAUCACAUAUUUAAUGAAAACAAAAUGAGUUAGGAUUGUUUAUUUAGAACCCACAUUUUAAUAAGGCUUCAUUUGAUGUAGUUUUUCAAACAUUGAUUAUUUGAGUAAUUACAAAGUACAAUACGUACCAAGUUUGGUAACUUAAUUGACAUCUUCUCAUAUAACCUUCGAUCAAGUCGAUUCUGACCUGACGACUAAUUGGUACAUCACCGUUGUUCUCUAUACUCGCAUGCAUCCGAUCACAAAUCUCACUCCAAUUGUCGUCUUUCUUCGGCGUUUUAGCGCAUCCUUCUUGAAUUUCCCGCAUUUCGUUCCCUCCUGUUACAAGUCUCCGGUCAGGUCAGUUCACUUGACGAUUAAUUCGGCAAAUCUCGAAUCUCUUCUCUAUCCCUCUCGUUUUCUCGUGUCUCCUUUCAGUUUAAGUGAUUGAAUCAAUUUUAUCGCAGUCUUAAGAGAAAUUAAGUAAUGCUCUUGGAUUUAAAAUUUUUUUGCUUUCGACUUUAGAUCUCGAAAGUCAAACUCUGCUACGAAUCCAUAGAUUCUCAAUGUUUAUAAUCUUAUUUGUGUUUGACCAGGUAACUGGAUCGUGAAAUUCGUCGUUUUGUAUCAAUUCAAGCUUUCGCGAGCUCAUGGAAUCCCCUGGUGAGUUGUGGUGAAACGUUAUCGUUUCAAUUUUCGCUUAAUUCUUUAUUGCAUAUUUUUUUCUCUCUAAUAUUUCAGUUUAAUUUAGAAAAGAAAGAGGACCCAAAAAGAGAGAGAGAGAGAGAGAGACUCUACCAUACUCAAUUCCUUGCUCAUUCUGAUUUGGCCUGAAUGUUGGCAUUGACUAUUAUUUGUUUUCAUUUCGAUUUAAUUCUCAUUUAGACAGUCUUUUUUAACUAGCAAUAAUCUUUUUAAGGAAAAUGAUAAUAGGGAUUCUGCAAUAAUCUUUUUAAGGAAAAUGAUAAUAGGGAUUCUGCAAUAAUCUUUCUGCAUUGUUCAAGUUAGUAGACAAUGAAUAGGGUGUUUAUGUUUACCUCAUUUUGAACCCUGAGGGCUUCGUUGAGUAGUUGAUCCAACAUAUCCAGCACCGGUUGAUGUGAGAACAGGAUGCCAUUUAGAUAGGCUUAAACUGAUUUUGGAGGUUUGUAUUCAUUCUAUUGUAUGUCUUGCUUACAAAUUUUUUAUUUUUUAUUUUUAAUUUUGUAUAAUAUGCUCUUUGUUGGUAAAUCUCAUUUGACUUAGAAGAGAUAGUUUUAUCCCAACAGUGGGAUAAAUCAUUGAGAUGCAUGGCAGUGUGAAUAUAGUAGACAAAAUCAUUGAGACAGAUGGUGGUGUGAACAUAGUAAACUUUGUCAAACACAGCUAAGAUAAACAAAUUGUUUCAUUAGCCUUUAUCUUAUCUGCUGUGAUGAUUCAAAUUAAUGCUGUUUGGUAGGUUGCAAAAAACGAAAUGAGCUGACUGUUCAUAUUAUUUAGUCAGAUCUAUUGCAAUAAGUUGAAGUUCACUGUCACAUGGGUUGGGAGUAGCGUGGGCUGUGAGUAGUAGAAUGGAUUUAUGGAGUUGAUACAAGUGCCCAUAAUCUAUCAUGUCAUUCUAGGAUUAAAUGGAUUGCACAUUACUGUAAAGAUGGAGGUUAAAUUUAUAUAAUUCGGAUUGAUUGUAAAAUGGGAGGCAGAGAUGAGUUAGAAAAAAAAUGACCUGUGUCCUUUUUGAGCUGUUUCUAAAUCUCCCUGGUGUGCUUCAUGCUUAACACGUGUCUGUCCAAAUAAUUUUGCUUAACCUGUGCUUGUCUACUUCUUGUGCUAUUCUGUGCCUGGUCCUGAGCUGUGUUGGUAGAUUGACAUAAUUUUGCUCUGCUAAAUGUAUAACUUAUUAAUCAGAGUCCUGUUAUUAUGGUUUGACACUACUGACAUGUUGUGUUGGUAUUUAUUUGUACUUCCCUUGGUUGAAUUAUUUGCUGUCUCCAUGCCAUUCGAUAUGGUGCUACUUGGUUUUUGAUCAUCCAUGACGCUAUAUAUAUGUAAAGGAUGAAUUGAUUGUUUUGGCUUGUAUUCUCACAUUUUAUGAUUGAUCGAUGGAAAGGUCUUCAUGUAUUAAAUUCAACCUCACAAGCGUAAGAUUGACAGAUUGUGGGAAAAUUUUCAGGAAAAGAAACUAGACUUCAUGGAAGCAAUGAAGCUUGAAAUUGAACGUCUGCAGCUGCAUCUUUCUGCAGCUGAAAGGGAUAGAGCUUUAUUGUCAAUUGAAACUGAUCCUGCCUCUAUAAAUCCAAAUGUAUUGCUUGAUGAAUCUUACAUGGGAAGACUGUCGAGUAGCAACCACUCUUGCAUUACUUGGCCAAACUUCCCUAGAAGACAAAAUUGUUGGUGCAAUUGGCCUUGAGAAUAGUGAUGAUAGUGUUUUAGACUUCUGGAAUAUUACUAGAAUCGGAGAGAGUUGUUCUGGUGGCGGGUGCAAGGUUUGUGCAGAAACUAAGGUGCCUGCUCUUGCUUCCUCAACUGCAACAUCUGUUGGAGCUUCACAAUCCCCUUUGUUGUGUUCUCAAUGUGAAAGAAAAGUUUGCAAAGUUUGUUGUGCAGGAAGAGGAGCUCUACUGUUUUCAAAUUAUAAAUCAAGGGAUGUGACCAACUACAAUGGCUUCUCAAGUCAGAGUGGAUGAAGCCAUGGAAGCCAAGUUGAUGUAUCUACCAGUCGUUCACUAACACUGGAUGGCGUUAUCUGUAAACACUGCUGCCAUGAGAUUGUGCCUGAUGCAUUGAUGUUGGACCAUGUUAGGGUCUUGAUUAGCUUGCGAAGAAGUUCCUGUGCAGACAACGCAGUCAUACAAUGCUUUGAAUGAGGUUGUUGGAUCCUGCUUAAAGGAUAGUGUUUCUGAAAGGAUUCAGUCUUCCGAUAACGUGCAAGCUGCUGAAGUCCUUCACCAAUUAUGUGGUGGACAGGAAUCACUUGCUGAAUUUCCAUUUGCUAGCUGUUUGCACUAGGUAUGUUCUUGGUUUGUAUUCAGUUCUCAUCAUGUUAUGUUUUCCUUUUAAAUUUCUUUUCUUGAUUAAAAUUUUUAGAAAUAUGUUUUAGUAUUUGUUCUUAUGAUAUAUGCCCAGAACAUUCAUCCCACUUAUCCAUGAGAAUCCUUGUCUGGUUUGAUUUUCAAUUGAGACAUUUUUGGGAACCCUGAGCAGGUUCCAUAUGCUAAUAAUCUUUGAGGUAAGGUGUUGUAGGAUGCCUUGAGAAGCUAAAAACCUAUUACAAGGAAAAGCUCUUGCAUUGUUUUGUGGAAUCUGUGUUGUGAAAAUAGGUAGAGAAAAAGUUUAUGGAAUAAUUCUCUUAUUUCAUAUGUUCAUGAGACUGUACACAGUCUUUAUAUAGGGAUACAAGAGACUAAGAAAGGAAAGAAAAAAUUAAAGCAGAAUAUUACACACUGAUUUCUAGGAAGCAAUAACUCUAUAUUUACACCAAAUAUACACCUAAAUAUAUAAGGAAAACCAAAUCAAUUUGAUUUGGUCAACCUUUCAACACUCCCCCUCAAGCUGGUCUAAAAAUGUCUUUCAUGGCCAGCUUGCAAACCAAUUUCUCAAAAUGUUUCUUAGGUAGUCCCUUGGUGAGUAUAUCAGCAAUCUGCUCAUUUGUAGGAAUGUAGGGCAUGCAGACCAAACCACUGUCCAGUUUUUCUUUUAUGAAAUGUUUGUCCACUUCAACAUGUUUAGUUCGGUUGUGGAGUACUGGAUUAUGUGCUAUUGCAAUGGCAGAUUUGUUGUCACAAUAUACUUUCAUAGGUAGAGAAUUAUUUGCCUUAAGUUCUUCAAGAACUUUUUUGAUCCAAAAAACCUCACAAAUUCCUAGAGCUACUGCUCUAUAUUCUGCCUCUGCACUACUUCUUGCUACCACAGUUUGUUUCUUGCUGCGCUAAGUGACCAAAUUUCCUCCGACAAAGGUGCAGUAACCCGAAGUGGAUCUUCUAUCGGUUACACUACCAGCCCAGUCAGCAUCAGUGUAGACUUCUACUUGUAGGUGCCCGUUUUUUCUAAACAAAAGACCUUUACCCGGAGAUCCUUUUAAGUAUCUAAGGAUUCUAUAUACAGUUUCAAAGUGUUCUGGUCCUGGAGCAUGCAUAAACUGGCUGACUAAGCUCACUGCAAAGGCUAUGUCCGGGCGUGUAUGUGAAAGGUAGAUUAAUCUACCUACAAGGCGUUGGUACCGAUCUAUGUUGGUCACAUCUUCAAUAUUAGCUGGCUGUAAUUUCAUAUUAGGAUCUAUGGGUGUCUCGGCUGCUUUACAUCCGAGUAAACCUGUCUCUUCAAGCAAAUCAAGAACAUACUUGCGUUGAGACACAACAAUCCCAUCUUUUGAUCUAGCAAACUCCAUGCCCAAAAAAUACUUCAGGUUGCCUAAGUCUUUGAUUUCAAAGUCACGUGCAAGCACUUUCUUUAAUCUGCAAAUCUCAACUAAGUCAUCACCAGUCAAAAUUAUAUCAUCUACAUAUACAAUUAACACGACUAAUUUCCCUUCAAUAGAAUGUUUGUAAAACAUUGUAUGAUCUGCCUGACUUUGGGAGUAGCCGUGUCCCUUUAUAACAUUACCAAAGCGUUCAAACCAUGCUCUAGGAGACUGUUUGAGCCCAUACAAAGACUUAUGUAGUUUACACACUUUACUGUUGCCAUGAUUUCCCUCAAAACCUAGUGGUAAAUCCAUAAAGACUUCUUCUUCUAGCUCCCCAUUCAGAAAAGCAUUUUUAACAUCUAACUGGUAUAGAUUCCAAUCAGAAUGUACAGCCAAUGAGAUAAGGACCCGGAUGGAAUUUAUCUUUGCAACGGGGGCAAAAGUUUCUUGAUAAUCAAUUCCGUAGGUUUGAGUGAAUCCUUUUGCUACAAGCCUUGCCUUAUAUCUCUCAACACUCCCAUCAGCAUUACAUUUAAGUGUAAACACCCACUUUCAACCCACAGUUUUCUUUUCUUUUGGUAAAUCCACAAUCUCCCACGUACCAUUCUUCUUUAGAGCAUUCAUUUCCUCUAAAACUGCUAACUUCCAAUCUGGGUGGUCUAGGGCUUCUUUUAUGGUUUUAGGAAUUGGUAUUUGAGAGAUUUUUGUGGUAAAGGCUCUUUGUUUAUUGGACAACUUUUCAUAGGAAACAUAUCUAGCAAUGGGGUGCUUAGUACAGGUUCGGGUUCCUUUCCUAUGUGCUAUGGGUAAGUCAAGAUCAGGAAAAAAAGUGCUGAAAUGUUUAGGAGAAGAAAUGUUACCUGAAUUUUCUGAGGAAUCAGUGCUUGGAGGCAACGAUUGAGGCUGUAUCGAGUUUAUGAGAGGGUCUUUACUGUUGUGAUGAUACUUUCGAGUAUAAACACGCAGCUCUGGUGGUGGAAUUUUAUCUUGUAGUAUUUCUCCCCCUGUCUCUGGUACAUUAACACUUGGUUCCUGUAGUUCAAGGUUUCCUAGGUUUUCAUUAUUAGAAAUAUCAGUUUUUUGAGUUUGAGUUGGAGUGCCCAGAUCAGGUAAAAACUGAUUAGGCAUAGGUGUAGAAGUAUGCCAAAAAUGAUCUUCACUAUUUUCUUUCUCCCCCUGAAGAGAAUUUUGGCCAAAAAAAGGUUGAUUUUCGAGAAAUAUAACAUCCAUACUGACAUGGAAUUUCUUUGUUUGAGGAUUGAAACAUUUGUAACCUUUUUUAUUAGGUGCAUAGCCCAAGAAAACACAUUUUUCAGAUCUAGGAUCCAAUUUAGAUCUAAGAUGGUUAGGAACAUGAACAAAUACAGUGCACCCAAAGACUCUUAACUGAAUAUUGGAGGUAAUCCUACUAGAAGGAUAUAUAAGUGUGAAGUAUUCUAAAGGUGAUUGAUACUUUAAAACACGGGUAGGCAUCCUAUUAAUCAAAUAACAUGCUGUUAAAACAGCAUCACCCCACAAAUAUUUAGGAACAUGCAUAGAGAGCAUGAUAGCCGACUAACUUCAAGUAAAUGGCGGUUUUUUCGUUCCGCAAUUCCAUUUUGUUGUGGAGUAUCACGACAAGUGGAUGUGUGAAUUAUACCCUUUUCCUUACAAAACACCUCUAGAUAAUUAUUAAAAUAUUCAGUACCAUUAUCUGUAUGGAGUAGACUUAUUUUUGUUUGAAAUUGAUUUUCAACCAUGUUAUAAAAAUCUUUGAAUAACCCCUCAACUUCAGAUUUUUCUCUCAUUAAAUAAACCCAACAAAGCCGAGUAUGAUCAUCUAUGAAUGUUACAAACCAUUUUUUUCCAGUUAAAGUGUUGAUUUUUGAGGGUCCCCAAACAUCACUAUGAAUUAAAUAAAAAGGUUUUGAGGCACGAUAAAUAAGUGCUUUAUAUGAAACUCGAUGACUUUUAGAUAAAAAACAACUUUCACACUGAAAAGUAGUACAAUCAACAUUUUUAAAUAAAUUUGGAAACAAAUAUUUCAAAUAAGGAAAGCUAGGGUGUCCUAGUCUAAGGUGCCAAAGCAUUAUUUGAUCCCUAGCAGAGUUUGAACUAAUACUACUGCUCAAACCUUGAGUUUGUUUAUUCCUUGAUAAGUAGUCAUCAAAAUAGUAAAGACCUUCUCGCAAACUAGCACUGCCAAUCAUCGUCCCCAAGUCCCUGUCCUGAAAUUCACAAUGGGAGUCAAAAAAGACAGCACAACAAUUAGAAUCUUUGGUUAAUUUACUGACAGAUAACAGAUUGCAAGAAAGUUUAGGGACAUGUAGCACAUUUUUAAGCUCAAUGGUUCCAGAGAUUUUUAUUGAUCCUUUUCCAGCUAUGGAAGAUAAGCUUCCAUCAGCAACUCUUACCUUUUUGUUACCAGGGCAAGGAUAAUAGGAAUCAAAUAAACUAGAAAUGCUAGUCAUAUGAUCAGAAGCACCCGAAUCAAUAAUCCAUGGUGCAGUAGUUGAGUGGCUAAAUAGAGCAUUAAUAAUACUACCUGUUUGGGCUAGUGAACCACUAGGAGUACUAGGUGGAGGAUUAGAAGUCAGCAGCUUUAUGAGAUGGUCAAUUUGCUCCUUGCUGAGAUUUUUUUCUAGAUUCUCCACUUCAUUGGCAGACGCACGGCUAUGCUUGCUGUUUUUCCAAUCUGCAGGCUUUCCGUGGAGUUUCCAGCAAGCCUCCCGAGUAUGGCGUGGUUUAUUACAGUAAUCACACCAUACUCGAGGUUUUUGUUGCUGUUGAGUGAUGGAGCGGGUAGCAUUAUCUGCUGUAACAAGGGCAGAUUUUUCCACAGAGACAACGGAGUUCUUUUUUCCCAACAUAACACCUCGACGACUUUCUUCUCUCCUUACUUAAGAGAAAACAUCCUCAAGAGUAGGAAGUGGCUUUCUCCCAAUAAUUCUUCCUCUUACCUCAUCAAAUUCAACAUUGAGCCCAGCCAGGAACUUGAAGAUUCGCUCAUUAUUGACAGUUUGUUUGUGGUGUUUAAAAUCUUCCAUGCUCUCCCACUCGUAGUCGUUGAAUAAGUCCAGAUCUUGCCACAAUCUCUUUAGAGUAUUGAAGUAUUUUGUUAUACUAUAAUCUCCUUGACGGAUAUCUCCAAGAGCAAGCUGCAACUCAUAGAUCUGGGACUGAUUUCCAUAGUCAGAGUACAUCUGACUCACAUUAUCCCAGAGUUCUUUUGCAGUAGAGUAGCACAUAUAAUUUGCACCAAUGUCUUCAUCCAUGGAGUUGACUAACCAUGCCAUAAUCAUGGAGUUUUCGGCAUCCCAAACACCAUAAGAGGGAUCAGAUAUUUCAGGAGCCUUAACAUCUCCGGUAAGAUAACCAAUCUUCCCUCUUCCCCUAAUAUACAUUCUAACCGACUGAGACCAUCUUUGAAAAUUUCCUUCAUUCAGCCGGAUAGUUGUAAUCUGGACAGAAUGAGAUUCAGAAUGGGAAAUUUUUGGUUCUAGUCUUUUUGAGGUGACUGUGGUUUCAGAAGAUUGGUCAGACAUGGUAGGGAAGAGAUCAGAAAGAAAGGGAGCCUAGCUCUGAUACCAUGUGAAAAUAGGUAGAGAAAAAGUUUAUGGAAUAAUUCUCUUAUUUCAUAUGUUCAUGAGACUGUACACAGUCUUUAUAUAGGGAUACAAGAGACUAAGAAAGGAAAGAAAAAAUUAAAGCAGAAUAUUACACAUUGAUUUUUAGGAAGCAAUAACUCUAUAUUUACACCAAAUAUACACCUAAAUAUAUAAGGAAAACCAAAUCAAUUUGAUUUGGUCAACCUUUCAACAUGUGUGCUAGCAAGUCAUGUCUCUAAUAAUUUCAUAGUUUGCUUGAUUGGAAUUUUUUAUCUUGAUAUGGAUUGUUUAUUCUAGAUUCCUUGGUGCUGUAGGUUGAAACAGCAAAAGAUUCAGCACCGAUUUUGUCACUGCUUGCUCCAUUAAAUUCUGGAUCAAGGCACUCAUAUUGGAGAGCUCCACCUUGUACUACUUCUGUUGAAUUUGUUAUUGUUCUCUGUUCUGUUUCUGAUGUCAGUGGGGUUAUCUUGCUUGUUAGUCCUUGCGGCUAUUCUGUGGGUGACACUCCGAUGGUAAGUGCCAUAUUUAUUCCCUUAUUUCCUUGUUGUUCAAUAAAUUUGGUGAUAAGCCAAGUGGCCUUAAUAAUGAAGCCCAGUACCAGGGGUGGUGGGUAAUCGAUAUUCAACUUGUGAAUAUUCCUAAGCAAGCACUGAAUCAACAUAGACCUCGGCAAAAGUUCUCCAUGCUAUUAUAACGAAAGUCAUAUUUUGAAAUGAUUAAAAGAGUCCCUGUGUAGUGCUAUUUCCAAAGAAAUUGCAGCUGGAGGUUUAGUUUCAUGUAGGUUAGUUUCCGAUAAUAAACUUUCCAUUUCAUUAAUUGCUGAUGAAAAAACCAAGUAAGAACAGUUUUGUUGCUCGUCAUUUAUGUAUAUUUUGGUAAACUGUAAUUUUAAAUUCUCAACGAUCUUCCCUUUGUAGGUAAGAAGAUGGUCCACUCACUUGAUAUUUAUGAUUGUAGAUCAGGUUUCUAUUGGUUUGCCUUUAUCAUUCGGAACCCAAGUUUGAUAUUAACAGAGAUCACGUCAAUAAUAUCCUAUUUGGGUAGAUGUGGGUGAGGAUUUAAAAUCAAAUUUGAAAUUGAGGGCAAAGAAGAGAAAAGAAACCGCAAUAAUUAAACAAAAUAUUAGGAACUAUUCUGAUGAGUUUUAAUCUCGAGAGGAACAAUUUUCAAAUGCAAAAUUUAACUGCUAGAGAAAUUGUAGCUUUUUGUCAUUAGUUAAGAGGAAAGAGAAUAAGAACUAUCUGGCCCUUUCCUUCAUGAAUGUGUGUUGAGGUUGCUGUAUUAUUUAGUCAGUAUUUGUAAUUUUCUUCCCUGCAGUGCUCUCUGCCUCCUGAAUUUGCUACUGAGUCCAUAUUUUUCUUUGAGCUGUUGCUUCCUAUUGCUGUUACAGGUACAAAUCUGGGCAAGCAAUAAGAUACACCGGGAGGACAGGUCAUCAAUGGGAAAAUGGGAUGUCCAAUCCCUCAUCACAUCUUCUUCAGAUUUGUAUGGUCCAGAAAAGUCUGCUAGUGUUGAAAAAUUACCUAGGCAUGUAAAAUUUACUUUUAAGAAUCCUGUUAGGUGCCGCAUUGUUUGGAUCACAUUACGUCUUCAGAGACCUGGUUCGGCUUCAGUUAAUUUCGGGAAUGACUUCAGUCUUUUGUCUCUUGAUGAAGAUGAAAACCCCUUUGCACAAGUAGACAGACGUGCUUCAUUUGGAGGAGCAGUUGAAAAUGAACCAUGUAUUCAUGCCAAAAGAAUUCUUGUAGUCGGAAGCCCAGUAAAAAGGGAGGGGCUUACCACAUCACAGAGCUCUGAGCAGCUAAGUAUUAGAAACUGGUUGGAUAGAGCUCCACAAAUGAGUAGAUUCAAGGUAUUAGUUGCUUUCACUCUUUGUUCAUUCAUAAUUCCAGCUUUCUGCUUGAUGCCUUGCCUCUGAUAAACCUCUUUUUUCUCUUCAGGUCCCAAUUGAGGCCGAGAGAUUGAUGGACUACGAUCUCGUCUUGGAACAGUAUCUACCUCCAGCGUCACCUUCGCUUGCCGGAUUCCGUCUAGAUGCUUUCAGUGCAAUAAAACCUAGGGUUACCCAUUCACCUUCCUCAGAUUCAGAUAUCUGGGACAAAUCAGUAACAUUUUUAGAAGACAGGUACAUCUCUCAAGCUGUGUUGUAUUUACAAGUAUCCGCACUCCAGGAACCACAUAACAUGGUAACUAUUGCGGAAUAUCGACUGCCGGAGGCUAGAGCCGGAACGCCAAUGUACUUUGAUUUCCCACGACCGAUACAGUCCCGACGAGUUUCAUUCAAGCUUCUUGGAGAUGUUACAGCAUUUGCAGAUGAACCUUCAGAACAAGAUGAUUCAGGAUUGAGAGCUCCACUUGUGGCCACAGGUUUGUCUUUGUCAAACAGAAUCAAGUUAUAUUAUUAUUGUGAUCCUUAUGAGCUCGGAAAAUGGGCAAGCCUUUCUGGAGUUUGAUCGUUAUUUAUAUGUCAGAGAAAGGGUUUUGGGUUUGAUUUUGAUUUUGAUUUGUAAUUUUUGUCAGUUUAUUGAAAUUUUUUGUUGUAUAAAAGCAGAAUGUAAAGGUAUAAAAAUUCAUUGAUGCUGCAAUGUCUGUGCUUUUGAGAAAGAAAGAAUUCUAUGGCUUUUCUAUGCCAUUGGAUUUUCCACUGCCUGUAAACUUGGGCUGUCGAAUGCUCUGUGAACCUUAAGGGCUAUAAAGUAAUUUUCAAGACUGAAGGAUUUAUUAAUCGAGUUCAAAAGAUUGCAAGUUGGUGAGCGUUGGCAUUUAAAAAAUCAAUUGUUAUUCUCUCAAUAAUCUCUGUCUUCUGCCGACACCCCAUGCUCAGAAACCCAUUGUUCCGACGGACGUGUAACACUUCUAGAAAUUGUUUUGAUCUCUCCUCGUGAAGUGUUUUCUUUUUCGAGUGAAGGUGGUUUUCUACUUGCAUACGUCGGGGGUCUUAUGAUAUGUAAUGUGUGAAAUUUCUUUCUCAUUUUACCAUAAAGAAAAAUGUUGUAAUAAUCUAAAGCUCGAGUCUUAAAUUAUCUUAAAUUUAUAUUUAGAGUGGAGCUAUUCGCAAUCCUACAUUAAAAUUACAAAUAAAAAUAAUUGAAAAUUAAACACUUAUAGAUUUUUUUUACAACAAAUUAUUUAAUUCAUAAUCAAUCCUUUAAAAAAAAAAAUCCAUAUGUUACUUGCUAUCUAACUAAAAUAAAUUUUACAAAUUUAGAAUAAUCUAUUGAUUUCUUUUGAUUUCUUAUUAAUUAAAUAUUUUUAUACAUAAAAUUGCUUUGAAAUUAUAAUUUGAAAUAUGUGUUAUUUCAGCCAAUGAUUAACACUAAAAAACUUAUCACCCAUAUAACUUUUUAAUUUGUGUGUAGGGUAAUAAUAAAAUCAAAAAUAAUUAAAAAAAUAGUACAAUAAUGAGUUUUAACAAUAAAACAAAUCAAAUGAAAAUUGAAAAUUUAGAAAAAAUGUAUCUAAAAAAGGGAACGUUUUUUAAAAUAAAAUGAAUAUAACUAAAAAGGGGUUUUAUGAGAAGAGCAGAGGGGUGCCAAUAGUCCAACUUGUAAUUAAGAAUCUCCCAUUAUAUUGUCAACCAAAAAGACACUUGAAUAAGAAGAAGAAUUUAUCAGUUUGAUUUUAUUUAUAGAUCCAACAUUUCUCAUAUCCUAAACGCCUUUCCGUAUCAAAUUAAAACAGUAGUCGCAAAAUCGUAGUAUUAAAAUCGUAGUGCACAUUCAAUUAACCAACUAAUAGUCUUUGGUAUAAGAUUUUAUAUUAGCUAGCCAAGUAGGUUGUCCAUCCCACUCAGACAUGAACGAAAGCUAAAUUCAUCAAAUGGUGUUAUACUAUUAAAUAUUUUUAUAUUUAAAAUUACUUUGAAAUUAUAAUUUCAAAUUAAAAUAGUAGUAGCAAAAUCGUAGUGCACAUUCAAUUAACCAACUAAUAGUCUAAGAAGCAAAGAGAGGAUUACAAGUUCACAACACCAUUACAAAGGAUUCAAAAUUCCCACACGAAAACAUCAAUGUACAGAUUAUAAACAAUCCGAAUUGGACACAAGAAAAAGCCCUUCAAUGGAUUGCUUUCCUUCCCAAUGCUAUAUACUGUGCAAACUCCGCACUGGCCAAGAAAAUGUUUUCAAUUUAGUGUAUUUUCAAAUUGCUUAUUUUCUCAUAAUAUAAAAAAUAAAAAAGAAUCCUUACAUGUUUCAUCAGCAUGAUUAAAAUCAAAGAAGAAAGCGAAGACGUAAUGUCUCUGACAUAAUAAAAUUACAAAAAUUUCAAGGAAAAAAAAAAGGUUAAAACAUGUAAUCUUCAGAAGCAUAUAAUAAAAGAACACUUCCACAAAUUACUACAAUUUCAUGCAGUAGAGAUUGAAGAGUUGAAUUCCACUAAUUUUAAUAAUGAAAACAACAACAGAGGAUUAACUGAUGCUUUGACUUAUUAGCAGGUUGCUUUGACUUAUUAGUUCUGCAGCUAAGUUAAAUAAAAUAAGCUAUUUUCAAAAGCAAAAUGGAAUACAUAGAUAAAAACAUCAUCUUAAACAAAUCACAAUCUAGAAUUAGAGCAUUUUCGACAUACCUAAGGAACACGAAUACGUGAAAACGGGUGAUUUAUUUGUUAAGGAGUGUUGAUUUGGUCGUCUCUGCAAAUUCUUUAGGGACUCGGUUCCAAUUCCUCUUCAUCAAAACUGUAAUAUAAUUCCCCUUCAUCAGAACUCGAAUCGAUGCAAUAUAAUUCCCCUUCAUCAGAACUCGAAUCAAAUUCACUUGCAGCAGUUCCACUCGCGCUUGGCAAAUCAUCCAAUUUCCAAACUUCGGUAACAAAAUUGAGAGUAAAAGUGUUGGCUUUGAUCUCGCUGGGAUUUGCAUAUACUGGACAUACUCCGCAACGUUUUAUCUUCUGACCCUUUUGGACCUUUAUUAUGUUUCGGUGACACUCAUUGAAGAACUUAAAUGUGGCAGUUGAAUGAUGGUCACCAUCAGGAAAGCCAACAUUCAAGCAAGGUUUAAAACCAAGUAUGACAUGAUCUGAAUCAUGGGGGUCUUGAAUUGAGUGCAAAUUGUAACCCAGAUGAACAUGUUUGGUUUCAGAGAGAGUCUUUAUUUCUAAGUCGGAUCGACAGUAAACGUAAAAAUAACGAAAACGAUCAGAAUAAAGUUGCUUAAAAUCAAGAACAGCACAAAAAGCAAACCCGAUUAAGUUUCUGCAAAAAGAGUGCGGUGGCAGUUGAAUACGUAUCGAAGAUCCUGAACUUUGAUUGCUGAACCAGUCAGGAAUUUCGCUCCCAGGUAAAACAAUUUGGGAUCCCCUGAGUUCAGAAAGUUUCUGCGAAACGACAUUUAAAAAAAGAAAAUUGUAAAAUGAAAACCAUGAUUUCAGAUAUAACAAAGAGGGACAGAGUAAACAAGAGAGGGAAUUUGAUACCUCGUUGUAUGCAUUUUCAUAGCCCAGUCUCAGUGAUGCUGCAAUUGCCAUACGUAGUGAAUCUGCCAAAAUCUUGUUGUUUGCUUUUCCAUCAAGUUUCAAGCAGUUAGUAAACUCAAAACAAAUUGGUUGUGGCGUCACAUAUUCCGGAUGCCAUUCACGAAGGUCAGGAGAGGGUUUGGAUAGCUUUUCGAGUACGGAUGCAUCUAGUUCUUGUACACAUGACGGAAUCUCUGGCAAAGAUUGAAGCCGGUUGCAGUUCAUUGCUUUUAGUGACUGUAGACACAAUGGAAGUUCUGGUAAUGACCGAAGCAUGUUACAAUCCUCCAAGUGAAGAGUUUCUAGACCCAAUGGAAGUGCUGGUAAUGACUGAAGCAUGUUACAACGCCUCAAGUAAAGAGAUUUUAGACACAAUGGAAGUUCUGGUAAUGACUGAAGUAUCUUACAAUCCCUCAAUUCAAGAUAUUUUAGACACAAUGGAAGUUCUGGUAAUGACUGAAGCAUAUUACAAUCCUCCAAGUUAAGAUAACUUAGCCACGACAGUUGCUUGAUACUUGCAGGUAAACUCUCAAAGUUAUUUCCACUUAAAUUGCCAAUGUUAUCCGGCAACUUGUCAAGUAUAGAGCAACCACUUACGGACAAAAAUGAAAGCCCCGGUAGAUUUUCAAAUGGCGAUGGCAGCUCUGUAAUUGCCGUCCAGACUAAAUAGAUGCAAUUUAAAUGUUCCAUUUUCUCCAAGAUUUCUGGGAAACGCUCAAGGUUCAAGCAGCCAAAAAGAAAAAGAUCAACCAAAGAUCUCAAUUUACAGAACCUAGUUGAAAUCCUCUUCAGCCGUUUGCAAUGCCCCAAAUCCAACACUUCAAGAUCAGUUAGGCACUCUAUUGAUGAUGGAACUUCUUCUAUUGCAGACUGGCCUAAGGAUAGCUCUGUGAUUUUCCCAGAAAUCCGUGGAAACUCUUUGAGAUUAACACAAUAGGAGAAAUUAAUAGUUACUGGACAAACAAAAUGAAGAUUGCUUGGAAAAGACCUAAGACUUUUGCAGCCCUCAAAAGACAACGCACUGAGAUACUUGAAAUUCUGGAUAGAUGAGGGAACACAAGCCAAGUUUGUAUAAUCCAAAAGAUUUGUUUCAACAUUUGGGGUUUCUAAUGGGCCUGGCAUCUUAAUGAAAUGUCGAGAAUGAUUGAGGUUAAUAGAUUUUAACUUGAAAGCUUCCUGCAAUAACAGAUAUAUAAAGACUAUAUUAAUUAAAAAGCAACAUUGAAUUCAACAAUUAAUUGCACGUAUGUUUAAAGAAAGAAAAAAAUUAAUGUUUUAGUUUUAGUACAAAACUUACCUUUUCUCCUUCCCAAAGUUGCUCAACUUUACUAAAACGCAAAUUCAGUUCAACAAGGUUCAUUGGCUUGAAAUUUGAUGGCAGUGUCCUUAAUGGAUAUGUGUCCCAAUGAAGAUAUCUCAAUUUUUUAGGAAGAUAAUCUAGGCCAUUUGGAAGCUGCACUUUAGAGUAUGAAAGUUGCUCUUCAAUGCUCAUACUUAGAAACCUUUCAAUCUCAGGUACAUAAAAUUUGAGCAAUCUUAGAUUAGACAUUUUUGUGAAGGCUCCUGGGUCUAAAUUGAUGCCUUUUAUUUUGGACAAAUCCAGAAAUAUGCCUUCAAUUGCAUCGGUCCCCUUAUUAAAAAAAAAAAAAACAAAGAAUGAGUAACCCUAAAACAGAAAAGAAACAUUCGUAAACUUUAUUAACUAAGAGCUUCUUAAACAAAAACAAAUUCUGCAAUCUUUGAUUUUAUUUUUUUAAUAUAUUAAAUAUCUAUAUACGAGAAAAGAAAAUUUUGGGGACCAUUGCAAAAUUAAACUAACCGAAAAAAAAUUCAAAAUUUCUCUAAUUUACAAACCUGUUAUCUUAAUAACUAGAAGUUGAGAAGACAAGGCCUAUUUGAUUGGUAUAAGAUUUCGAUUUGUUUUUUAGUCCAUAGAAUCCAAAAUGUUAGUUCAAAAUUAGGGAAAAAAAAUGAAAGUUAUUUUUUUUCCACUAGUUGUAAUUGUUUCCAAGUCAAAUUGAGAUACGACCCUUUUCGAAAGGAUUUAAUCAUCUUAUAGCCUCCUUAAGAUACAUUUAAGCUAAAAGGAGUGAUUGGAGGCAGAACUAGGUGGGCCAAUCAGUCCCUUUUAUUAGUGACUGUUGCUUAAAAAAAAUUAUACUCUAAAACACACUUACUUUUUUGAAAAAAAAUAUAAUUAUAUUGAAGUAGAACCAGGUGGGCCAAUCCUCAUGGCACUCACUUUGUUCUGACACUCUUCACUAAAUUUGAAGAAAAAUAAAAUUAUACUCUUCACACUCUUAUUCAACAUUCCAAAAUUGAUAAAAUCUAGAGUUUUCUUUAAAAAUUUAAAAUUUGAAGACUUGUUCUCUUGACAUCCUCAGUCAUUAAUUUCACCUAAUUAUGGUUUUUAUGAUUUUGGUUGUUUUGUUCAUAAAACAAUUUUACUAAAGGAUGUUCUCGUAAUAAUAAAAAUUAUAAAAAAAACAUGGGUGUGCUGGUAUGGUUGGGAAAAUACGAGUACAGAACUCCAAACAAAUAAAAGAUUUAUAUAAAAAAAAAUGGAGGAUUCUUACCAUAUUAUGCUUUAGUACGCGGCGGAUUUCCUUAGGAUCCCACAACCUACUACGUCUGCCUGGCACUUCCUCAGAUUCUUGGCGAACAGUCUCUUGGCCCAUUUCUUGCAAUAAAUCAUGCAUUUGCAAGCGGUUAUCUGACACAGUUAUGAGUGACUUGUCGACGAGGACAUCCAGUCUGUGAGACCCAGAAUCAUCAAGUAUCCUUAACACAAAAUCUUUAUCCUCUCCCUCAAGGAAACACGCAAUAUCUAGAAACAUACUCUUCACCCUGGGCGUUAAUUCUUUAAAACUAAUCUUUAAUGUAUCAUAAAUACCAUGAAUAUCAGAUUCACAAAUCCGAUUUAAGUCGUGCAAUACAUUUUCCCAAUGGCUUUUCCUCUUGAGAUACAGGGAGGAACCCAACACUUUAAGAACUAAUGGAUUGCCAUCAGCAUACUCUACAACUCUCCACGAGUCACGUUUGAAAUCUUCAGGACGAUGCUUUUCUUUAAAAGCGAAGUUACAAAAGUGCUCGAAAGCCUCAUCAAAUUUCAAUCCAUUGACCCUAUAUAUUUUCUCCACUCCAAAUUUUUCGAGGACUCGUUUAUCCCUGGUGGUUACAACAAUUCUACUUCCUGGACCAUAUUGAUCAAGCCCUCCAAUCAAACCCUCUAAUUGUUCAUCUUUAUUCACAUCAUCGAGUACAAUCAACACCUUCAUGCGUCGGACCCUCCCUUUAGUAAAUUGUGGAAUAUUGGGACCAGCUACUUCAAGUUUUUCACUUAAUAUUGUCGAAAGCAUUUCCUUUUGUAGGUCUUCUAGGCCACCCUCUGUUUCUGAUUUUCUCCUAACAUUUUUUGCAAAGUAUUUACCAUCAAACUCACCAGCGAAUUGAUCGAAAAUAGCUUCAGCAAGGGUAGUUUUGCCUAUACCGCCCAUACCCCAAAUUCCAACAAUUUGGACAGUAUCCGACAAAUCCAUACACAAAAAUGGUUUAAUCUGCUCAAUUCGUGAAUUUAAUCCAACUAGGCCGUUGGAUGAGUCCGUUGAGACUGUUAUUUUUUCCAACUUCUUCAAAACAUCUUCGACAAUUUUGUUUACAAGUUGCGCAUCAAGCCUAAUAUGAAGGUGCAAAGAUGCAAAAACAUUGAGUCAAAUCGGGCCAAGACAGAAACAGAGAAAAGAUGAAUUAGGAAAGAGAGUUACCUGAAUUUCGUGGAUUCAUGGCCGGCUAGAUGGGAUGUUUCUGUCAGUGCAUCCCUCCACUUCUGAACCAUUUCUUGUUUAUCUUUGAACUGUUUUUUGAGCUCAUCAAAACGGUCUCCAAAUGUUCCGUUUUGAUGCCGCACAUCAGAUGGACUUACUCCAUAGAAGAAUGGAAUAAUAAUUUGGCCGUUUGUGUUCUUGCAUUCAAGAAUCUUGACAAGUUCAUUCAGGCACCAUUUUGAAGAAGCGUAGUCCUUCGAGAAAAUGACCACCGAAAUUUUUGAACCUUGGAUUGCGUUCAAAAGGGCGGGUGAAAUCUCAUCUCCUCGCCUAAGCCCUUCAUCAUCAAUAAAUGUUUUGAUUUUCUUUCCUUCAUACAAUUUAUCAUAGAGAUAGCAAGUAAAGCUCUUACGAGUGUCCUCCCCUCUAAAGUUGAGGAAGACUUCAUAAUUGGCACAAGAAGAAGAGGAAGCCAUGAAGGAAAUUUUAGAAAAUUGGUGACAGAAACAGAGAAUUAAUCUUGAGAGUUGAGAGAGGAGAUGUAAGAAUGAACAUGUGCGAAGAUUCUUGCGAGUACAUAGUAAAUAAUUGAAUGGCUGGAGCUUUCUUAGUUUCCUGGAAAUUUCCUGGAGCUUUCGUAUACAUGAUUUGUCAAGUCAUGAAACAUAAUCAUGAUAAUGGGGCAGACCGAAAAGAAAAGCAACAAUUCAAAUAUUUGAUUCAACCAGUAUAAAAAGGAAGGAAAAGCAAAGAAAGGAAAUGUUGAAAGUAGAGUUAGGGAAUUAUAAAAAGCUGAAGGAAAUUGGAAUUUUGUACAAUUUCUCCAGCGAGGAACUUUCACAGUCGUUACCUCAUUGUUACAGUUUAGAUUAAGAUUUGAGGGUGCAAGCAUUUACCUAGAUUUUACCUCCGCACUAAAUUCUUAAGUUUGAAAAAUUAUGAGACCUUUAUAUUGGAAGAUAUUAUAAUCGAAUCAAAACUUAAAAUUUUAAUAUUGUUAAUCUUUAAUCUUUAAAAAAAAUUACCUUGCCGUUACAAUUUGGAUUAAGAUUUGAAUAAGCAUUUACCUAAAUUUUAUCUCCGCCUGUAAAUUCUUAUGUUUUAAAAAUUAUGAGACCUUUAUAUUGGGAGAUAUUAUAAUCGAAUCAAAAUUUUGAAUUUCAAUAUUAUUAUUCUUUUAAAAAAAAUUUGAGAUAACAGAGUGAUUGAUAAUAGAGAACUUGUCUAGGCAAACACAUGCAUACACAAAAAUGUGAUGGAUUCAAAAAGAAAUUAAAGUGAUAAUGUACGUGGAUCCUUAAAACAAAAAGCGAAAUCGCUUGGUGGCCCAGUAAAAUUAAGACUGAAUAUUUUUUACACGAGAAGUGUAGCUCAUAAAUGGCAAAAGCCAUUUCAUUUCACUUUUACGCGUCAUUGACUUUUGUAACAUGGUGCAUGCAUCGUCAAGUGAGGCAAAAGGGUUUCGAUUACAGUGGGAAAACAUGAACAAGAAUGCAUAAUGAAUAAUUCCUUUGAUAAAGCGAAAAUUAAACACAGAAUAAUCCUAAAAUUUAAACUCUAAUAUCUUAUAAUUUAAUGAUUAAAAAUAAUCCUAAGAGUUCCCAAUUGAAACUUUCAGAGAUAAUAGAAAAUAGCUAUGCUUUAAAAGGCCAAAGAUUAGAGAACAAAGAAGAAUUAGGUAUUGAUAUAAAAAUUAUUAAUUUUUUUGAUUUCAAGCAAAAAUAGUUUCAUAUACCAUUUCGAUUUUGGUAGGGGUGAGGUUUUGAACUUCAAUAGUUUCCUCUAAAAUCAAAAGGUAGUAAUUAAGUUAGAAAGAGCAAAGAAGACUUAUCGGUACCUUAUUGAAGGUAAACAUUAUGGAACUUUCAAUGUCAUUACCCCACUGUUUAAUUUUUAUUGAGAUUUGUGCAAGCAUUUACCUAAAUCUUACCUCUGCCUGUAAAUUCAUAAGUUUUGAAAAUUAUGAGACCUUAUAUCGGGAGAUAUUAUAAUCGAACUAAAACUUAAAAUUUCUUUUCUUUUUUUUUUUUUUUAUCAUAAAAGGGCUCUUAAGAGAGCUAAGGCAACACUAAAUGGGAGUGUGCAACCCCAUGAACAUCAUUAAUCAAUAUGUUUAGCGUAUUUGGAGGAAUAGAUUGAAAGCAAUGUAAACCCAAAGGAAAAGAAAAGCUGUACGAAGUAAGGAAAUCUGCUGCUACAUUGGUUUCUUGGUAGAUAUGAUCCACUUUGAUCAGCCAAUCACGCCGAAGGAGUUCUUCGAUGGCCUGAAUGAGAGUAAAAUGCUCAUUGACGGGAGGGUUUGAGUUAGAGAUUAACUUCAUAACACACAUGCUGUCCACUUCCACGUAAAACUUAAAAUUUCAAUAUUAUUAUUCUUUAAAAAAAAAUUGAGAUAUCAGAGUAAUAUCACAUAGAAAAACUUGCCCACGGACGGUAAGCCAAAAGUCUAGUCAACCACAUGCAUAAAGCUAAGUAGAACAAGAGAACAGAGAAACGCGUGGGUCCCUAAAGAAAAGGCAAGCACAUAAAUGAAAAAGCCAUUACAUAUCUAUUAACACGGUGUGGCAGCAUAUGCACAAUCAAGUGAGGCAAAAGGGAUUCGAUUAUCGUGGCAGAACAUGGACGAGGACGCGUGAUGAAUAAUUCCUUCGUUAAAACCAAAAACAAACGCAGAGAAAACAAUUUCUUAUAUGACAAGAAAUCAAAGUAAUGUGAAGGAACAUGAUGAAGAAAUUGCAGACUGAUCAAUUAUCCCCAUGGACUCCUAUAAAUUCAACCAAAAUAACAAUUCGAAUCUUACCAAAUUCUUGAGUUAAAUUUAUUCAAUGCUUUUAUUUUUUUAGAAAAUUUUUUUCCAAUGCUACUUUUCCUUUUUUGGGGAAAUUAGAACCGCGGCAUGUAUAGAAAACAUUGAGGUGUAAAGCAACAUUAAUUUCAUGGGAUAUGCGUUAUACGCAUAAUAUAUUUUCAGUCCAAAUUCAACUAUACAAAGAGGCUUGAGAACUUAAAAUUAAGCACAAACUAAACAGACGAAGUAAAUACAUGAUUAUGCAACAUAACAUUAAUUCUCUCAAUUGAUAACUGUUUUUGCUACAUGAAUCUUGCACAGUUAAUCCUAAUUGAAGACUAAAAAAGAGCAAUUGGAAGAAGGUUUUGGAAUAGAAUGGUAUACAAUCGAUAUGAUCCUUUUCCAGUAGUCAACGCUAAUUAACUGCAGUUUCUAGACUCCUAAUUAUACUAGCCAUAGCAAACUAUUUAGAAAACUGGUGAUCAAAUUAGAUUUUGAAAGGAAAUAAUGUUCAUUUUCCCUUCGCUGCCUUUUCUUUUCUUUUCUUUUUAUAGCAAAGAAUUAUAUCAUGAAAAGAAUCAAUUUAAUCACCUUUUCCAGCAGCCCAAUUUUUCUUUUAUAAAAUUUGACCACGGAGACAAAGAAGAAUUAUUCAUAACUUCAUCACUAAGGAAAUACUUUUCGGUAUGGCUAGGGUGAGAAAAUGCUUUCCACUAACACUUGUACUUUGUAUUCUUGUAAAUUUUCUUUAAAGUCAAUAAAAACCAUAAGUUCUUUGCAAUAACCAUCUCUUUGAUCAAAAAGUGCCGUAUUCCUUUAGAAUUUAAAACCGGCAAAACCGAAUCAGUGUCUUUGAAGAGACAUAAUGGUCGUAAUUCUUUAAAUGAGUUGGCUAUGGAAAUCCUUAUCCAAGAUUCUUUUAUGCCAUAUUCUUUCGUAAACCAAAAUUCAUUUUGAAAUACUCUAUUGAAAAUGUCAAAUAAAACGGCAUUGAAGGAAGUUUUCAAAGGCAUAAUCCGCACUUGUCAAAGGGAUGAUCUGCACUUGUCAGAGACACGAUCCGCGUCGAACGAAUCGACACAUUUCCUUUCGUAUUCGCAUAUGUAAUCUUUGAAAAAAUGUAGCUUCCGCAUCUAUAAAUAACGCUCAGUGUAUAAUGUUUUAUUCAAGAAAAGAAAACAAAUUUCUUCAUACUCCUUGUCCGAACAUACAGAGACAGUCUCUCAUAACUUCAGCCGAAUACUUAUGAUGAUGAUCAUUUGUGAUUUCAUCAGGCAUAGGGUUGAUGGUGAAAAAUUUUGUAUGUGUGAAGAAUUGAGCUGUGGAUAUAGGGGACUUAAGUGUAAUCGAAAGAGAGUUAUUAGGCCAUAGUGCAGAUUGCAUUCAGUUUAUGGGUCGAUAUGCAAAUAAUUUGUUGACGUGGCGAAAUCUGUUAUGGUCGUUACUAUUGUUUCUGGAAAUUUUCUAGAAACCUCAGCAUAAAAGGGGCUUUUGCAUAGCCUCUGGUGUGCGUGUGAUUUCUCUUUCGUUUCCUCAUCAAAUUCUGUAAUUCUUGCUUUGAUAAAAAGCUUGUAAUCAUUUCUGUAAUGUGUGAUCAGUGCGUAAUCAUUUUGAGCAAUAAAAGCUUGUGGGUUUUUCCUUCAAACAGUGUCGUUUUGGUCAGUUUGUUAGUUUGAUCUGUUGGUGGAAUUUUCUUUGGUUAUUUGUUCUCAAAUUUCAACCGUAUAUAAAGUUUGAACUCUAAUGGCUUAUAAUGUAUUGAUUAAGAAUAAUCCUAAGAGUUCCCGAUUGAAAUUUUUAAUGACUAUUUUUAUUGUUUUGGAUAUACAAAUUGCAUUAAGAAAAAAUAUUGUCAAAUUCAGAGGAUAACGGGAAAUAAUUAUGCUUCAAAAGACCAGAGAUUAGAGAAUAAAGAAGCAUUCAUUACUGACAUACAAAAGAGAAACACUCCAAAAUUGCAAGCAAACUAGUUUCAUAUACUAUUUGGAUUUUGGAAGGGGUGAAGUUUUGAGCUUCAGUUGUUCCUCUAAAUAGCAAAGAAGACUUAUUGGUACCUUACUGAAGCUAACAUUGUGGCACGGUUGUUCAUAUGUAAUGGCUGCUCUGUUAUGGUAGCUUCUCUGUUUUUGCUCACAGUUUUGAACAUGAAUUCUUGCUCAAAUAACCCAUAAUUAAUUAACAUUAAAAUGGCUCGUGAAAUCCCAUAAUAGCUAAUUACGCAACUUUCUCCUCCUCCUCAAUUAUGUCUUCCCCUGCUCGUACAAUAAAUUCAAAAUUCAAUGCCCCGAAAAACAACACAAGAAAUCUUUGAGUUAGUUCGUGACCAGUUUAUAUAUAGUAGCAAUUGAAAAAAGAAAAAGAAGAAAAGAGUUAAUUAUUAUUCAGACCUUCACUUAUUAGGAAGUUUGUUCUGCUAUUGGGUGAGGUCAAGCUCUCAGCAUAUACUUCCACAUGAUACUUUCUAACAUUUUCUUGAAAGCCAUCAAUCAUAAAAUCUUCAUACUUUUUUCCAUCCUUUGGAUCAAUGAGUACAAAUUUCUCAUCUAAAACAGACAAAAUAAAAUCACUGUCCUUCAUGGAACAUAAUGGCUGCAAUGCCUGAACUGAAUUGGCUAAUGAAACAUAGUCUUCUUUUCUUUCUCGACAUGGAACAUAGUCUUCUUUUCUUUCUCGACACAUGUCUCUGUACUUUUCUCUCUCUACUGAUCCACACUUUUUCAUACUUCUAACUAUCAUUUUGUUUUUUUUUUUUGAGUUGUGAUUUAUUCAAUUAUUUUGUAUUUUUAAUGACAAUUAUUUAAUAUUUAGUUAGUGUUGAUAUUGAUUAGUGAUUGAAAGUGUAUUUUAGAAGACUUCCGGUCUCUUGAAAAAAGGAAAAAUGGAGAAGAAGAAGAAGUGUUCUUGAUUUUUUUGUAGGCAUUAAAGUUAAACGGUUUGAAAUGAUAUUUUGUUUUAAUUUCACUCAUUAAUCUCAUUCAGGAUAAAAUUAUAAAUGCAAAUAAAUGGGGUUUCAUAAGUAUUUUUAAUAGUGUUAAAAGGUCUACUAACUAAAUAAACAUGUUUUACCCAAACCAAUCCGAUUAAUAAGUUAUUGGGUUGGGUUGAUCAGGUUAAAAAUCAAAAUUAAAAAUUAAAUAAAUAAAUAAGGCAUAAAAACUAUAUGUUACUUGAAAAUAAAAAGAAUUUCUAAUAGUUAGUUCUAAUGUCCCAUAUCCAAAACAUGCAUAUUAAAUAAAUAUUAUAAGUUAGAAAUAAAAUAUCCAAGAAAUAAUGAAUGAAAUACCAUAUUUUUGUUGAGAAUUAAGAGUGUGAUUUUAAUUUUGAUAUUGGAGUCUAAAGCAAUAGAUAGUACAAUGAAAUCAUGAAUGCUACGUUUAAAUAAUCUCUUUUAUAAAAUAAUAAAAAGAGGUUAAAAAUUAGGUUAGCAUUUAGGGUUUAGCAGUUAAGGAUGAACAUAUUAUUAUUGUUGUUGUUGUUGUUAUUAUUAUUAUUAUUAUUAUUAUUAUUAUUUACAUAUUAAUUAAUCCAACCCAACUCAAUUAUUAACGAAUUUGAAAAAAAAUGACCAAAUUAAUCCACAAUAAUUCAUUCAACUCGUCUAAAUUAGAUUAGAUUGAAUUUGAUUUGCUACACCUACAUUGAGCAACAAACCUCAACGCGAUUCUAUGAGCUCUUUGAUUGUUUAUAAAAUUGAUUUAGAGUACAUAAUGGAGUGUAUCGACAAUGAAAGUGCAAAACAAAUUAUUGUAUACAUUAAAAUCUGCAAAACAAUGAAUUAUAUGUACGAACGAGUGCAAACACAUUUUUCAAUAAGAAGUUAAAAGAUAUUUAUGCAUGAAAAAGCAUACGUUUGUAGUUACUCUAAAUUUUUUAAAAAAAAUUUACAUUUAGAUCCCUAAAAUUUACGUAUAAGUACAAAAGUUUCAAAUAUUGUCUAUUAUUUUUUAACAUAUGCCUAUUCCUUGUGGAUAAUUCUGUCUCAUCACUAAUGUUGUUUCUUGCUUACAAAAAACAAAUGUCAUCUCCUUUUACAAUUUUUAUAGCGUCUCAAAAUAGACAAUGGGGGGAUUUUGAAUUUUUUAAGUCUCAAGAUAGUCUCUAAUCUUGUGAGAAAGAUUUUCUUUCAAUAAUUUGGAGGUAAAGAUAACAUAAUUUUUUGGAUAGUGUGCAUGUGUAUUUAAUUAAUAAUUUUUUAAAAAAAUACAUCAAAUAUUAAUAUCCAUGACAUAAUUUAGUUCUUAAUUUUUUUUAAAUACAUCAAAAACAUAAUUUUUUUUAACAACUUAUAGGCAUGACAAAUUUCAAGAUAUAAAUAUCAGUCAAAAUAAGUGAAAGAAAUAAUGGUGCCAAUUCUAAUUUCUUAACUAAAUUAAUUAGUGCAUGAGCCCCGAAUACGACACGAGAGUUUGAUGGGCUAACUUGGCACAAGAACGUGAAUAAAUAAUUGAUUUAAGAAAUAAUUCAACGAAAAAUAUAAUUGAUAAGAAUUCAGUAUUGAAAUGAGUUUUUUUGUGAAACACUGAAUUAAUGAUUAUUAAGCAAGAACAAUAAAAAAAUAAAUAUUAAUCAUUGAUAAGUUUCAACAAAAACUUAACACAAUCCUCAAUCCUCAUUCAAAUGAUAAAUGUCAUUCAUAUAUUCAUUAUAAAUCAACAACAAAGGUUAUAAAUGUUUAGAAAUUCUAGAGGGAAGGAAGCUAUCGCCGGACAAUCAACAACUAAAUUUGAUGUAAUUGUGGCACGAGAUGGAAUAUGGAAACUACACCAUAAUUUCAAAUGCCGCCAUAGACAUUGACUUAUCAUAAUAACAAUGAUCUAAUUAAAAUAAAAACAAAGUUUAUGGGCAUUUAUUAUUUUGCCAUUCCUCAUUUGCAAAUAGGGAUAUAAUUAUAAUUUUACCUAGUCAAAGCAAUCGGUAGUUUUCUUCAUUAUAGGAGUGAAGUAAAAACAUUUAGAUUUCAAUGUAUGUACGGAAAAAUUUGUCUUUAAAAAUACUUUCUUAAUGUGUGUAUGCAUAUUGAAAUACUCAAACCAAUUUUGGUUAUAUAUAAUUAAACAAAUUUUAAAAUAUGAAAAAUAUAAUGUAGUUAUAGUGGAUAAACAAUAAGUGAGCACAAUAUAAUUAAUCAAAUAUUAUGCCAUCAAAAGUUAAUUUUAGAAAUUCCAAAUCCAAUAGCCAACACAAUUCUUUUUUUUUUAAAAAAGUUGACACAAUUAAUAAAAUUAGCGACAUGAAUUUCACGCCAUUGAUAAUCAGCAAUUAGUAUUACUUUCUAAACUUGCUUCAACUGGUCGUUGAUGUCCGGGUCACCAAAAGUAUAAGCGAUAAUAAGGGGCAUUGGGCAAGAGUGAUGAAUGUUUAGUCGGUGCAUUUGAUUGAUAGAUAUAUAAAGGGCCGAAACUUGAGAUUAUAUUACUUUUACAAAUUUUAAUCCAAUCACAUAUUUACUGAAAACAAAAUGAGUUAGGAUACUUUAUUUAGAACCCACAUUUUAAUAAGGCUUCAUUUGAUGUAGUUUUUCAAACAGUGAUUAUUUGAGUAAAGUUUCCUCAAUAGAGUUUUUAUCAAAUAAAUUUUAUUUAUUUGGUUGUCGAUAAGAACUUUUAUUAAAAAUUAUAAAAUUAUUUAAAUAAACAUAUUUUUUAAAAUUACAUUAUAAAAAGAAUUAAAUAAAGUUAUAAAAGUAAAAUAUAUUUUAGAUAUUUUAAUAUUUAAGAAAAAAAUUUUGAAUCUCUACUUUCAGAAGCUCAAAUUUUUAGUUUUUAGUUGUAGAGACAAAAUAUCUUAUUUAAUCUUUAAAAGUUCUGCUAAAAACAAUCAAAUAACUAUAAAAUUUUUAAUAAGAGUAUAUAAAAUUAAAUAAGCAUUUAUUAAUAAUCACUUUAGUGUACUUAUCUAAUGACCAUAAGUGUUUAUUUAAUCUCAUAAGUUCUUAUUUAAUCUCAUGAGCUCUUUUCAAUUUUUUUUGUUGUUUGCUUUUUUUAGUAGAGUUUUUGAAAAUUAAAUAAACUAUUUUGUCUCUAUUAGGAAAAACUCAAAUUUUAGGUUUUUGUGAGUAAAUGUUUAAAUUUUUUUUAAAAUAUUAAAAUAUUAAAGUAAAAGUUGUAGAGACAAAAUAUCUUAUUUAAUGUUUAAAAGUUCUGCUAAAAAUAAUCAAAUAACUACAAAAAUUUUAAUAAGAGCAUAUAAAAUUAAAUAAGCAUUUAUUAAUAGUCACUUUAGUAUACUUAUCUAAUGACCAUAAGUGUUUAUUUAAUCUAAUGAGCUCUUUUUAAUUUUGUUUGUUUGUUUUUUUAGUAGAGUUUUUGAAAAUUAAAUAAACUAUUUUGUCUCUAUUAGGAAAAACUUAAAAUUUAGGUUUUUGUGAGUAAAUGUUUAAAUUUUUUUUAAAAUAUUAAAAUAUCUUUUCUUUAUUUCAUAAUCUUAUUUCAUUCUUCACAACAUAACUUUAAAUAACUCACCUAUUAAAAUAAUUUCACAAUUUAUAAUAAAAAUUUUAAUUGACAAUCAAAUAACAAAUUUUUUUUUAUAAAAACUCUAAUAAUAAAAAUUCUACUUAAAUAAAUUAUAUUUGAAAAGGUAUACCAAACGAACCUAACAUAAAAACAAAAAUUUUUACAUCCACACAAUUAAGCUUAAAACAAUUUCAAAUGAAUUUUAGACUACUCAAAGUACAAUACGUACCAAGUUUGGUAACUUAUUGGGGUCCGCUUGUAAUACAGCGUCUGUAUCUCAUACAGCCAAAUUUAAUAAUUUAUUAAGAAAAAGGGCAACCAUUAGAUAGAAGUAGAUACAUCCAACGGUUAAAAUGUUUGAUUACUCAUUUUGGCGACCGGAUAUGCCAGUUAUUAUUUCAUCAAUUAACUUACCUAAAAAAUCACAGCCGUUGGAUUGAGAUGCCUCUCUUUCCCUCAAAAUAACAGCCUUCGUAUUCUCUCUGCUAUUGUUUUCUCCUACAUCCAGAAUUUUGGAUGAAUGAACUUGGUAUUCAACAAUAUUCACCACCCAUCACAGCAAAGAGCAAAGAUGUAGUCAAAGGAGUGCCAUUUAUUCAGGCUAACUCGAUCUGUCACUCUCGCUUCAAUUCGUCACUCAUUUUCUCGCGCUCAGCUUCAAUCUAUCACUCUCAGCUUCAGUUCGUCACUCACAGCUUCAAUUUUUCACUGUCGUGAAUCAUCUCUCUUGCUGUAUCUCUCUCUUAUGUCUUCCAAUAAUUUCGGUGAGCUCUCUCUCUAAUUUAAUAUAUGAUUAAAAAUCUUAUCAUCUUAUCAUGUCAUUUAAAUAUGCUUGAAGUUUCAAUUUAGUUUAUGAAUAUUACUUGAAAUUUCAGUUUCAAUAAUUUGAUUUUGCAAUUGAGAAAUUAUUACUUGAAAUAUUGAGAUGAUUUCUAGGGAUUGAUAAUUGAAUGAUAAUUGCUAAGGCUUGUCAUUUUUUGUUUUUGAACAGAUAGAGUUACAAUUAAGUCAUACUGCAAUAUUUUAUCUUGAGAUUCUAUUAUUCACAAAAAGAAAAAAAUCAUAAAUUGAAAAAAAAAAAAAAGAGGUUACGAGCAUCAAGCAACUGCAAGUAAUGGGGUUUGUUUUGAUGAGCUGCGAAUUGGGGCCUGUCAUUUUCUUGAAGUAUCUUCAAUAUAAGUGGAAGGAGAUUUCUUCUCUCCAAAAAAUUAUUGUAUAUUUCCUUUUAAAUUCUAGAUUCGCAUGUAGCUGAUUUUUUAUGUUUGAAGGAUUUUAUUAAAGAAUGUGCUGCUGCUAGUGGCAUGAAUUAAUGUAGUCUCGCUAGUAUUCGUGAUUUGGGGUAAGGAUCGAAUUGAACAAUUAUAUUUCUAUUAUUCUUAUAUUCGAAUCCAGUGAUAUUGUGGUGGUUUUAUGAUAAUAUUCAAUUGUUUUGUGCCUCAAAUCAGCCAAUGAGUUGGGUAUGUGCUGGGUAUAUGCCGUAUGGGCUUGUUGUUGAAUUUGCUUGACCUUGGAUGUGAUUCUUGCCGUGUUUAUAAGAAAUAGACACAGGUCUUUGUGUGGUAAUAGAAUUGUCUAAGGUGCCUUACAAUAAAUUUAAGAGUCUUAAGUAACUAUGCUUUGUAACCUUAAACCUUUAUUUGUACGACUUGGUGUUCUUGGUUGUGAAAGAAUGUUAAAUGUUGACCUAUUUUCAUCGGUGAAGAUAAAUGAAGUUAGGGAAGGUUUGUAAUCACUAUAACCCUGACAAUUUUUUUGGUGGGCCGUGAUAAUUUUAUUCAUGGCAUGUACUUUGUUUUUAUCAGAAGGCCCUGUUUGCUUGUAGUCUCAAAUCUAGGGUAAUAUUUUAAAUAAGUUCUGCAAUAUAUGUUUUGCUAUUUUUCUUUUUUGUUUUUAUUUUAAUUAGUUUUAGUAUUACUUGGAGGGGAAUUCUGAUCUGCUGAAGUUUAUCAAGCUGGUGCAGUGGUGCAGCAAGCAGACCUUUAUCUUAAUCUUAUGAUUGUGCUAAGUGGAAUUUUGUGUAAGUUACAACAAUAUAAUUUUUUAAAGAGCUGACAAGACGCUCUCUCUUUUUUUUGGAAUGUUGAGCAAAACUUUUCUUUCUUAUUAGGUGUUUAUAAUAAUUCAUAGCAUGGGUUUUGUCAUAUUGGUUUCAAUGCAUUGAUUUGAUCUUGGUUACAACCCAUCAGCCCUUACUCCUCAUUCCCAGCAGCUUUUAAUGCCUUUUUUUUAAGCAUUGUACUUUGUUUCAUGAUGAAAUUUGUUUAUAUGACGCAAAGUUGAGGACACGGUAAUAGUCAUUAUUUUAAUUUAUGCAACAAAGAUCAUUAUCCAUUAAAUUUUAUGUUGUUGAAAUAUUUAGAUUUUGUAAAUUUUGUUGUAAGAAAUGAGGGCUCUUGAUCCCAUCCCUUUAUUAUAUACAAUUUUUUUUCACUCUGUCAUUCAUUUAUUGUGUGUUAGAGGUAUUAGUCAUGUGCAAAAGUAAAGAUCUUUAUUUUGUUAUUUUUGUCAUCUUGUGCUUCAUUGGUAUAAAUGAGGAAAAAAAAGAAUAAAAUAAAAUAAAAUUAUAGUUUGUGCAUGAAUUCCACCAUAUAUGAAAUGUUUAAUAGAUUAAAAAGUAAGGAGUACACAGUGACUUUGAAUAGCAGGUGGGGGAACUCAUUUUGUUUUAAAAAAAAUUAAUACAUAUUGAUAGAAUAAUUAUCCUUCACUUAAUUAUUUAAAAAUUUUAUUUUGGAAGAAUACAAAUGGACAGUCACCAAUGAAAGCGUAAACGACUACCAGGGGGCUUACAGAAAAAAUUGCUCCUAUUCUAAAAGUAGAUGGUCAGGACAAAGUUCCAACAACUUCAACUUAUGGAUUUGUCUCUUACUUGUAAGGUAAUCUCUUCUUGUAGGGUGUUUAAUUGAAUUAAAAACAGAAUAUUAUUUGCAUUAUAGAGUACAGGCAUAAAUUCAUUAUCUAUGUCAGUUCAUUCAUGAUUUUACUCCAAAUGGAGUAAUAGAUCACCAUUAAUUUAUUGAUACAUCGUCCAUGUUUGUUUUCGUCUUCAAUUUUUAUAUUACAAUAUCUAAUCUAUUUAGUAUUCGUAAAAAAACAUACGAGAAAAAGUUGGAAAAACACUUUAGGGGUGAUUGUGUACACUUUCGUAUGGCACAAAUAGCGUUAGGCUUUGUUUUUUAAGUGGACGACGUGUCCAUUUUUUGUGUUACAUCUUACUCAUUAAUAUAUUUUUGAGUUUCUUAUGGAAAAAAAAUUGAAAAAACACUUUAAGUGAAAAAAAUUUGUAUUUCAAUUUAUAUGUAACAGUGAAUUGGAAAAUAAAUUCUACCAAUAAUUAAAAGAAUACUUUUCUUUUAAUUAUUAAAAAGAUAAGGUAGUUACUCAUUACCCAUAUAAAUGGACAGUUUUAAUUUGUUCCAUAUCUAUACAACAGAAGAGCUUCAGACACGGUUUGCAGCGUUCCACGAUCACUUCCAUUCUAAGCAGCAGCGUCUUCCGUCUUUUUGCACACCAACAGCAGAUUCUAGAUGGCCAGAAGCUCAUCUGCCGCACUCUCGGGAUUUCGCUGCCAUCCUCAUCUUCAUCUCCACUACCUCCUCAGUGAUUAUCCCCUGGUUUUAUGCUCAGAAAUUAUGAUUAUUAUGUAUCUUGUUUUCAGAUUUGUCAAUACUUGUUAUAUUUUGAUUAUGCAUUAUGGACAUUUUUCAUAAGAUAGCUUAAUUUUGUGGUUUGUGUUGACGAUUUCCAUGUAUGGAUGUUUGGAUAGGUAAUUUCGCCUUCCAUGCAUUCUUCAUUCCUGCAUCCUGUGGGAGAAAAUUGGAAAAAGUGGUUUUUGAUGAGAAACGGGGAGAAGGAUGAGAUAUAUAUUUUUGAAGUGUCACAUUAUUUCAAAAACAAACCCCAAAUUUAAUUUCUCUUACCGAUCAUGAGUUAAAAUAUAAAAAUUAACGUUUACUCAUCACACUGUUAUAAGUAUCAAAGCAUUACUUAUAGAAAAAUUAUCGUCACCUAUCCUACAUUUGUGAUUGAAUAGUGGCACAAUUUUAAUUGGGAUAUUUAACAUUACUCUUUGUAAUUGUUUGGUCUUAUUUGAAGUUUGUAAAUUUUUCAUAACUAUGACUUCAACAGCAUAUUUCAGGUUGCAUUUAAUCGUUGCUAUAAUUAGGUACUUUGAAAUAAUUUAUUGGCCACGAUUACAGUCAUUGUUAUUAGUCACCCCUCUUUUUUCUCUUUUGGCCAACCAGCUCUUGGAUAUUUGGGAACCGAUGACAAUAGUUGGGAAAUUAUGUAAUAUUGGUGUGUUUGCGAAAUAAAUCAAGAGAUUUGCCUUGCCGAAGUUAAAAGAGAUAUUGUGGCCUGAAUUUUUUUUUUUUUUCUCUAGGGGCCAUGGCUCUCAAGGACAAGGCAUGAAUCAUGCAUUAUAAUUGCUCGAAAGGGUUAGUAAAAUAGCAAUCUAAAAUACCCAAGUUGGAUCUGCUGUUGAAUCACAAAAAGAACAUAAUUGGGAUAUGAAGUCAUGGUUGCAAGUGUUGGACCCUUAGGUUACGUUUGGCACGUAGGAUUGGAUUGAACUAAUUACUAAAAUUGGAUUGAAUUAUAUUCGAUUGGAUUAAACUGGAUUAUAUUAUAUAGUUCUAUGGUUAGUACAAUAUCGGAUUAAACUAUGUUAAAUUAUAUUUAAAUAAUAUUAAAUAGCAUUUAAGUUGGUAUUUUAAUAUUAAUAUCAAUUAUUCAUGAAAUUUCAUAAUCAUAAUUAAAAUAAAUUUAAAAAACAAUUACCAGGAAAAUUAAAUAUAUUGUAAAUAAGUUACUGGGUAGUCAUAAUACAGUAAACAAAUGAACAUAGAUAAAAAAAUUAAAUUUUAAAUAAUUUUUAUCAAAUUUUAAAAAAAAAUUAUAUAAAAUCAAUUAUUUAAUGGUAUUAUUAAUUUUCAUGAUUAUUUUUAAUAGUAUAUAACAAUGAUUAUUAAAUUUAAUACAAUCAAAUAAUGCAAUAAAUAAUUAAACAUUUAAUUUUAUCAAUAAAUUACUAAAUAUACAAGUGGUGAAAAUUUAAUCUCCAGAGUUAGUACAAGUAAAGGUAUUAAUUUAAUUAGAUCAUAGAUAAUAAAUAAAAAUAAGUUUUAAGUAAAUCAUAUUAAAAAUUAAUUAAUUAAUUAAUACUAGGUGUAAAUAAAAAAAAUGAUAUAAAUAAAAAUCUCAUAAAUGGACAACUUUUUUCUUUAAUCUUAUCCCAACUAAACCCAUGCGUAAAUUAGGAUUAUCAAUUCCAUGAUUUUAGGAUUAAAUUUAAAUUACUACCCCCUUAAUCCAAUCCAACUAAGCUUGCCAAACAUUGGAUAAAUAUUUAAUUCCAAAAUUAGUCUAAUCCCAUACUUAAUCCUAGAAUCCAAACAUGGCAUUAGCACCUUAUAUAACAAAGUGUCACUGAAAUACAGCAAAACGUUAUAAACAAGAACUUAUUUCUGUACAAAAUGUUAUUUACUUUUUGUGAACUUCCAAAUACCUACUAUAUGAUUUGCAAACCCUACAAAAGUCUACCUUGCAUGCUCUUUCUAACGUGAAAUUUGAUUUUUAUUAAAUUUUUGAUGUGUUCACUAAUAAAUAAUUGGAAUCUAAAAAAAUUAGAAAAAAAUAGAAUUAGAAUGAGCUACAAUAAAAAUGAGGAAUAACAAAAAAAAUGAUAUUUGUUGAGAUGAAUGAAACACAAUUGAAAUACUCUAUAUCGCUCUUAAUAUGUUCACUUUGUGAACAUAAAUUAGAAUUAGUUGUUAUAACUUAGUAAUUUAUCCUCAAUCAAUUAUUAUCAUUAUUACUAUUUGUUAUAAUAAUUGUAAUUAUUAUUUUUGAUAAUUUUAAUACUAAGAAAAUUAUUGUUAGGGGUGGAAACACCAUAUAGAGAAGGAACAAUUAAAUUUAUAAAAUUUAGUGGGGAUAAAAUAGUCACUUAAGACAGCAAGCGUCUCCCAUUCUCACCUCCACGAGCAUGAAAACACUAGUAAUCAUUCUUAAAUUUUGAUGGAAUCUGUUGCUUUUAUUCUAAUAACGAACGCAAAACCUAUGGAAUUAGUUGGAAUAACGAAUGCAAAACCUCUGGAAUUACAAUUGAAAUACGUCAACCCAAAAUGGAGAAAGCACAACUAAAAUUAGAGACCUACAAAACCAAAAAUAAACUUAUAGAAAACAAACCCGGUACCUAAUCUCAAUAAUUGGAAUCUCAACCAGUUAAUGGAAAUAUUCAACUCAAAAUUAGGGAAAAAUUAGAUGAAACACGUGAACCAUUGAGAGAGAAAGUAUGACGAAAAUUAGAAACUCAUUUAACGAAAAAUAAUAUUUACUUGGAAUCUAACCCAUGAUACUGGUACCUAAGGAACUUUAUAGGAAUAUGAAACGCAAAACCAGUGGACCAAUAAGUUGAAACAUGUGAACCAAAAAAUGAAAAACUAUAACCAAAUCUUGAGACUAAUCAAACCAAGCAAAAGUAAUAUUGAUAUUUAACCCAUAUAAUUGGAAUUUUACCAAAUUAGUUGGAAUAACGAAUGUAGAACUUGUGGAAUUACAAUUGAAAUACAUCAACAAAAAAUGGAGAAAGCACAACCAAAAUUAGAGACCUACAAAACCAAAAAUAAAUUUAUAGAAAAUAAAUUUGGUACCUAACCACAAUAAUUGGAAUCUCAACCAGUUAAUGAGAAUUCUCAACGCAAAACUAUAGGAAAAAUUAGCUGAAACACAUGAACCAUUAAGAGAGAAAUUAGAACGAAAACUUGGAACUUAUCCAACGAAGAAUGCUCGUGACUUGGAAUCUAACAACAAAUAUUGGUACUUGACUAAUUUAGUAGGAAUAUCAAAUGCAAAACUCAUUGACCAAUAAGUUGAAACAUGUAAACCAAAAGAUGAAAAAGUAUAACCAAAACCUGAGAAUAAUCAAACCAAGAAAAAGUAAUAUUGAUUUUUAACCCAUAUAAUUGGAAUUUUACCAACUUAAUUGGAAUAACGAAUGCAAAACCUGUGGAUUUACAAUUGAUAUACGUCAACCCAAAAUGGAGAAAGCACAACCAAAAUUAGGGACCUACAAAACCAAAAAUAAAGUUAUAGAAAACAAACCUGGUACCUAACCUCAGUAAUUGGAAUCACAACCAGUUAAUAGGAAUAUUCAAUGCAAAAUUGGGGAAAAAAUUAGAUGAAACACGUGAACCAUUAAGAGAGAAAGAACAACGAAAACUAGGAACUUAUCCAACAAAGAAUGAUAGUUACUUGGAAUCUAACAGUAAAUAUUGGUACUCGACGAAUUUAAUAGGAAUAUCAAACGCAAAAAUAGUGGACCAAUAAGUUGAAACAUGUGAACCUAUAGAUGGAAAAGAAUUACCAAAAUUUGUAACUAAUCAAACCAAAAAAAGUAAUAUAGAUAUCUAACCCAUAUAAUUGGAAUCUCGACAAAUUAGUUGAAAUAUUAAACAAAAAACUAGUGGAAUAAUAGUUGAAACACAUGAACCAAAUGUGGAGAAAGUUUAACCAAAUUUUGAAACUUAUCCAAUGAAGAAUGCUAGUUACGUGGAAUCUAACAACAAAUAUUGGUACUCGACGAAUUUAAUAGGAAUAUCAAACGCAAAAAUAGUGGACCAAUAAGUUGAAACAUGUGAACCUAUAGAUGGAAAAAUAUUACCAAAAUUUGGAACUAAUCAAACCAAAAAAAGUAAUAUCGAUAUCUAACCCAUAUAAUUGGAAUCUUGACAAAUUAGUUGAAAUAUUAAACGAAAAACUAGUAGAAUAAUAGUUGAAACACAUGAACCAAAUGUGGAGAAAGUUUAACCGAAUUUUGAAACUUAUCCAACGAAGAAUGCUAGUUAUUUGGAAUCUAACAACAAAUAUUGGUACUCGAUGAAUUUAGUAGGAAUAUCAAACGCAAAAAUAGUGGACCAAUAAGUUGAAACAUGUGAAUCUAUAGAUGGAAAAGCAUUACCAAAAUUUGGAACUAAUCAAACCAAAAAAAGUAAUAUCGAUAUCUAACCCAUAUAAUUGGAAUCUCGACAAAUUAGUUGAAAUAUUAAACUAAAAAUUAGUGGAAUAAUAGUUGAAACACAUGAACCAAAUAUGGAGAAAGUUUAACCAAAUUUUGAAACUUAUCCAACGGAGAAUGCUAGUUACUUGGAAUCUAACAAAAAAUAUUGGUACUCGACGAAUUUAGUAGGAAUAUCAAACGCAAAAAUAGUGGACCAAUAAGUUGAAACAUGUGAACCUAUUGAUGGAAAAGCAUUGCCAAAAUUUGGAACUAAUAAAACCAAAAAAAGUAAUAUCGAUAUCUAACCCAUAUAAUUGGAAUCUUGACAAAUUAGUUGAAAUAUUAAAUGAAAAACUAGUAGAAUAAUAGUUGAAACACAUGAACCAAAUGUGGAGAAAGUUUAACCGAAUUUUGAAACUUAUCUAACGAAAAAUAAAUUUAAUUGGAAUUUAACCCAAAAUAUUAGUGUUUAACGAGUUUAGUGGGAAUAUUAAACAUAAAACUAGUGGAUCGGAAAAUGGAGAUAAGCAAACCAAUUAGUGAGAAAGUUGAAUCAAAAUUAGGUAUAUGUGAAAUUAACUUGGAAUGUCACCUAAUAUAUUGAUAUUUAACCAAAAGAAUCGAGACAUGCUCAUUUUAAUUUUUUUAAACUUUUGUUGCAAUUAAAAAUAAUUUUUUCACUUAAAUAUUGUUUGUGUUAAAUAUUUACAAAAUUUCCUUAAUUUUUCCUGUUUCAUUUUAUUUUUUCUACAUUAAAAAUAAUUUUUUAAAAAUUAUUAAAUGAACAACCGGUAAAAUACCGGUUGUUCAAGUUUCCUUUUUACUGUUGAAGGGGCUGUAUUUUAUACAGCACUGUACUAUAGGAAGACUCAACUUAUUGACAUCUUCUCAUAUAACCUUCGAUCAAGUCGAUUCUGACCUGACGACUAAUUGGUACAUCACCGUUGUUCUCUAUACUCGCAUGCAUCGGAUCACAAAUCUCACUCCAAUUGUCGUCUUUCUUCGCCGUUUUAGCGCAUACUUCUUGAAUUUCCCGCAUUUCGUUCCCUCCUGUUACAAGUCUCCGGUCAGGUCAGUGAUUGAAUUUCCCGCAUCUCUAUCCCUCCCGUUUUCUCGCGUCGUUUCACUUCAAUUUCUCGUGUCUCCUUUCAGUUUAAGUGAUUGAAUCAAUUUUAUCGCAGUCAUAAGAGAAAUUAAGUAAUGCUCUUGGAUUUAAAAUUUUUUUGCUUUCGACUUUAGAUCUCGAAAGUCAAACUCUGCUACGAAUCCAUAGAUUCUCAAUGCUCAUAAUCUUAUUUGUGUUUGACCAGGUAACUGGAUCGUGAAAUUCGUCGUUUUGUAUCAAUUCAAGCUUUCGCGAGCUCAUGGAAUCACCUGGUGAGUUGUGGUGAAACGUUAUCGUUUCAAUUUUCGCUUAAUUCUUUAUUGCAUAUUUUUUUCUCUAAUGUUUCAGUUUAAUUUAGAAAAGAAAGAGGCCCCAAAAAGAGAGAGAGAGAGAGACUCUACCAUACUCAAUUCCUUGCUCAUUCUGAUUUGGCCUGAAUGUUGGCAUUGACUAUUAUUUGUUUUCAUUUCGAUUUAAUUCUCAUUUAGACAGUCUUUACUAACGGUCAAUAAUAGUUUAAGGAAAAUGAUCAUAGGGAUUCUGCAAUAAUCUUUCUGCAUUGUUCAAGUUAGUAGACAAUGAAUAGGAUGUUUAUGUUUACCUCAUUUUGAACCCUGAGGGCUUCGUUGAGUAGUUGAUUCAACAUAUCCAGCAACGGUUGAUGUGAGAACAGAAUGCCACUUAGAUAGGCUUAAACUGAUUUUGGAGGUUUGUAUUGGUUCUAUUGUACGUCUUGCUUACAAAUUUUUAAUUUUUAAUUUUGUAUAAUAUGCUCUUUGUUGGUAAAUCUCAUUUGACUUAGAAGAGAUAGUUUUAUCCCAACAGUGGGAUAAAUCAUUGAGAUGCAUGGCAGUGUGAAUAUAGUAGACAAAAUCAUUGAGACACAUGGUGGUGUGAACAUAGUAAACUUUGUCAAACACAGCUAAGAUAAACAAAUUGUUUCAUUAGCCUUUACCUUAUCUGCUGUGAUGAUUCAAAUUAAUGCUGUUUGGUAGGUUGCAAAAAACGAAAUGAGCUGUCUGUUCGUAUUAUUUAGUCAGAUCUAUUGCAAUAAGUUGAAGUUCAUUGUCACAUGGGUUGGGAGUAGCGUGGGCUGUGAGUAGUAGAAUGGAUUUAUGGAGUUGAUACAAGUGCCCAUAAUCUAUCAUGUCAUUCUAGGAUUAAAUGGAUUGCACAUUACUGUAAAGAUGGAGGUUAAAUUUAUAUAAUUCGGAUUGAUUGUAAAAUGGGAGGCAGAGAUGAGUUAGAAAAAGAAUGACCUGUGUCCUUUUUGAGCUGUUUCUAAAUCUCCCUGGUGUGCUUCAUGCUUAACACGUGUCUUUCCAAAUAAUUUUGCUUAACCUGUGCUUGUCUACUUCUUGUGCUAUUCUGUGCCUGGUCCUGAGCUGUGUUGGUAGAUUGACAUAAUUUUGCUCUGCUAAAUGUAUAACUUAUUAAUCAGAGUCCUGUUAUUAUGGUUUGACACUACUGACAUAUUGUGUUGGUAUUUAUUUGUACUUCCCUUGGUUGAAUUAUUUGCUGUCUCCAUGCAAUUCGAUAUGGUGCUACUUGGUUUUUGAUCAUCCAUGACGCUAUAUAUAUGUAAAGGAUGAAUUGAUUGUUUUGGCUUGUAUUCUCACAUUUUAUGAUUGAUCGAUGGAAAGGUUUUCAUGCAUUAAAUUCAACCUCACAAGCGUAAGAUUGACAGAUUGUGGGCAAAUUUUCAGGAAAAGAAACUAGACUUCAUGGAAGCAAUGAAGCUUGAAAUUGAACGUCUGCAGCUGAAUCUUUCUGCAGCUGAAAGGGAUAGAACUUUAUUGUCAAUUGGAACUGAUCCUGCCUCUAUAAAUCCAAAUGUAUUGCUUGAUGAAUCUUACAUGGGAAGACUGUGUCGAGUAGCAAACACUCUUGCAUUACUUGGCCAAGCUUCCCUAGAAGAGAAAAUUGUUGGUGCAAUUGGCCUUGAGAAUAGUGGUGAUAGUGUUUUAGACUUCUGGAAUAUUACUAGAAUCGGAGAGAGUUGUUCUGGUGGUGGGUGCGAGGUUUGUGCAGAAACUAAGGUGCCUGCUCUUGCUUCCUCAACUGCAACAUCUGUUGGAUCUUCACAAUCCCCUUUGUUGUGUUCUCAAUGUGAAAGAAAAGUUUGCAAAGUUUGUUGUGCAGGAAGAGGAGCUCUACUGUUUUCAAAUUAUAAAUCAAGGGAUGUGACCAACUACAAUGGCUUCUCAAGUCAGAGUGGAUCAAGCCAUGGAAGCCAAGUUGAUGUAGCUACCAGUCGUUCACUAACACUGGAUGGCGUUAUCUGUAAACACUGUUGCCAUGAGAUGGUGCUUGAUGCAUUGAUGUUGGACUAUGUUAGGGUCUUGAUUAGGUUGCGAAGAAGUUCCUGUGCAGACAACGCAGCAUACAAUGCUUUGAAUGAGGUUGUUGGAUCCUGCUUAAAGGAUAGUCUUUCUGAGAGGAUUCAGUCUUCCGAUAAUGCGCAAGCAGCUAAAGUCCUGCACCAAUUAUGUGGUGGACAGGAAGCACUUGCUGAAUUUCCAUUUGCUAGCUUUUUGCACUCGGUAUGUUCUUGGUUUGUAUUCAGUUCUCAUCAUAUUAUGUUUUCCUUUUAAAUUUCAUUUCUUGAUUAAAAUUUUUAGAAAUGUGUUUUAGCAUUUAUUCUUAUGAUAUAUGCCCGGAACAUUCAUCCCACUUAUCCAUGAGAAUCCUUGUCUGGUUUGAUUUUCAAUUGAGACAUUUUUGGGAACCCUGCGCAGGUUCCAUAUGCUAAUAAUCUUUGAGGUAAGGUGUUGUAGGAUGCCUUGAGAAGCUAAAAACCCAUUACAAGGAAAAGGUCUUGCAUUGUUUUGUGCAAUCUGUGUGCGAGCUAGUCAUGUCUCUAAUAAUUUCAUAGUUUGCUUGAUUGGAAUUUUUUAUCUUGAUAUGGAUUGUUUAUUCUAGAUUCCUUGGUGCCACUGUAGGUUGAAACAGCAAAAGAUUCAGCACCGAUUUUGUCACUGCUUGCUCCAUUAAAUUCUGGAUCAAGGCACUCAUAUUGGAGAGCUCCACCUAGUACUACUUCUGUUGAAUUUGUUAUUGUUCUCGGUUCUGUUUCUGAUGUCAGUGGGGUUAUCUUGCUUGUUAGUCCUUGCGGCUAUUCUGUGGCUGACACUCCGAUGGUAAGUGCCAUAUUUAUUCCCUUAUUUCCUUGUUGUUCAAUAAAUUUGGUGAUAAGCCAAGUGGCCUUAAUAAUGAAGCCCAGUACCAGGGUUGGUGGGUAAUAGAUAUUCAACUUGUGAAUAUUCCUAAGCAAACACUGAAUCAACAUAUACCUCGGCUAAAGUUCUCUAUGCUAUUAUAACAAAAGUCAUAUUUUGAAAUGAUUAAAAGAGUCCCUGUGUAGUGCCAUUUCCAAAGAAAUUGCAGCUGGGGGUUUAGUUUCAUGUAGGUUAGUUUCCGAUAAUAAACUUUCUAUUUCAUUAAUUGCUGAUGAAAAAACCAAGUAAGAACAGUUUUGUUGCUCGUCAUUUUUGUAUAUUUUGGUAAACUGUAAUUUUAAAUUCUCAACGAUCUUCCCUUUGUAGGUAAGAAGAUGGUCCACUCACUUGAUAUUUAUGAUUGUAGAUCAGGUUUCUAUUGGUUUGCCUUUAUCAUUUAGAACCCAUGUUUGAUAUUAACAGAGAUCACGUCAAUAAUAUCCUAUUUGGGUAGAUGUGGGUGAGGAUUUAAAAUCAAAUUUGAAAUUGAGGGGAAAGAAGAGAAAAGGAACCACAAUAAUUAAACAAAAUAAUAGGAACUAUUCUGAUGAGUUUUAAUCUCGAGAGGAACAAUUUUCAAAUGCACUGCUAGAGAAAUUGUAGCUUUUUGUCAUUAGUUAAAAGGAAAAAGAAUAAGAACUAUCCGGCCCUUUCCUUCAUGAAUGUGUGUUGAGGUUGCUGUAUUAUUUAGUCAGUAUUUGUAAUUUUCUUCCCUGCAGUGCUCUCUGCCUCCUGAAUUUGCUUCCUAUUGCUGUUACAGGUGCAAAUCUGGGCAAGCAAUAAGAUACACCAGGAGGAAAGGUCAUCAAUGGGAAAAUGGGAUGUCCAAUCCCUCAUCACAUCUUCUUCAGAUUUGUAUGGUCCAGAAAAGUCUGCUAGUGUUGAAAAAUUACCUAGGCAUGUAAAAUUUACUUUUAAGAAUCCUGUUAGGUGCCGCAUUAUUUGGAUCACAUUACGUCUUCAGAGACCUGGUUCGGCUUCAGUUAAUUUCGGGAAGGACCUCAGUCUUUUGUCUCUUGAUGAAGAUGAAAACCCCUUUGCACAAGUAGACAGACGUGCUUCAUUUGGAGGAGCAGUUGAAAAUGAACCAUGUAUUCAUGCCAAAAGAAUUCUUGUAGUCGGAAGCCCAGUAAAAAGGGAGGGGCUUACCACAUCACAGAGCUCUGAGCAGCUAAGUAUUAGAAACUGGUUGGAUAGAGCUCCACAAAUGAGUAGAUUCAAGGUAUUAGUUGCUUUCACUCUUUGUUCAUUCAUAAUUCCAGCUUUCUGCUUCACUGAUAAACCUCUUUUUUCUCUUCAGGUCCCAAUUGAGGCCGAGAGAUUGAUGGACUACGAUCUCGUCUUGGAACAGUAUCUACCUCCAGCGUCACCUUCGCUUGCCGGAUUCUGUCUAGACGCUUUCAGUGCAAUAAAACCUAGGGUUACCCAUUCACCUUCCUCAGAUUCAGAUAUCUGGGACAAAUCAGUAACAUUUUUAGAAGACAGGUACAUCUCUCAAGCUGUAUUGUAUUUACAAGUAUCCGCACUCCAGGAACCACAUAACAUGGUAACUAUUGCGGAAUAUCGACUGCCGGAGGCUAGAGCCGGAACGCCAAUGUACUUUGAAUUCCCACGACCGAUACAGUCCCGACGAGUUUCAUUCAAGCUUCUUGGAGAUGUUACAGCAUUUGCAGAUGAACCUUCAGAACAAGAUGAUUCAGGAUUGAGAGCUCCACUUGUGGCCACAGGUUUGUCUUUGUCAAACAGAAUCAAGUUAUAUUAUUAUUGUGAUCCUUAUGAGCUUGGAAAAUGGGCAAGCCUUUCUGGAGUUUGAUCGUUAUUUAUAUGUCAGAGAAAGAGUUUUGGGUUUGAUUUUGAUUUUGAUUUGUAAUUUUUGUCAGUUUAUUGAAAUUUUUUUGUUGUAUAAAAGCAGAAUGUAAAGGUAUAAAAAUUCAUUGAUGCUGCAAUGUCUGUGCUUUUGAGAAAGAAGAAUUCAAUGUCUUUUCUAUGCCAUUGGAUUUUCCCACUGCUUGUAAACUUGGGCUGUCGAGUGCUCUGUGAACCUUAAGGGCUAUAAAGUAAUUUUUUAGACUGAAGGAUUUAUUAAUCGAGUUCAAAAGAUUGCAAGUUGGUGAGCGUUGGCAUUUAAAAAUCAAUUGUUAUUCUCUCAAUAAUCUCUCUCUUCUGCCGACACCCCAAGCUCAGAAACCCAUUGUUCCGACGGACGUGUAACACUUCCAGAAAUUAGCCUUUUCUUCUAUAUGAAGGUUGAUCUCUCCUCGUGAAGUGAAGGUGGUUUUCCAAUUACAUACGUCGGGGGUCUUAUGAUAUCUAAUGUGUGAAAUUUCUUUCUCAUUUUACCAUAAAGAAAAGUUCUGUAAUGAUCUAAAGUUGGGAGUCUUAAAUUAUCUUAAAUUUAUAUUUAGAGUGGAGUUAUUGGCACCCUACAUUAUUCUUACAAAAUUCUAUUUUAAAUAAAAUUAUAAUUAAAGACAAUUGAAAAUUAUAGAUUUUUUUACAGCAAAUUACUUAAGUCAUAAUUAAUCCUUAAAAAAAAAUCUAUAUGUUACUUCUUAUUUAAUUAAAAUAAAUUGUACAAAUUUAAAAUAAUUUAUUGUUUUCUUUUGAUUUUUUAUUGAUUAAAUAUUUUUAUACUUAAAAUUACUUUGAAAUUAUAAUUUAAAAUAUGUGUUAUAUGCAAUAGUUCGAUUUACCGAACCACAAAGGGAGCCAAUGUGGUUUUGCCAAAAUCACAUACUGUAGCAUAAUAACAGAUAUUAUUAUUGUAUAAUAGAUGGGUUUAGAAAAAUUGAAGAACCAAGUAAGUUAUUUGAAAAAUGUCGAUUCUCGUACCAAACCCAUGUUUUAUGCCAAUUGUUUUUGGAUUGGAGUGCAGGCAUUAACAAUGAUGGAGAUGGAGGAACUGUAGCAUUAGUCAUAUGAAGAGUACGUGUCAGGUUUGAUUUUCAUGUGAUUUGGUUAGUGACGACGAAAACGACGACGUCGUAGUUGAAAAGCGUUUGAAUUAAUGUUGCGUUAAAAAAAAAAUUUAACUUGUUCCACUAAUUAAGUCAACAUUACUGAUGUCUUAUCACCCUCGGCCAACUUAACAAUUGGUGUCCUUUGGACAAUUAAAUAUGAUUUAUUCAAAAAAAAUAAAACUAUUAAAUAUUAAAAAUUAGGUCCAUUAAUAAUAAUAAUAAUAAUACUAAGAAUUAAGAAGAUCUAAUUACAUAUCAAAAUGACUCAAACAAAUUAAUUAAUUUCAUAUUAGCUAGCCAAGUAGGUUGUCCAUCCCACUCAGACAUGCACGAAAGCUAAAUUCAUCAAAUGAAUUACUUAAGGAGUAUUUGAUAAUUUUGAAAUUAUAAUUUCAAAUUAAAAUAGUAGUAGCAAAAUCGUAGUGCACAUUCAAUUAACCAACUAAUAGUCUAAGAAGCAAAGAGAGGAUUACAAGUUCACAACACCAUUAAAAAGGAUUCAAAAUUCCCACACGAAAACAUCAAUGUACAGAUUAUAAACAAUCCGAAUUGGACACAAGAAAAAACCCUUCAAUGGAUUGCUUGCCUUCCCAAUGCUAUAUACUGUGCAAACUGCGCACUGGCCAAGAAAAUAUUUUCAAUUUAGUGUAUUUUCAAAAUGCUUAUUUUCUCAGAAUAUAAAAAAAAAAAAAACAAAAAAAGAAUUCUUACAUGUUUCAUCAGCAUGAUUAAAAUCAAAGAAGAAAGCGAAGACAUAAUGUCUCUGACAUAAUAAAAUUACAAUUUCAUGCAGCAGAGAUUGAAGAGUUGAAUUCCACUUAUAGACACCGACCUCUUGUUUUGUCUAAUGUUAAUAACGAAAACAACAACAGAGGAUUAACUGAUGCUUUGACUUAUUAUCAGGUUGCAAUGAAUUAUUAACUGAUGCUUUGACUUAUUAGUUCUGCUGCUAAGUUAAAUAAAAUAAGGUAUUUUCAAAAGCAAAAUGGAAUACAUAGAUAAAACAUCAUCUUAAACAAAUCAUAAUCUAGAAUUGGAGACAUACCCAAGGAGAAAGAAUACGUGAAAAUGGGUGAUUCAUUUGUUAAGGAGUGUUGAUUUGGUCGUCUCUGCAAAUUCUUUAGGGACUCGGUUCCAGUUCCUCUUCAUCAAAACUGUAAUAUAAUUCCCCUUCAUCAGAACUCGAAUCGAUGCAAUAAAAUUCCCCUUCAUCAGAACUCGAAUCAAAUUCACUUGCAGCAGUUCCACUCGCGCUUGGCAAAUCAUCCAAUUUCCAAACUUCGGUAGCAAAAUUGAGAGUAAAAGUGUUGGCUUUGGUCUCUCUGGGAUUUGCAUAUACUGGACAUACUCCGCAACGUUUUAGCUUAGUGAAGAACUUAAAUGAGGCAGUUGUAUGAUGGUAACCAUCAGGAAACCCAACAUUCAAGCAAGGUUUAAAACCAAGUAUGACAUGAUCUGAAUCAAGGGAGCCAGUGCACACCAUGAAACCCAGAUCAACAUGUUUGGUUUCAGAGAGAGUCUUUAUUUCUAAGUCGAGUUGAAAGCGGACGUAAAUAUUGCAGCAAUAACAAGAAUGAAGGUGCUUAAAAUCAAGAACAGCACAAAAAGCAAACCCGAUUAAGUUUCUGCAAGAAGACUGCGGUGGCAGUUGAAUACAUAUCGAAGAUCCUGAACUUUGAUUGCUGAACCAGUCAGGAAUUUCGCUUCCAGGUAAAACAAUUAGGGAUCCCCUCAGUUCAGAAAGUUUCUGUGAAAUGACAUUUAAAAAAAAAAAUUGUAAAAUGAAAACCAUGAUUUCAGAUAUAACAAAGAGGGACAGAGUAAACAAGAGAGGGAAUUUGAUACCUCGUUGAUUGCCUUUUCAUAGCCCAGUCUCAGUGAUGCAAUUGCCACAUGCCGAAUUCUUAGUUGUGAAUCUGCCAAAAUCUUGUUGUUUGCUUUUCCAUUCAGUUUCAAGCAGUUAGUAAACCCAAAAUAAAUUGGUUGUGACUCCAGAAGUCCGGUUGCCCAUUGACGAAGGUCAGGAGAGGGUUUCGAUAGCUUUUCUAGUACGGAUGCAUCUAGUUCUUGCAGACAUGACGGAAUCUCUGGCAAAGAUUGAAGCCGGUUGCAGUUCGUUGCAUCUAGUUCUUGUAGACACAAUGGAAGUUCUGGUAAUGACCGAAGCAUGUUACAACCCGUCAAGUGAAGAUAUUUUAGACACAAUGGAAGUGCUGGUAAUGACUGAAGCAUGUUACAACGCCUCAAGUCAAGAGAACACAGCCGCGACAGUUGCUUGAUACUUGCAGGUAAACUCUCAAAGUUAUUUCCACGUAGAUCCAAGCUUUUCAGUGAGGAUAGAUAGGCAAUCUCUUGUGGAAUUUCCAUUACAGCACAGUUCAUUAUGUAUAGAAGUCCCAAAGAAGAUAAACCUAAUAAUAAUGAUCGAGGCAAUGAUACCAAACCUUUGCAGCGAGAGAAAUCAAGAAUUAAAAGUGCGUUUGAAUCUGCAACAGAGGAUGGUAGUUGACUAAUAGCUGAUCCAGCUGCUGAGAUGUGACGCAAAGAUUCUAAAUUGCCAAUGUUAUCCGGCAACUUAUCAAGUUUAGAGCAAUCACUUACGAACAAUUCUUCAAGCCCCGGUAGAUUUUCAAAUGACGAUGGCAGCUCUGUAAUUGCCGUCCCGUCUAAAUUGAUGCGUUUUAAAUGUUCCAUUUUCUCCAAGAUUUCUGGGAAGCGCUCAAGGUUCAAGCAGCCAUUAACAAAAAGAUCAACCAAAGAUCUCAAUUUACAAAACCUAGUUGAAAUCCUCUUCAGCCGUUUGCAAUCCCUCAAAUCCAACACUUCAAGAUCAGUUAGGCACUCUAUUGAUGAUGGAACUUCUUCUAUUGCAGACUGGUCUAAGUAUAGCCGUGUAAUUUUCCCAGAAAUCUGUGGAAACUCUAUGAGAGUAACACAAUAGGAGAAAUUAAUAGUUACUGGACAAACAAAAUGAAGAUUGCUUGGAAAAGACCUAAGACUUUUGCAGCCCUCAAAAGACAGCGCACUGAGAUACUUGAAAUUCUGGAUAGAUGAGGGAACACAAGCCUUUUCUCCUUCCCAAGGUUGCUCAACUUUACUAAAACGCAAAUUCAGUUCAACAAGGUUCUUUGGCUUGAAAUUUGAUGGCAGUAUCCUUAAUGGAUAUGUGUCCCAAUGAAGAUAUCUCAAUUUUUCAGGAAGAUAUUCUAGGCCAUUUGGAAGCUGCACUUCAGAGUAUGAAAGUUGCUCUUCAAUGCUCAUACUUAGAAACCUUUCAAUCUCAUAAAACUUACUUGGAAACCUUUCAAUCUCAUAAAACUUAGGUACAUAAAAUUUGAGCAAUCUCAGAUUAGACAUAUUUGUGAAGGCUCCGGGGUCUAAAUUGAUGCAUUUUAUUUUGGACAAAUCCAGAAAUAUGCCUUCAAUUGCAUCGGUCCCCUUAUAAAAAAAAAAAAACAAAGAAUGAGUAAGCCAAAAAUAAAAAAGCAACAUGCGUAAACUUUAUUAACUAAGAGCUCCUUAAACAAAAACAAAUUCUGCAAUCUUUGAUUUUAUUUUUUUAAUAUAUUAAAUAUCUAUAUGCGAGAAAAGAAAAUUUUGGGGACCAUUGCAAAAUUAAACUAACCGAAAAAAAAUUCAAAAUUUCUCUAAUUUACAAUCCUAUUAUCUUAAUAUCUAGAAGUUGAGAAGAGAGUGCCUAUUUGAUUGGUAUAAGAUUUCGAAAUUUUUUUUUUUUAGUCGAUAGAAUCCAAAAUGUUAGUUCAAAAUUAGGGAAAAAAAUAAAAGUCAUUUUUUUUCCACUAGUUAAAACUGUAUCCAAGUCAAAUUAAGAUACGACCCUUUUUAAAAAGAUUUAACCAUCUUACAGCCUCCUUAAGGUACAUUUAAGCUAAAAGGAGUAAUUUGAGGCAGAACUAGGUGGUCCAAUCAGUCCAUUUUAUUAGUGUCUGUUGCUUAAAAAAUUUAUACUCUAAAACACACUUUUUUGGAAAAAAAAAUAUAAUUACAUUGAAGUAGAAUCAGGUGGGCCAAUCCUCAUGGCACUCACUUUAUUUUGACACUCUUCACUAAAUUUGAAGAAAAAUAAAAUUAUACUCUUCACACUCUUAUUCAACAUUCCAAAAUUGAUAAAAUCUGGAGUUUUCUUUAAAAAUUUAAAAUUUGAAGACUUGUUCUCUUGACACCCUCAGUCAUUAAUUUUACCUAAUUAUGGUUUUUAUGAUUUUGGUUGUUUUGUUCAUAAAAAUGAUUUUACUAAAGGAUGCUCUGGUAAUAAUAAAAUUUAUAAAAAAAAAUGGGUGUGCUGGUAUGAUUGGAAAAAUAUGAGUGCAUAACUCCAAACAAAUAAAAGAUAUAUAAAAUAAAUGGAGGAUUCUUACCUUUUUAUGCUUGAGUACGCGGCGGAUUUCCUUAGGAUCCCACAACCUGCUGCGUUUGCCAGGCUCUUUCUCAGAUUCUUGGCGAACAAUCUGUCGCCCCAUUUCUUGCAAUAAAUCAUGCAUUUGCAAGCAAUUACCUGAUAUUGAUAUGAGUGACUUAUCAAUAAGGACAUCCAGUCCAUCAGACUCAGAAUCAUCAAGAAUCCUUGCCACAAAAUCUUUAUCCUCUCCCUCAAAGAAACACGCAAUAUCUAGAAACAAACUCUUCACCCUAGGAAUUAAUUCAUUAAAACUAAUCUUUAAUAUUUCAUAAAUAUUAUGAAUAUCAGAUUCACAAAUCCGAUUUAAGUCGUGCAAUACAUUUUCCCAAUGGCUUUUCCUCUUGAGGCACAGGGAGGAACCCAACACUUUAAGAACUAAGGGAUUGCCUUUGGCAUACUCUACAACCCUCCGUGAGUGCCAGUUGAGAUUUGUAGGACAAUGAUUUUCUUUAAAAGCGAAGUUACAAAAAUGCUCGAAAGCCUCUUCAAAUUCCAAUCCAUUAACCCUAUGUAUUUUCUUCUCCUCCCCUCUAAAUUUUUCGAGGACUCCUUUAUCCCUGGUGGUUACAACAAUUCUACUUCCUGGACCAAAUUGAUCAAGCUCUCCAAUCAGACCCUCUAAUUGUCCAACUUCAUUCACAUCAUCGAGUACUAUCAACACCUUCAUACGCCAGACCCUCUCUUUAGUAAAAUGUGGAAUAUUGGCACCAGCUACUUCAAGUUUUUCGCUUAAUAUUGUGGAAAGCAUUUCCUUUUGGAGAUGUUCUAAUCCACCUCCUGUUUCAGAAUUUCUCCUAACAUCUGACAUAAAGCAGCUACCAUCAAACUCACCAGUGAAUUGAUCGAAAAUAGCUUCAGCAAGGGUGGUUUUGCCUAUACCGCCCAUGCCCCAAAUUCCAACAAUUUGGACAGUAUCCGACAAAUCCAUACACAAAAAUGGUUUAAUCUGCUCAAUUCGUGAAUUUAAUCCAACUAGGCCAUUGGAUGAGUCCGUUGCGACUGUUAUUUUUUCCAAAUUCUUCAAAACAUCUUCGACAAUUUUGUUUACAAGUUCCGCAUCGUGCCUAAUAUAAAGGUGCAAAGAUGCAAAAACAUUGAGUCAAAUCGGGCCAAGACAGAAACAGAGAUAAGAUGAAUUAGGAAAGAGAGUUACCUGAAUUUCGUGGAUUCGUGGCCAGCAAGACCGGAUGUUUCUCUCAGUGCAUCCCUCCACCUCUGAACCAUUUCUGGCUUCUCUUCGAAGUGUUGUUUCAGCUGAUCAAAACCGUGCUUAAAAAUUCCAGUUUGAUGCCGCACAUCGGAUGGACUUACUCCAUAGAAAACCGGAAUAAUGAUUUGGCGGUUUGUGUGCUUGCAUUCAAGAAUCUUGACAAGUUCAUUCAGGCACCAUUUUGAAGAACCGUAGUCCUUUGAGAAAAUGACCACCGAAAUUUUUGAACCUUGGAUUGCGUUCAAAAGGGCAUCUGAAAUCUCAUCUCCUCGCCUAAGCUUUUCAUCAUCCAUAAAUGUUUUGAUUUUCUUUUUGUCAUACAAAUCAUCAUAGAGAUGGCAAGUAAAGAUCCUACGAGUGUCCUCCCCUCUAAAAUUGAGGAAGACUUCAUAAAUGCAAGAAGAAGAAGAAGAAGAAGAAGCAGCCAUGAAGGAAAUUUUAGAAAAUUGGUGACAGAAACAGAGAAUUAAUCUUGAGAGUUGAGAGAGGAGAUGUAAGAAUGAACAUGUGUGAAGAUUCUUGCAAGCACACAGAAAAUAAUUGAAUGGCUGGAGCUUUCUUAGUUUCCUGGAAAUUUCCUGGAGCUUUCAUAUACAUGAUUUGUCAAGUCAAGAAACAUAAUCAUGAUAAUGGGGCAGACCAGGAAGAAAAGAAAACUUGAUUCAACCAAUAAAGGAAGGAAAAGCAAAGAAAGAAAAUUUGAAAGUAGAUUCAGAGAAUUAUAAAAAGCUAAAGGAAAUUGGAAUUUUGUACAAUUUCUCCAGCGAAAAUUAAGCAUAGAAUAAUCCUAAAAUUUAAACUCUAAUAUCUUAUAAUGUAUUGAUUAAAAAUAAUCCUAAGAGUUCCCAAUUGAAACUUUCAUAAGUAUUUUAAUUGUUUUGGAUAAACAAAUUGUACUAGGAUAAAAAUUUGGCAAAUUCAGAGGAUAAUGGAAAAUAGUUAUGCUUCAAUAGGCCAAAGAUUAGAGAACAAACAAGAAUUAGUUAUUGAUACACAAAAGAGAAACACUCCAAAAUUUCAAGCAAAAAUAGUUUCAUAUACCAUUUCGAUUUUGGAAGGGGUGAGGUUUUGAACUUCAAUAGUUUCCUCUAAAAUUAAAAGGCAGCAAUUAAACUAGAAAGAGCAAUGAAGACUUAUUGGUACUUUAUUGAAGGUAAACAUUAUGAAACUUUCAAUGUCAUUACCUCAUUGUUCAAUUUUUAUUGAGAUUUGUGUAAGCAUUUAGCUAAAUCUUACCUCCGCCUUUAAAUUCAUUAGUUUUGAUUAAUUAUGAGACCUGGGAGAUAUUAUAAUCGAACUAAAACUUAAAAUUUCAAUAUCAUUAUUCUUUAAAAAGAAAUUGAGAUUUCAGAGUAAUAUCACAUAGAAAAACUUGCCCACGGACGGUAAGCCAAAAGUCUAGUCAACCACACGCAUAAAGCUAACUAGAACAAGAGAACAGAGAAACGCGUGGGUCCCUAAAAGAAAAGGCGUGGGUCCCAAAAGUCUAGUCAACCAUACCGAUGAAAAUCACUGAUUAAGAAUAAUAUAUUAUGUGGUUGAAGAUUUCUUUUUAUCAAUCUUCUUUCUACCCAUUAAUUUUCCCACGACUUUCCGGUUUCAUUUCUUGAAUCUCCAUGGAUUAACUUUCAAUAAACCAUAAAAUAAACUAAGGAAUCAUUUUCUCGAACACAGCUAUGAUUUUAAUAAAUGGGCGGACCAUCUAGAAUAGUAUAUAUAAUUCUGUUUAAUUAAUAAGUUGAAAAAACCAUAAAGAGAAAUUCUAAUAUUAUGAGCUUGACACGAAUUCUUCACUAAUUCCAAAACAAGGAGCUGUUUUAUAAGAACUGUGGUUGGAUUAUUAAGUUUUACAAUUUGAAUAUAAAUAAGAAAAUAAAAUCAGUCGCGUCGAUGUUUUCGAUACAUUUCGAUGCUAACUUAAUUAAUUACUUUACUUCAACUUUAUUUCCUGACGGACACUAUAUGGUGGGUCCAAGAUGGGACCUACAAUAAUCAAUCCUAGAAUUUAGUAUGGUUACCAAAUAGCUAGUGUUAUUUUGUGUUUGGUGGAAGAGAUUGAAUAUUUAGUUUUAACAUAACCAUUCAACUAAUUAGAAAAUAAAUAAAGUUAAAUGAAAUGUUUAGAUAUCAAUUUAAAUAUUAAUAUCCGGGAUAUAAAUUAGUUAUAAUAUAGUUCAUUACAUAAAAUUGAUUAAAUUAAUAAUUACACAUGAACAUAGAUGUAUAUGCUUUCCAAUUUCCAAAGUGCUCAAAGCACUUUUCUCACCAAACUUUCCUCUGAAUUUCCCGUAGCUGACUCCAUUGUUUGCGUUUUGUGAAAUUUCUAGGAACUUUUUCUAUUUAGAAUAUUGUACAUUUUUCUUUUCAGCUGAGAUUAAUUUAACUUAUAGAAAAUCUUAUCCUUUUUUUAAUAUUAUUUAAAUAAAAUUUGUCUAUCUUUCAUUUUAUCAGUCUACUUUUUACCCAUUAAUUAAGACUUUUCGAUUUCUUUUUUUCCUGAGGUUUUCAGUGACUAUCUUUCAAUAAACCAUAAAAAUUAAUGAGUCAUUUAUCGAACAAUUAGAUGACCAUAUUUCAAAAUAUCAACUAGAAGUUGCCCUGAAAUAUUUAAUUAAUAGUUGAAGAAUUGUGAUUAGUGUGGGCAUCUACAUAAAAAUUAUAUUAAAACACCGCUAAAAGAUAAAAAUAAAAUAAAAUAGUACAAACAUACACCCAUAGGUUAAAACAAAGAAAAAACACGAACCAAUACACUAAAAUGUUUUAGCUGUAGUUAGUUUUCAGUUUCAUUACUUAAGUCCCACGUGCAUGUCACGUGACUGAGGUCAAAAAAUGAUUGUCAGAUUAAAGUUCAAAGUACGGAGCAGGGUAAUUAAGGAGUGGAGCUAUUGGCACCCCUCCAUUAUUCUUACAAAACCCCACUUUAAAUCAAAUUAUAAUUAAGAAUAAUUGAAAAUUAAACACUUAUAGAUUUCUUUACAACAUGUUUAGUGAUAAAAAAGCACCAGUCGGGCAUGUCCCCAUUUCUUACCCGGGGCCGAAUCUCCUCGGCCGAAUGGUAUGAGUAGACUCUUGGUGAUGUGUUCUAUGUGGAGCACGUAAAACAGACCAGGAACUAGUACCAACCAGAAACGAGUACUGAUCAGAAACAAGCAUGACCAGAAACGCAUACCGACUAGAGACUUGUGGGUCCCUAAAAGAAAAGGCAAGCACAUAAACGAAAAAGCCAUUACAUUUCUAUUUUACAUGUCAUUCCUAAUUUUUGUAACACGGUGUGGCAGCAUAUGCACAAUCAAAUGAGGCAAAAGGGAUUCGACUAUCGUGGCAGAACAUGGACGAGGAUGCGUGAUGAAUAAUUCCUUCGAUAAAACGAAAAACAAAUGCAGAGAAAAGAAUUUCUUAUAUGACAAGAAAUUAAAGUAAUGUGACGGAACAUGAUGAAGAAAUUGCAGAUCGAUCAAUUAUCCCCAUGGACUCCUAUAAAUUCAACCAAAAUAACAAUUCCAAUAUUACCAAAUUCUUGAGUUAAAUUUAUUCAAUGCUUUUUUUUUUUAGAGAAAUUUUUUCCAAUGCUACUUUCCCUUUUUUGGGGAAAUUAGAACUGCGGCAUGUAUAGAAGACAUUGAGGUAUAAAGCAACAUUAAUUUCAUGGGUUAUGCGUUAUACGCAUAAUAUAUUGUCAGUCCAAAUUCAACUAUACAAAGAGGCUUGAGAACUUAAAAUUAAGCACAAACUAAACAGACGAAGUAAAUACAUGAUUAUGCAACAUAACAUUAAUUCUCUUAAUUUAUAACUGUUUUUGCCACAUGAAUCUUGCACAGUUAAUCCUAAUUGAAGACUAAAAAAGAACAAUUGGAACAAGGUUUUGAAAUAGAAUGAUAUACAAUCGAUAUGAUCCAUUUCCAGUCGUCAACGCUAAUUAACUGCAGUUUCUAGACUCCUAAUUAUACUAGCCAUAAGAAACUGUUUAGAAAACUGGUGAUCAGAUUAGAUUUUGAAAAGAAAUAAUUUUCAUUUUCCCUUCGCUACCUUUUUUUUUUAAUUAUUUUUAUACCAAAGAAUUCUAUCAUGAAAAGAAUCAAUUUAAUCACCUUUUCCAGCAGCACAAUUUUUCUUUUAUAAAAUUUGACCACAGAGACAAAGAAGAAUUAUUCAUACCUUCAUCAGUAAGGAAAUACUUUUCAUUAUGGCUAGGGUGAGAAAAGGCUUUCCACAACACUUGUACUUUGUAUUCCUGUAAAUUUUCUUUAAAGUCAAUAAAAACCAUAAGUUCUUUACAAUAACCAUCUCUUUGAUAAAAAAGUGCCGUAUUCCUUUAGAAUUUAAAACCGGAAAAAUUGAAUCAGUGUCUUUGAAGAGACAUAAUGGUCGUAAUUCUUUAAAUGAGUUGGCUAUGGAAAUCCUUAUCCAAGAUUCUUUUACGCCAUAUUCUUUCGUAAACCAAAAUUCAUUUUGGAAUACUCUGUUGAGAAUGUCAAAUAAAACGGCAUUGAAGGAAGUUUUCAAAGGCAGAAUCCGCACUUGUCAAAGGGAUGAUCUGCACUUGUCAAAGACACGAUCCGCGUCGAAUGAAUCGACACAUUUCCUUUCGUAUUCGCAUAUGUAAUCUUUGAAAAAAUGUAGCUUCUGCAUCUAUAAAUAACGCUUAGUGUAUAAUGUUUUAUUCAAGAAAAGAAAACAAGUUUCUUCAUACUCGUCGUCCGAACAUACAGAGACCGUCUCUUAUAACUUCAGCCGAAUACUUAUGAUGAUGAUCAUUUGUGAUUUCAUCAGGCAAAGGGUUGAUGGUGAAAAAAUUUGUAUGUGUGAAGAAUUGAGCUGUGGAUAUAGGGGACUUAAGUGUAAUCGAAAGAGAGUUAUUAGGCCAUAGUGCAGAUUGCAUUCAGUUUAUGAGUCGAUAUGCAAAUAAUUUGUUGACGUGGCGAAAUUUGUUAUGGUCGUUACUAUUGUUUCUGGAAAUUUUCUAGAAACCUCAGCAUAAAAGGGGCUUUUGCAUAGCCUCUGGUGUGCGUGUGAUUUCUCUUUCGUUUCCUCAUCAAAUUCUGUAAUUCUUGCUUUGAUAAAAAGCUUGUAAUCUCUUCUGUAAUGUGUGAUCAGUGCGUAAUCAUUUUGAGCAAUAAGAGCUUGUGGGUUUUUCCUUCAAACAGUGUCGUUUUGGUCAGUUUGUUAGUUUGAUCUGUUGGUGGAAUUUUCUUUGGUUAUUUGUUCUCAAAUUUCAACCGUAUAUAAAGUUUGAACUCUAAUGGCUUAUAAUGUAUUGAUUAAGAAUAAUCCUAAGAGUUCCCGAUUGAAAUUUUUAAUGACUAUUUUUAUUGUUUUGGAUAUACAAAUUGCAUUAAGAAAAAAUAUUGUCAAAUUCAGAGGAUAACGGGAAAUAAUUAUGCUUCAAAAGGCCAGAGAUUAGAGAACAAAGAAGCAUUCAUUACUGAUAAACAAAAGAGAAACACUCCAAAAUUGCAAGCAAACUAGUUUCAUAUACUAUUUGGAUUUUGGAAGGGGUGAAGUUUUGAACUUCAGUUGUUCCUCUAAAAUCAAAAGCAUCAAUUAAGCGUUCUCAAUUAGAAAUAGCAAAGAAGACUUAUUGGUACCUUACUGAAGUUAACAUUGUGGCACGGUUGUUCAUAUGUAAUGGCUGCUCUGUUAUGCUAGCUUCUCUGUUUUUGCUUACAGUUUUGAACAUAAAUUCUUGCUCAAAUAACCCAUAAUUAAAUAACACUAAUAUGGCUCGUGAAGUCCCAUAAUAGCUAAUUACGCAACUUUCUCCUCCUCCUCAAUUAUGUCUUCCCCUGCUCGGACACUAACUUCAAAAUUCAAUGCCCCGAAAAACAACACAAGAAAUCUUUGAGUUAGUUCGUGACCAGUUUAUAUAUAGUAGCAAUUGAAAAAAGAAAAAGAAGAAAAAAGUUAAUUAUUAUUCAGACCUUCACUUAUUAGGAAGUUUGUUCUGCUAUUGGGUGAGAUCAAGCUCUCAGCAUAUACUUCCACAUGAUACUUUCUAACAUUUUCUUGAAAGCCAUCAAUCAUAAAAUCUUCAUACUUUUUUCCAUCCUUUGGAUCAAUAAGUACAAUUUUUUCAUCUAAAACAGACAAAAUAAAAUCACUGUCCUUCAUGGAACACAAUGGCUGCAAUGCCUGAACUGAAUUGGCUAAUGAAAUUUGAGUCCAGGAUUCUCUCAGCCCAUAUUCUUUCAUAAUCCAAAAUUCUUUUCUUUCUCGACAUGGAACAUAGUCUUCUUUUCUUUCUCGACACAUGUCUCUGUACUUUUCUCUCUCUACUGAUCCACACUUUUUCAUACUUCUAACUAUCAUUUUGUUUUUUUUUUUUUUUGAGUUGUGAUUUAUUCAAUUAUUUUGUAUUUUUAAUGACAAUUGUUUAAUAUUUAGUUAGUUUUGAUAUUGAUUAGUGAUUGAAAGUGUAUUUUAGAAGACUUCCGGUCUCUUGAAAAAAGGAAAAAUGGAGAAGAAGAAGAAGUGUUCUUGAUUUUUUUGUAGGCAUUAAAGUUAAACGGUUUGAAAUGAUAUUUUGUUUUUAUUUCACUCAUUAAUCUCAUUCAGGAUAAAAUUAUAAAUGCAAAUAAAUGGGGUUUCAUAAGUAUUUUUAAUAGUGUUAAAAGGUCUACUCACUAAAUAAACAUGUUUUACCCAAACCAAUCCGAUUAAUAAGUUAUUAGGUUGGGUUGAUCAGGUUAAAAAUCAAAAUUAAAAAUUAAAUAAAUAAAAGGCAUAAAAACUAUCUGUUACUUGAAAAUAAAAAGAAUUUCUAAUAGUUAGUUCUAAUGUCCCAUAUCCAAAACAUGCAUAUUGUGAGGUUUGCUGGUGAAUCAAACUCAUCAGAACCAAAUGAUGACGUUUUGGCAAUUGAAGGAGCACUUAAAAGACACGUGAAACGCACGUCUGUUGUCACUUAAGAUUAAAGCUUGAAACGGCAGUUCAACCAUGUCGUUUAAAGGAAGCUUAGAAGUGAUGCACGUGACAGAUGUGUGAAGCAGCUCAUCUCAGUUCGUUAAGUUUGUUAUGCUACGUGUAAGCAAUCAGUUCGAUCUGGGUUUAGCUGGUUAGUUGCUCUGUUAGUUAUAAGAGCAGGCUGAUGAAACGAUUUGGGUUAAGCUUGUGAAUUCAUAUCAGAGAGAGAGAGAUUUCAGUGAAAGGGUUAAGAGUUCUCUGAAAUCUUGUAAACCAUUCUCUGUAAGAAAGAUCCUCCAUUGUUGAAUAAUAAAAGCUCUGCAGAAAACUUUUCCUGUGGAUGUAGAUUGUACCAAUUUGGUACAACUGAACCACGUAAUUGAUUCUUGUGUUGUCUGUGAUUUGUUUGUUUCUUGAUUCUCUAUUCUUUCUAGUUCUUGGGUACAUUGUUUUCACUUGGCUAGAUUCAUUCCUCAAUCUGUGCAUCUUGUAUAGUUCUUUAUCAAAGGUCCUGGGAAGUGUUUUAUUUGUCUUGCAUGUUAUAUAGCAAAUUAAAACACUACACAUAUUAAAUAAUAUAUUAUAAGUUAGAAAUACAAUAUCUAAAGAAAGAAUUAAUGAAAUAACAUAUUCUUGUUGAGAAUUAAGAGUGUGAUUUUAAUUUUGAUAUUGGAGUCUAAAGCAAUAGAUAGUACAAUGAAAUCAUGAAUGCUACGUUUAAAUAAUCUCUUUUAUAAAAUAAUAAAAAGAGGUUAAAAAUUAGGUUAACAUUUAGGGUUUAGCAGUUAAGGAUGAAUAUAUUAUUAUUGUUGUUGUUGUUAUUAUUAUAAUAAUAAUUAUUAUAAUAAUAAUUAUUAUUUAUAUGUUAAUUAAUUCAAUCCAACUUAAUUAUUAAUGAAUUUGAAAAAAUUGACCCAAUUAAUCCACAAUAAUUCAUUCAACUCGUCUAAAUUAGAUUAAGUUGAACUUAAUUUGCUACCCCACAUUGAGCAACAAACCUCAACGUCAUUCUACGAGCUCUUUGAUUGUUUAUAAAAUUGAUUUAGAGUACAUAAAGUGUAUCGACAAUGAAAGUGCAAAACAAAUUAUUGUACAUAUUAAAAUGUGCAAAAACAAUGAAUUAUAUGUACAAACGAGUGCAAACACAUUUUUCAAUAAGAAGUUGGAAGAUAUUUAUGCAUGAAAAAGCCUACGUUUGUAGUUAUUCUAAAUUUUAAAAACAAAAUUUACAUUUAGAUUCCUAAAAUUUACAUAUAAGUAUAAAAGUUUCAAAUAUUGUCUAUUAUUUUUUUAACAUGCCUAUUCCUUGUGGAUAAUUUUGUCUCAUCACUAAUGUUGUUUCUUGCUUACAAAAACCAAAAGCCACCUCCUUUUUGCAAUUUUUAUAGCGUCUCAAAAUAGACAAUAGGGGGAUUUUGAAUUUUUUAAGUCUCAAUAUAGUCUCUAAUCUUGUGAGAAAUAUUUUCUUUCAAUAAUUUGGAGGUAAACAUAACAUAACUUUUUGGACUAAAGCCUAACUCUGCUAAUAAGUAAUUGGUGGUAUCCUUUUCAAGACUUGAGUCUUUAGAUUCGAGUUUUAUAUAGUGUGCAUGUGUAUUUAAUUAAUAUUUUUUUUCAAAAAAAAUUACAUCAAAUACUAAUAUUCAUGACAUAAUUUAGUUCAUAAUUUUUUUAAAUACAUCGAAAAAUAUAAUUUUUUAACAACUUAAAGGCAUGACAAAUUUCAAGAUAUAAAUAUCAGUCAAAAUAAGUGAAAGAAAUAAUGGUGUCAAUUCUAAUUUCUUAACUAAAUUAAUUACUGCAUGAGCCCCGAAUAUGACACGAGAGUUUGAUGGGCUAACUUGGCACAAGAACGUGAAUAGUUAACUCAUUUAAGAAAUAAUUCAACAAAAAAUAUAAUUGAUAAGAAUGCAAUAUUGAAAUGAAUUUUUUACGAAACAUUGAAUUAAUGAUUAUUAAGCAAGAACAAUAAAAAAAUAAAAUAAAAAUAAAGAUUAACCAUUGAUAAGCUUCAACAAGAACUUAACACAACCCUCAAUCCUAAUUCAAAUUAUAAAUGUCAUUCAUAUAUUCAUUAUAAAUCAAUAACAAAGGUUAUAAAUGUUUAGAAAUUCUAGAGGGAAGGAAGCUAUCGCCGGGGAAUCAACAACUAAAAUUGAUGUAAUUGUGGCACGAGAUGGAAUAUGGAAACUACACCAUAAUUUUAAAUGCCGCCAUAGACAUUGACUUAUCUACAAUAACAAUGAUCUAAUUAAAAUAAAAAUAGAGUUUAUGGGCAUUUAUUAUUUUGACAUUCCUCAUUUGCAAAUAGGGAUACAAUUAUAAUUUAUUUAGUCAAAGCAAACAGUAAUUUUCUUCAUUAUAGGAGUGAAGUAAAAACAUUUAGAUUUUAAUGUAUGUAAGGAAAAAUUUAUCUUUAAAAAUACUUUCUUAAUGUGUGUAUGCAUAUUGAAAUACUCAAACCAAUUUUGGUUAUAUAUAAUUAAACAAAUUUUAAAAUAUGAAAAAUAUAAUGUAGUUAUAGUGGAUAAACAAUAAGUGAGCACAAUAUAAUUAAUCAAAUAUUGUGCUAUCAAAAGUUAAUUUUAGAAAUUCCAAAUCCAAUAGCUAACACAAUUCUUUAAAGAAAAAAAAAAGGUUGACACAAUUAAUAAAAUUAGCGACAUGAAUUUCACGCCAUUGAUAAUCAGCAAUUAGUAUUACUUUCUAAACUUGCUUCAACUGGUCGUUGAUGUCCGGGUCACCAAAAGUAUAAGCGAUAAUAAGGGGCAUUGGGCAAGAGUGAUGAAUGUUUAGUGGGUGCAUUUGAUUGAUAGAUAUAUAAAGGGCCGAAACUUGAGAUUAUAUUACUUUUACAAAUUUUAAUCCAAUCACAUAUUUAAUGAAAACAAAAUGAGUUAGGAUACUUUAUUUAAAAUACACAUUUUAAUAAGGCUUCAUUUAAUUAAAUAAAAUUAUAAAAGUAAAAUAUAUUUUAGAUAUUUUAAUAUUUAAGAAAAAAUUUUCAAUCUUUACUUUCAGAAGCUCAAAUUUUUAAUUUUUAGUUGUAGAGACAAAAUAUCUUAUUUAAUGUUUAAAAGUUCUGCUAAAAACAAUCAAAUAACUACAAAAAUUUUAAUAAGAGCAUAUAAAAUUAAAUAAGCAUUUAUUAAUAAUCACUUUAGUGUACUUAUCUAAUAACAAUAAGUGUUUAUUUAAUCUAAUAAGUUUUUAUUUAAUCUAAUGAGCUCUUUUUAAUUUUUUUUUAGUAGAGCUUUUGAAAAUUAAAUAAACUAUUUUGUCUCUAUUAAGAAAAACUUAAAAUUUAGGUUUUUGUAAGUAAAUGUUUAAAUUUUUUUUAAAAAUAUUAAAAUAUUAAAAUAUCUUUUCUUUAUUUCAUAAUCUUAUUUCAUUCUUCACAACAUAACUUUAAAUAACUUACCUAUUAAAAUAAUUUCACAAUUUCUAAUAAAAACUCCGAUUAACAAUCAAGCAAUAAUUUUUUUUUUUUUUUUGUAAAAAUUCUAUUUGUAAAAACUCUAAUAAUAAAAAUUCUACUUAAAUAAAUUUUAUUUGAAAAGGUAUACUAAACGAACCUAAGAUAAAAACAAAAAUUUUUAGAUCCAGACAAUUAAGCUUAAAACAAUUUCAAAUGAAUUUUAGACUAAUCAAAGUACAAUACGUACCAAGUUUGGUAAUUUAUUGACAUCUUCUUAUAUACCUUCGAUCAAGUCGAUUCUCACUUGACGACUAAUUGGUAGUUUGGUACAUCACCGUUGUUCCCUAUACUCGCAUGCAUCCGAUCACAAAUCUCACUCCAAUUGUUGUCUUUCUUCGGCGUUUUAGCGCAUCCUUCUUGAAUUUCUCGCAUUUCGUUCCCUUACAAGUCUCCGGUCAGGUCAGUUCACUUGACGAUUAAUUCGGCAAAUCUUGAAUCUCUUCUCUAUCCCUCUCGUUUUCUCGUGUCUCCUUUCAGUUAAAGCGAUUGAAUCAAUUUUAUCGCAGUCUAAGAGAAAUUAAGUAAUGCUCUUGGAUUUAAAAUUUUUUUGCUUUCGACUUUAGAUCUCGAAAGUCAAACUCUUCUACGAAUCCAUAGAUUCUCAAUGUUUAUAAUCUUAUUUGUGUUUGACCAGGUAACUGGAUCGUGAAAUUCGUCGUUUUGUAUCAAUUCAAGCUUUCGCGAGCUCAUGGAAUCACCUGGUGAGUUGUGGUGAAACGUUACCGUUUCAAUUUUCGCUUAAUUCUUUAUUGCAUAUUUUUUUCUCUAAUAUUUCAGUUUAAUUAGAAAAGAAAGAGGACCCAAAAAGAGAGAGAGAGAGAGAGACUCUACCAUACUCAAUUCCUUGCUCAUUCUGAUUUGGCCUGAAUGUUGGCAUUGACUAUUAUUUGUUUUCAUUUCGAUUUAAUUCUCAUUUAGACAGUCUUUACUAACGGUCAAUAAUAGUUUAAGGAAAAUGAUAAUAGGGAUUCUGCAAUAAUCUUUCUGCAUUGUUCAAGUUAGUAGACAAUGAAUAGGAUGUUUACGUUUACCUCAUUUUGAACCCCGAGGGCUUAGUUGAGUAGUUGAUUGAUUCAAUCUUGCAAUGUGUUCCCACAAGGUUUUGAGUUUGAUUCCUAAUUAUGUGGACCUUAGUUUCGAAUUUGAGUUUGUUAGGUGGGUUGAUGGGGUUUUUGGGUAUUAAAAAGGGAGAAGAAAAAAGUUGCUUGCUUCAUUUUGUACAAACCUGUUGACUUUUUAUUUUUUUCUUUUUAUUUUUGUACUAUUUUGUUUUACAGUUGGUGGUUCAAGACAGACAUCUGUUAUUGUUGUAACUUUGGAUACUGGUGAAGUAUAUAUUGUAACCAGCUUGUAUUCUAGGACUGACACUCAAGUGAUAUAUAUUGAUCCAACUACUGGUGCACUUCGCUACCAUGGGAAAUGGGGCUAUGAUGUUUUUGGAUCUGAAAAUGAAGCAGUAGAUUACAUAACAAAUGGAUCACGAUGGAUGUGCAAGAGUACAACUUUUGCCAAGGCGAUAUUGGGUUAUACUGCCCUGGGAAGCUUUGGGCUGCUUCUUGUUGCCACAAGGUUAACUGCCAGCAUUCCAAAUCUUCCUGGUGGAGGAACUGUAUGCACGGUUACAGAGAGCCAAUGGAUCAAAAUUCCACUUCAAAAUCCUCAACCCCAGGGUAAAGGAGAAGUAAAGAAUGUUCAAGAGUUGCCUGAUCUUGACAUUGAUGGGAAGCACUACUUUUGUGAGACAAGAGAUAUCACUCGACCUUUCCCCAGCCGCAUGCCUUUGCAAAAUCCUGACGAGGAAUUUGUUUGGAAUGAAUGGCUUUCGAUGCCUUUUAAAAGCAUUGGUUUACCUCAGCAUUGUGUCAUUCUUCUGCAGGUUUUGCUUCAUACUCGGUAUCUUCAAAAUUUAUGCUCAUUAAACUUCUUUCAUUCCCCACCCUCUCACUAUCCCUCCACCUAAUUUUGUUUCCAAAAGUUUGUUUGAUAGUCUAUUGCCACUAUAUGUAAAUGUAUCAUUUCCAUUCUGAGCAUGAUAUUUUAUUCAUCAUCACUUGUUAUUCUAAUCUUUAGAUGAAAGAAUAUUUCGUAUUAACAUUUUUCAUGGGCCAGUACCUAUUUUAUGGUCCAUUGUAGAUACUAAAAUGACCAACUUUAUUUCUUGGUCAUAAAAAGUUGCGACAGAAAUUUUAAACAUGUGAAUAUUUAAAUCUGAUAAUUCAUUAAAGAUUUCAACCUAAUAGAUUGAAAACUUAGAUUCAUUCCAUGAAUGAAAGAUAAUAAAGCAUCAGCCGAUGGAAUAUGGGAAAUAGAAACACUUUCCCUUCUAUUAAGAAGAGCCUGCUUCAGAUGAUCCUCAUUUUCUUCAUCCACAGGCCAACCUAGAACAUACCACACCAAGGUAAGAAAGAAAAGGGGUAGCAGGAUUGCCUAGUUUGACAAUUAGCAAAGCCCCAAAUGUUCCUCUUUUACUUUUCUUUUAGAAAGGUAGACAUGUUUGACAGAUUUGGGACAUUGCAUCAUCCCUUUCUGCUGCACAUGGUUGCAAUGUUUUACUUCUCACGUGAAAGCCUAGAAAUCCCAAUCCAAUAAUAAAAGGCCAUUUUAGAGUCAAUGUACAAAAACUUCCUUCCUUGUCUCUAUAUCCUCUUUUACAAUCCAUUCUUAGUUGAAUUGAGAUUAUGCUACAGCUGCUUCUUCAAGUUAACAUUGUUAUGCAAUUCAAUGGUGAUUUACGUGUGUACUUGUCCUAAGCAUGUGAUUUGAAAAUAAUAUGUUAAUAUUGUUUUCACUGGAUAUUAAUGUAUAGGGAUUUGCAGAAUGUCGAAAUUUUGGAAGAUCAGGUCAGCUAGAAGGGGUUGUUGCUCUUAUAGCUCGUCGUAGUAGGCUGCAUCCUGGUACUCGAUACUUGGCUAGGGGGAUUAAUUCUUGUUUUAGUACAGGUAAGAUAAUCUUUAACAUCUCCAGACCUGGAAAUUACAUUUUUGUUGUUGAGAUUCACUUGGUUCUUCUAUACAAUCAAAAAAAUUAAGGAUUUAGUUUUUUUUUUUUUUAAACGGAAUUUUCUUUUCCUUUCAGUACUCUUUGCAUUCUGUGUAUGCUGUUUAUUCUGAUUGUCAUUGAUCUCAUGCCUUUACAAGGAAACAGGUAAUAGUUUCAGUGGUAAAUUCAAGUGGAAUUGGUUUUGAUUCUGUUGUUUAGAAAGAUGGAUUGUAGAACUACAGAACAUUAAUCGUGCCACCUCAUGGCUCAUGCAUGCUUUUGGAGUAUUCUUUACCUGUAGAAUUUUUGUUUUUGUAGUUGACUUGGAAUAUAACUUUACCAUUUUUUUCAAAUAAUAAGAAUCAAUGAGUCUCAUCAAUAUUAAUCAAUAAUGAGCUAAAGAUAUAUAACUUGUGUCUCAGAACUAUAUAUGAUAUGCUUGUGAAGGUGUAUUAUUUUAAGUAGAGAUACCAAAUGCUACAGGGAGAAGCAAAAAAGAACAUUCUCCAGUGAAAACCUUCUGACAGAUUACAUUUUUGGGAUAAAAAAGAAACAUUGAGAUCAUCAGCCACACUUUUUCUUCUUGUACUGUUUAAUUAGUUUAGAGGCCUUUUAGUUGGUUUUGCUUGCCUGGAGGUGUCAUACAGUUCACUUUUUGAAUACCCUGGUUUUCUACAGAUUAGAACUUGGUUUCCUUUCACUCCACAGCUUUUGCUUUCCUACAUCACGUCCUUUGGGAUAAUUGAAUAAUGAAUGAAUGAAAACAAUCAAAUAAUUUCUGACAAUUAGUUAAUAACUUUUAUUUUGUAUGACCCUUUUGAUAUGUGUGGUCCUUUAAUUUACGGUUGAAAUAUAAAUAUGAAAAAAGUCUGCCAAUUAGUUUUACAAAUGACUUUUGUGCCAUAGAAUAUAUAUAUUUUUUUUUUGCCGAAAAACAAAACAAAUUCAUAAACAACAUUGUAUUUCACCAAUUAACAGUGCAAGUGUCAUUAUAGUUUCCACAUAUUAGUUCUGUUUUCGUUAGUUUCAUUUUCAUUCUGUUAUGUAACUGAUGUUUCAUUGCUAUAAAAUUAAUUGUCUGUUUCUCUUCACAACUGUUAUUUUGAAUGAUUUUUUCUGAAUUUUAUAAAGAAUUUGUAUAUGACAGGAAAUGAAGCAGAGUGCGAGCAACUUGUAUGGAUUCCUAAAAGGUCUGGUCAGAGUGUUCCUUUCAAUGCAUACAUCUGGCGGCGAGGGACUAUUCCAAUAUGGUGGGGUGCAGAAUUAAAGCUUACUGCUGCUGAAGCAGAAAUUUAUGUUGCAGAUCGGGAUCCUUAUAAAGGAAGUCUGAAGUAUUAUCAGAGGUUGAGUAAUCGAUAUGAUGCUCGAAACUUUGACUUAGCUGUUGGGGAAAAUCAGAAGAAAAAGCCUUUUAUUCCAAUUGUAUGCAUUAACUUGCUUAGGAAUGCGGAAGGGAAAUCAGAAUCUAUUUUAGUUCAGCAUUUUGAGGAAUCUUUGAACUAUGUCAGAUCAACUGGAAAACUUCCUUAUACUCGAAUAAUUUUAAUAAAUUAUGACUGGCAUGCCAGUACAAAAUUAAAAGGUGAACAACUUACAAUUGAAGGAUUAUGGAAGCAUCUAAAAGCACCCACUCAGGCCGUAGGCAUUUCUGAAGGGGACUAUUUGCCAUCACGGCAACGACUUAAUGAUUGCCGAGGUGAAGUCAUCUGCAAUGGUGACUUUGUGGGUGCCUUUUGCUUAAGAUCCCAUCAGAAUGGAGUGAUACGCUUUAACUGUGCAGACUCUCUUGAUCGGACCAAUGCUGCUAGUUAUUUUGGUGCUCUGCAAGUAUUUGUGGAGCAAUGUAGGCGGCUUGGGUUCUCCCUUGACAGUGAUUUUGCAUAUGGCUAUCAGUCAGCUAAUAACUAUGGUGGAUAUACUGCUCCUUUGCCACGAGGAUGGGAGAAACGAGCUGAUGCAGUGACAGGAAAAACAUAUUAUAUCGAUCACAACACUAGGACCACAACAUGGAUUCAUCCAUGCCCAGACAAACCUUGGAAGAGAUUUGAUAUGACAUUUGAGGAGUUCAAGCAAUCAACAAUUUUAUCACCAGUGUCUCAGCUAGCAGAUCUUUUUCUGCUUUCUGGUGAUAUCCAUGCAACCCUUUAUACUGGUUCAAAAGCAAUGCAUAGCCAAAUUCUUAAUAUAUUCAAUGAAGAACCAGGAAAGUUCAAACAAUUUUCUGCAGCACAAAAUAUGAAAAUUACCCUGCAGAGAAGAUACAAAAAUGCAGUUGUCGAUAGCUCUCGUCAGAAACAGCUGGAGAUGUUUCUUGGAUUGAGGCUUUUCAAGCAUCUUCCAUCUGUUUCAGUUCAACCUCUACAUGUAUGAUACUGUAGAACUUCAGAUUACCUAUUCAUACAAUCUGAGUUCAAUGAUUAUCAAUUUUCAUGAGGGAUGGAGACAAUAUUACACUAGCUACUUGUUUCUAACCUAAGCAUCCCUAACUUCUGCACAUAAAUAAAUGAUGCGCAAAGCAUACCAUAGCUAUAUCAAUGCCCAUUUCCUGUUUGAUGUUGACCAAUAAUGUUUGGAAGUUAGCUAUUGCAUGGUAAGAUGAUUUGAAGCUUCAUUUAAAGCUUCUAAGCCAGAGCUUCUAAGUCAUCUGGCUUAGAGAAUUUAAAUGUCCUCCAAAAGUCUGGAAUCACUGUUGCAUCUCAGCCUGAUUGAUAUUUGUUAUUGUUAACUUGGAAAUAUUUUGUUAAUCUUUCGGAUUGAACAACGUCGUGCUAUGAUCAUUAUUCAAGAAAUGACCUCAAGAACUUGUUGCAGUUGAGUGAUUUUUUGGUAAUGAUGAAAAUUAUUCAUGUUUAGGAACAGCUCUUUAGGGGAAAAGCAUAUAUGGGCUGGCUGGCCCUUUUUGGUGUAUUUGAUGAACCAUUUCAUAUCAUGCUGGUAACUGCAGGUUCUUUCUCGACCAUCUGGUUUCUUUCUCAAGCCAGUUCCCAACAUGUUCCCAAGUUCUGAUGGUGGAGCUAGUCUUCUAAGCUUCAAAAGAAAAGACAUGAUCUGGGUAUGGGUUGCAGCUAAACUUAGUCCUUUGUAGCAUUCCUAAUUCUCUGAUUGUCUUUUCUUUGUAGCAUUCUUAAUUCUCUGAUUGUCUUUUCUGUCCUUAAUGGAAUUCAUGCAUUUUUGGUUCUUUAGGUAUGUCCACAAGGCACAGAUGUGGUUGAACUUUUCAUCUACCUUGGUGAACCUUGUCAUGUCUGUCAGCUUCUUCUCACCAUAUCCCAUGGUGCAGAUGAUUCAACAUAUCCAGCAACAGUUGAUGUGAGAACAGGACGCCACUUAGAUGGGCUUAAACUGAUUUUGGAGGUUUGUAUUGGUUCUAUUGUACACCUUGCUUACAAAUUUUUUAUUUUUAAUUUUUAAUUUUGUAUGAUAUGCUCUUUGUUGGUAAAUUUCAUUUGACUUAGAAGAGAUAGUUUUAUCCCAACAGUGGGAUACAUCAUUGAGAUGCAUGGCAGAGUGAAUAUAGUAGACAAAAUCAUUGAGACCCAUGGUGGUGUGAACAUAGUAAACUUUGUCAAACACAGCUAAGAUGAGCAAAUUGUUUCAUUAGCCUUUAUCUUAUCUGCUGUGAUGAUUCAAAUUAAUGCUGUUUGGUAGGUUGCAAAAAAACGAAAUGAGCUGACUGUUCGUAUUAUUUAGUCAGAUCUCUAGCAAUAAGUUGAAGUUCAUUGUCACAUGGGUUGGGAGUAUCGUGGGCUGUGAGUAGUAGAAUGGAUUUAUGGAGUUGAUACAAGUGCCCACAAUCUCUCAUGUCAUUCUAGGAUUAAAUGGAUUGCACAUUACUGUAAAAAUGGAGGUUAAAUUUAUAUAAUUCGGAUUGAUUGUAAAAUGGAAGACAGAGAUGAGUUAGAAAAAGAAUGACCCGUGUCCUUUUUGAGCUGUUUCUAAAUGUCCCUGGUGUGCCUCAUGCUUAACACGUGCCUUUCCAAAUAAUUUUGCUUAACCUGUGCUUGUCUACUUCUUGUGCUAUUCUGUGCCUGGUCCUGAGCUGUAUUGGUAGAUUGACAUCCAGCUUGAACUUUUAGGUAUAUCUUUUGUACAUAAAUUCUGAAUACCCAUGGACUUAGCGUGAUAUAAAGUCAAGGAUCCAUUUAGCUGAGUCCUUCAAGUUUUGUUAGUAUGUCUUCGGAUUAUAAAUAUGUAACAAAAUGAGGUGUAGAAUACAUUUAAAAAGAAAAGGAUAAAAAAACAAAAGAAAUGAAAAGAGGUGUUUAGAAGUAAUAGCUAAACUAGAUACACUCUCACUAAUUAGCGAUUCUGAUGAACAGUGCCCAUAGCUUCUUUUAUACCUUGAAGUUGCAGAAAUUGAUUCUUGGUGAAUUAAGUCACUUACAGACAUAACUUUUUCUUCCAUCUAAUUUUUAUUAGGUUAGAUAGGAGAAGACUUGUUUCAGGGUGUCCUGACCCUAGUAUUAGUUUUCUUGUCAGAUUUUUCAUGAAAAUUUACAAUGCACGUGACAUACAACUUCUAGUAAUCCUAGGACUUUGUUCACAGGGUGCUUCUAUUCCUCGUUGUGGAAAUGGGACAAACCUUUUGAUACCUUUACCAGGAUCAGUUAGUGCUGAGGAUAUGGCUAUUACUGGAGCUGGUGCACGACUUCAUGAUCAAGAUGCACCAACCCUUCCACUGUUGUAUGAUUUUGAAGAAUUAGAGGGAGAAUUGGAUUUUCUUACUCGUUUUGUGGCAGUUACCUUUUAUCCUGCUAUUUCUGGAACAAGUUCCAUGACUCUUGGUGAGGUAGAAAAUAUUUUCAUAAAAUGUUAAUUGAUUUAUCUACGCACUUUAUUCUUAAAUUAGUAUUUUAGACCAUGAGCUUUGUGGAGUGGGUUUGCUGUAACUGCUGCUGGUGACAACAUAAUUGUUAAUAUUAUUACAGAUAGAGAUUCUUGGAGUUUCUCUUCCAUGGAGGGGGGUAUUCAAUAAUGAAGGCCCUGGUGCUAGAUUAAUUGAGCUUGGCAAAAAGUUUCAGAAGGAAACCGAUCCAUUUUUGUCAAAUUCAGUUACAAAUACGGUUCUGUUUUCCAAUGAAAAUGUGUCAACAUCAAUGCAAACAGAAGCUGCUUCCAAUCCUUGGGUUGACCUGUUGUCUGGAGGGGACACAUUUUCUGAUCCUCUUUCAGAGCCGUUUUCUAACCCUCUUUCUGAGCCGUUCUCUGAUCCUCUUUCUGAGUCGUUCUCUGAUCCUCUUUCUGAGCCAGUGACAAGAAAUGUUGCAUCUGGAGGGGCUGAUUUGCUUGAUUUCUUGGACCAGCCUAUAGUUGAAGAUCAUGGUGUGGAAACUUAUAAAAGAUCUUCAACACAGGAUGGCUGUUCUCUGGCUAGUGGUGCCCAGCAGUACAUAAGCUGUCUAAAAUCCCUUGCAGGGCCACGCGAGGUAUAGUACUGCUCUCUUGUGUUUUUUGCAGCUCUACAUCUUAGUAACCUCAUCUUUUUAAUGGAGUAAAUUCUAGAAGUUCAACAAAUUUUGCUUUGCUAAAUGUAUAACUUAUUAAUCAGAGUCCUGUUAUUAUGGUUUGACACUACUGACAUAUUGUGUUGGUAAUUUAUUUGUACGUCCCUUGGUUGAAUUAUUUGCUGUCUCCAUGCCAUUCGAUAUGGUGCUACUUGGUUUUUGAUCAUCCAUGACACUAUAUAUAUAUAUAUGUAAAGGAUGAAUUGAUUGUUUUGGCUUGUAUUCUCACAUUUUAUGAUUGAUCGAUGGAAAGGUCUUCCUGUAUUAAAUUCAACCUCACAAGCAUAAGAUUGACAAAUUCUGGGCAAAUUUUCAGGAAAAGAAACUAGACUUCAUGGAAGCAAUGAAGCUUGAAAUUGAACGUCUGCAGCUGAAUCUUUCUGCAGCUGAAAGGGAUAGAGCUUUAUUGUCAAUUGGAACUGAUCCUGCCUCUAUAAAUCCAAAUGUAUUGCUUGAUGAAUCUUACAUGGGAAGACUGUGUCGAGUAGCAAACACUCUUGCAUUACUUGGCCAAGCUUCCCUAGAAGACAAAAUUGUUGGUGCAAUUGGCCUUGAGAAUAGUGAUGAUAGUGUUUUAGACUUCUGGAAUAUUACUAGAAUCGGAGAGAGUUGUUCUGGUGGUGGGUGCGAGGUUCGUGCCGAAACUAAGGUGCCUGCUCUUGCUUCCUCAACUGCAACAUCUGUUGGAUCUUCACAAUCCCCUUUGUUGUGUUCUCAAUGUGAAAGAAAAGUUUGCAAAGUUUGUUGUGCAGGAAGAGGAGCUCUACUGUUUUCAAAUUAUAAAUCAAGGGAUGUGACCAACUACAAUGGCUUCUCAAGUCAGAGUGGAUCAAGCCAUGGAAGCCAAGUUGAUGUAUCUACCAGUCGUUCACUAACACUGGAUGGCGUUAUCUGUAAACACUGCUGCCAUGAGAUUGUGCUUGAUGCAUUGAUGUUGGACUAUGUUAGGGUCUUGAUUAGCUUGCGAAGAAGUUCCCGUGCAGACAACGCAGCAUACAAUGCUUUGAAUGAGGUUGUUGGAUCCUGCUUAAAGGAUAGUCUUUCUGAGAGGAUUCAGUCUUCCGAUAACGUGCAAGCAGCUGAAGUCCUUCACCAAUUAUGUGGUGGACAGGAAGCACUUGCUGAAUUUCCAUUUGCUAGCUUUUUGCACUCGGUAUGUUCUUGGUUUGUAUUCAGUUCUCAUCAUAUUAUGUUUUCCUUUUAAAUUUCUUUUCUUGAUUAAAAUUUUUAGAAAUAUGUUUUAGCAUUUAUUCUUAUGAUAUAUGCCCAGAACAUUCAUCCCACUUAUCCAUGAGAAUCCUUGUCUGGUUUGAUUUUCAAUUGAGACAUUUUUGGGAACCCUGAGCAGGUUCCAUAUGCUAAUAAUCUUUGAGGUAAGGUGUUGUAGGAUGCCUUGAGAAGCUAAAAACCUAUUACAAGUAAAAGCUCUUGCAUUGUUUUGUGCAAUCUGUGUGCGAGCAAGUCAUGUCUCUAAUAAUUUCAUAGUUUGCUUGAUUGGAAUUUUUUAUCUUGAUAUGGAUUGUUUAUUCUAGAUUCCUUGGUGCCACUGUAGGUUGAAACAGCAAAAGAUUCAGCACCGAUUUUGUCACUGCUUGCUCCAUUAAAUUCUGGAUCAAGGCACUCAUAUUGGAGAGCUCCACCUAGUAUUACUUCUGUUGAAUUUGUUAUUGUUCUCGGUUCUGUUUCUGAUGUCAGUGGGGUUAUCUUGCUUGUUAGUCCUUGCGGCUAUUCUGUGGCUGACACUCCGAUGGUAAGUGCCAUAUUUAUUCCCUUAUUUCCUUGUUGUUCAAUAAAUUUGGUGAUAAGCCAAGUGGCCUUAAUAAUGAAGCCCAGUACCAGGGGUGGUGGGUAAUAGAUAUUCAACUUGUGAAUAUUCCUAAGCAAACACUGAAUCAACAUAUACCUCGGCAAAAGUUCUCUAUGCUAUGAUAAUGGAAGUCAUAUUUUGAAAUGAUUAAAAGAGUCCCUGUGUAGUGCCAUUUCCAACGAAAUUGCAGCUGGGGGUUUAGUUUCAUGUAGGUUAGUUUCCGAUAAUAAACUUUCCAUUUCAUUAAUUGCUGAUGAAAAAACCAAGUAAGAACAGUUUUGUUGCUCAUCAUUUUUGUAUAUUUUGGUAAACUGUAAUUUUAAAUUCUCAACGAUCUUCCCUUUGUAGGUAAGAAGAUGGUCCACUCACUUGAUAUUUAUGAUUGUAGAUCAGGUUUCUAUUGGUUUGCCUUUAUCAUUUGGAACCCAUGUUUGAUAUUAACAGAGAUCACAUCAAUAAUAUCCUAUUUGGGUAGAUGUGGGUGAGGAUUUAAAAUCAAAUUUGAAAUUGAGGGGAAAGAAGAGAAAAGGAACCACAAUAAUUAAACAAAAUAAUAGGAACUAUUCUGAUGAGUUUUAAUCUCGAGAGGAACAAUUUUCAAAUGCACUGCUAGAGAAAUUGUAGCUUUUUGUCAUUAGUUAAAAGGAAAAAGAAUAAGAACUAUCCGGCCCUUUCCUUCAUGAAUGUGUGUUGAGGUUGCUGUAUUAUUUAGUCAGUAUUUGUAAUUUUCUUCCCUGCAGUGCUCUCUGCCUCCUGAAUUUGCUUCCUAUUGCUGUUACAGGUGCAAAUCUGGGCAAGCAAUAAGAUACACCGGGAGGAAAGGUCAUCAAUGGGAAAAUGGGAUGUCCAAUCCCUCACCACAUCUUCUUCAGAUUUGUAUGGUCCAGAAAAGUCUGCUAGUGUUGAAAAAUUACCUAGGCAUGUAAAAUUUACGUUUAAGAAUCCUGUUAGGUGCCGCAUUAUUUGGAUCACAUUACGUCUUCAGAGACCUGGUUCGGCUUCAGUUAAUUUCGGGAAGGACCUCAGUCUUUUGUCUCUUGAUGAAGAUGAAAACCCCUUUGCACAAGUAGACAGACGUGCUUCAUUUGGAGGAGCAGUUGAAAAUGAACCAUGUAUUCAUGCCAAAAGAAUUCUUGUAGUCGGAAGCCCAGUAAAAAGGGAGGGGCUUACCACAUCACAGAGCUCUGAGCAGCUAAGUAUUAGAAACUGGUUGGAUAGAGCUCCACAAAUGAGUAGAUUCAAGGUAUUAGUUGCUUUCACUCUUUGUUCAUUCAUAAUUCCAGCUUUCUGCUUCACUGAUAAACCUCUUUUUUCUCUUCAGGUCCCAAUUGAGGCCGAGAGAUUGAUGGACUACGAUCUCGUCUUGGAACAGUAUCUACCUCCAGUGUCACCUUCACUUGCUGGAUUCCGUCUAGACGCUUUCAGUGCAAUAAAACCUAGGGUUACCCAUUCACCUUCCUCAGAUUCAGAUAUCUGGGACAAAUCAGUAACAUUUUUAGAAGAUAGGUACAUCUCUCAAGCUGUGUUGUAUUUACAAGUAUCCGCACUCCAGGAACCACAUAACAUGGUAACUAUUGCGGAAUAUCGACUGCCGGAGGCUAGAGCCGGAACGCCAAUGUACUUUGAUUUCCCACGACCGAUACAGUCCCGACGAGUUUCAUUCAAGCUUCUUGGAGAUGUUACAGCAUUUGCAGAUGAACCUUCAGAACAAGAUGAUUCAGGAUUGAGAGCUCUACUUGUGGCCACAGGUUUGUCUUUGUCAAACAGAAUCAAGUUAUAUUAUUAUUGUGAUCCUUAUGAGCUCGGAAAAUGGGCAAGCCUUUCUGGAGUUUGAUCAUUAUUUAUAUGUCAGAGAAAGAGUUUUGGGUUUGAUUUUGAUUUUGAUUUGCAUUUUUUGUCAGUUUAUUGAAAUUUUUUCGUGGUAUAAAAUCAGAAUGUAAAGGUAUAAAAAUUCAUUGAUGCUGCAAUGUCUGCUUUUGAGAAAGAAGAAUUCAACGUCUUUUCUAUGCCAUUGUAUUUUCCACUGCUUGUAAACUUGGGCUGUCGAAUGCUCUGUGAACCUUAAGGGCUAAAGUAAUUUUCAAGACUGAAGGAUUUAUUAAUCGAGUUCAAAAGAUUGCAAGUUGGUGAGCGUUGGCAUUUAAAAAUCAAUUGUUAUUCUCUCAAUAAUCUCUCUCUUCUGCCGACACCCCAAGCUCAGAAACCCGUUGUUCCGACGGACGUGUAACACUUCUAGAAAUUAGCAUUUUCUUCUACAUGAAGGUUGGUCUCUCCUCGUGAAGUGUUUUCUUUUUUGAGUGAAGGUGGUUUUCUACUUACAUAUGUCGAGGGUCUUACGAUAUCUAAUGUGUGAAAUUUCUCUCUCAUUUUACCAUAAAGAAAAUGUUUGUAAUGAUCUGAAGCUUGAGUCUUAAAUUAUCUUAAAUUUAUAUUUAGGGUGGAGCUAUUGGCAUCCCUACAUUAUUCUUACAAAAUUCCACUUUAAAUAAAAUUACAAUUAAGAACAAUUAAAAAUUAAACACUUAUAAUUUUUUGUACAGCAAAUUACUUAAUUUAUAAUCAAUUCUUUUAAAAUAUAUAUAUAUAUUUGUUACUUCUUAUCUAACUAAAAUAAAUUGUACAAAUUUAGAAUAAUCUAUUGUUCUUUUUUGAUUUCUUAUUGAUUUAAUAUUUUUAUACUUAAAAUUACUUUGAAAUUAUAAUUUGAAAUAUGUGUUAUUUUAGCCAAUAAUUAACACUUAAAAACUUAUCACCCAUAUAACUUUUUAAUUUGUGUGUAGGGUAAUAAUAAAAUUGAAAAUAAUUAAAAAUAGCACAAUAAUGAGUUUUAACAAUAAAACAAAUCAAAUGAAUAUUUAAAAUUUUAAAAAGUAUAUCUAGAAAAAGAGGUAUUUUCGGAAAUAGUUUGCAUAUAACUAAAAAAAAGUUUUAUGAGGAGAUCAGAUGGGUGCCAAUAGUCCACCUCGUAAUUAAGAAUCUCCCAUUAUAUUGUGAACCAAAAAGACACUUGCAUAAGAAGAAGAAUUUUUCUGUUUGAUUUUAUUUGUGGAUCCAACAUUUCUCAUAUCUUGAGCGCCUUUCCGUAUCAAAUUAAAAUAGUAGUAGCAAAAUUGUAGUGCACAUUCAAUUAAUCAACUAAUAGUCUAAGAAGCAAAGAGAGGAUUACAAGUUCACAACACCAUUACAAAGGAUUCAAAAUUCCCACACGAAAACAUCAAUGUACAGAUAUAAACAAUCCUAAUUGGACACAAGAAAAACCCUUAAAUGGAUUGCUUGCCUUCCCAAUGCUACAUACCCUGCAAACUGCUUACUGGCCAAGAAAAUGUUUUCAAUUUAGUGUAUUUUCAAAAUGCUUAUUUUCUCAUAAUAUUAAAAAAAUAAAAUAAAAAAGAAUUCUUACAUGUUUCAUCAGCAUGAUUAAAAUCAAAGAAGAAAGAGAGACAUAAUGUCUCUGACAUAAUAAAAUUAUAAAAAUUUCAAGAAAAAAAAAGGUUAAAACAUGUAAGGUGGAUGAUUGAAAACAAUUGUAUGAUGGUAACCAUCAUCUUAAACAAAUAAAAUAAGGUAUGUUCAAAAGUAAUAAGGAAUACAUAGACAAAACAUCAUCUUAAACAAAUCAUAAUCUAGAAUUGGAGCAUUUUCGACAUACCUAAGGAGAAAGAAUACGUGAAAAUAGGUGAUUCAUUUGUUAAGGAGUGUUGAUUUGGUCGUCUCUGCAAAUUCUUUAGGGACUCGGUUCCAGUUCCUCUUCAUCAAAACUGUAAUAUAAUUCCCCUUCAUCAGAACUCGAAUCAAAUUCACUUGCAGCAGUUCCACUCGCGCUUGGCAAAUCAUCCAAUUUCCAAACUUCGGUACCAAAAUUGAGAGUAAAAGUGUUGGCUUUGAUCUCGCUGCGAUUUGCAUAUACCGGACAUACUCCGUAACGUUUUAUCUUGUGACCCUUUUGGUUUCGGUAACACUCAUUGAAGAACUUAAGUGAGACAGUUGUAUGAUGGUAACCAUCAGGAAAGCCAACAUUCAAGCAAGGUUUAAAACAAAGUAUGACAUGAUCUGAAUCAAGGGAGUAUUUAGAAUAGGUAGAAAAACCCAGAUCAACAUAUUUGGUUUCAGAGAGAGUCUUUAUUUCUAAGUCGGAUUGAAAGAUGACGUACCAAUCGCACUUGCAACGAGAACAAACUUUCUUAGAAUCAAGAACAGCACAAAAAGCAAACCCGAUUAAGUUUCCGCAAAAAGAUUGCGGUGGCAGUUGAAUACAUAUCGAAGAUUCUGAACUUUGAUGGCUGAACCAGUCAGGAAUUUCGCUCCCAGGUAAAACAAUUAGGGAUCCCCAGAGUUCAGAAAGUUUCUGUGAAAUGACAUUUAAAAAAAGAAAAUUGUAAAUUGAAAACCAUGAUUUCAGAUAUAACAAAGAGGGACAGAGUAAACAAGAGAGGGAAUUUGAUACCUCGUUGAUUGCCUUUUCAUAGCCCAAUCUCAGUGAUGCAAUUGCCAUAUGCCGAAUUCUUAGUCGUGAAUCUGCCAAAAUCUUGUUGUUUGCUUUUCCAUCAAGUUUCAAGCAGUUAGUAAACUCAAAACAAAUUGCUGCUGACUCCAGAGAUUGAAUAAGGUCAGGAGAGGGUUUCGAUAACUUUUCGAGUACGGAUGCAUCUAGUUCUUGUAGACAUGACGGAAUCUCUGGCAAAGAUUGAAGCCGCUUGCAGUUCCUUGCUUUUAGUGAUUGUAGACACAAUGGAAGUUCUGGUAAUGACCGAAGCAUGUUACAACCCGUCAAGUCAAGAGAUUCAAGACACAAUGGAAGUUCUGGUAAUGACUGAAGCAUCUUACAACGCUCCAAGUGAAGAGACCUCAGCCGCGACAGUUGCUUGAUACUUGCAGGUAAACUCUCAAAGUUAUUUCCACUUAGAUGCAAGCCUGUCAGUGAGGAUAGACAGGCAAUCUCUUGUGGAAUUUCCAUUACAGCACAGUUCCUUAUAUUUAGACGUCCCAAAGAAGAUAAACCUAAUAAUAAUGAUCGAGGCAAUGAUACCAAACCUUUGCAUCUAGAGAACUCAAGAAUUCUAAGUACGUUUGAAUCUGCAACAGAGGAUGGUAGUUGACUAAUAGCUGAUCCAGCUGCACAGAUGUAACGCAAAGAUUUUAAAUUGCCAAUGUUAUCCGGCAACUUAUCAAGUUUAGAGCAAUCUUCUACGAACAAUACUUCAAGUCCCGGUAGAUUUUCAAAUGACGAUGGCAGCUCUGUAAUUGCCGUAUGGCCUAAAUAGAUGCGUUUUAAAUGUUCCAUUUUCUCCAAGAUUUCUGGGAAACGCUCAAGGUUCACGCAGCCAUUAAGAAAAAGAUCAACCAACGAUCUCAAUUUACAAAACCCAGUUGAAAUCAUCUUCAGCCGUUUGCAAUCCCUCAAAUCCAACACUAUAAGAUCAGUUAGGCACUCUAUUGAUGAUGGAACUUCUUCUAUUGCAGACUGGAUUAAGUAUAGCCGUGUAAUUUUCCCAGAAAUCUGUGGAAACUCUACGAGAUUAACACAAUAGGAGAAAUUAAUAGUUACUGGACAAACAAAAUGAAGAUUGGUUGGAAAAGACCUAAGACUUUUGCAGCCCAUAAAAUCCAACCUACUGAGAUACUUGAAAUUCUGGAUAGAUGAGGGAACACAAGCCUUUUCUCCUUCCCAAAGUUGCUCAACUUUACUUAAACGCAAAUUCAGUUGAACGAGGUUCUUUGGCUUGAAAUUUGAUGGCAGUGUCCUUAAUGGAUAUGUGUCCCAAUGAAGAUAUCUCAAUUUUUUAGGAAGAUAAUCUAGACCAUUUGGAAGCUGCACUUUAGAGUAUGAAAGUUGCUCUUCAAUGAUCAUACUUAGAAACCUUUCAAUCCCAUAAAACUUAGGUACAUAAAAUUUGAGCAAUCUCAUACUAGACAUAUUUGUGAAGGUUCCGGGGUCUAAAUUAAUGCCUUUUAUUUUGGACAAAUCCAGAAAUAUGCCUUCAAUUGCAUCGGUCCCCUUAUUAAAAAAAAAACAAAGAAUGAGUAAUCCUAAAACAGAAAAGAAACAUUCGUAAACUUUAUUAACUAAGAGCUCCUUAAACAAAAACAAAUUCUGCAAUCUUUGAUUUUAUUUUUUUAAUAUAUUAAAUAUCUAUAUGCGAGAAAAGAAAAUUUUGGGGGCCAUUGCAAAAUUAAACUAACCGAAAAAAAAAAUUCAAAAUUUCUCUAAUUUACAAACCUGUUAUCUUAAUAUCUAGAAGUUGAGAAGACAAGGCCUAUUUGAUUGGUAUAAGAUUUCAAUUUUUUUUUUUUUUUUUUUUUUUUUUUGUCGAUAGAAUCCAAAAUGUUAGUUCAAAAUUAGGGAAAAAAAUGAAAGUCAUUUUUUUUUCCACUAGCUGUAAUUGUAUCCAAGUCAAAUUGAGAUACAACCCUUUUUGAAAGAAUUUAACCAUCUUACAACCUCCUUAAGGUACAUUUAAGAUAAAAGGAGUGAUUGGAGGCAGAACUAGGUGGGCCAAUCAGUCCAUUUUAUUAGCGACUGUUGCUUAAAAAAAAUUAUACUCUAAAACACACUUACAUUUUUGAAAAAAUAUAUAAUUAUAUUGAAGUAGAACCAGGUGGGCCAACCCUCAUGGCACUCACUUUGUUCUGACACUUUUCACUAAAUUUGAAGAAAAAUAAAAUUAUACUCUUCACACUCUUAUUCAACAUUCCAAAUUUGAUAAAAUCGGGAGUUUUCUUUAAAAAUUUAAAAUUUGAAGACUUGUUCUCUUGACACCCUCAGUCAUUAAUUUUACCUAAUUAUGGGUUUUAUGAUUUUGGUUGUUUUGUUCAUAAAAAUGCUUUUACUAAAGGAUGUUCUGGUAAUAAUAAAAUUUAUAAAAAAAACAUGGGUGUGCUGGUAUGGUUGGAAAAAUAUGAGUGCAUAACUCCAAACAAAUAAAAGAUAUAUAUAAAAAAAAAUGGAGGAUUCUUACCUUAUUAUGCUUGAGUACGCGGCGGAUUUCCUUAGGAUCCCACAACCUGCUGCGUUUGCCUGGCUCUUUCUCAGAUUCUUGGCGAACAAUCCGUCGCCCCAUUUCUUGCAAUAAAAUCAUGCAUUUGCAAGCAAUUCCCUGAUACUGAUAUGAGUGACUUAUCAAUAAGGACAUUCACGUCAUUCAGUCCAUAAGACUUAGAAUCAUCAAGUAUCCUUAUCACAAAAUCUUUAUCCUCUCCCUCAAAGAAACAAGCAAUAUCUAGAAAUACACUCUUGACAUUGGGCGUUAAUUCAUUAAAACUAAUCUUUAAUAUAUCAUACAUAUUAUGAAUAUCAGAUUCACAAAUCCGAUUUAAGUCGUCCAAUACGUUUCCCCAAUGGCUUUUCCUCUUGAGGGAGGAACCCAACACUUUAAGAACUAAUGGAUUGCCAUCAGCAUACUUUACAACUCUCCGUGACUCACGUUUGAAAUCUUCAGGACAAUGCUUUUCUUUAAAAGCGAAGUUACAAAAAUGCUCGAAAGCCUCAUCAAAUUUCAAUCCAUUAACCCUAUAUAUUUUCUCCACUGGAAACGUCUCGAGGACAUGUUUAUUCCUAGUGGUGAUGACAAUUCUACUUCCUGGACCAUACUGAUCAAGCCCUCCAAUCAAACCCUCUAAUUGUCCAUCUUUACUCACAUCAUCAAGCACAAUCAACACCUUCAUGCGUCGGACCCUCUCUUUAGUAAAUUGUGGAAUAUUGGGACCAUCUACUUUAAGUUUUUCUCUUAAUAUCCUUGAAAGAAUUUGCUUUUGUAGAUCUUCUAAUCCAUCCCCUCGUUCUAUAUUUCUCCUAACAUCUGACAUAAAGCACCUACCUUCAAACUCUCUGGAGAAUUGAUUGAAAAUAGCUGUGGCAAGGGUGGUUUUGCCUAUACCACCCAUGCCCCAAAUUCCAACAAUUUGGACAGUAUCCCACAAAUCCAUGCACAGAAAUGGUUUAAUCUGCUCAAUUCGUGAAUUUAAUCCAACUAGGCCAUUGGAUGAGUCCGUUGAGACUGUUAUUUUUUCCAUCUUCUUCAAAACAUCUUCGACAAUUUUGCUUACAAGUUGCGCAUCAUGCCUAAUAUGAAGGUGCAAAGAUGCAAAAACAUUGAGUCAAAUCGGGCCAACACAGAAACAGAGAUAAGAUGAAUUAGGAAAGAGAGUUACCUGAAUUUCGUGGAUUCGUGGCCAGCUAGAUGGGAUGUUUCUUUCAGUGCAUCCCUCCACUUCUGAACCAUUUCUGGCUUCUCUUUGAACUGUUGUUCGAGCUUAUCAAAACCGUGCCCAAAAAUUCCAGCUUGAUGCCGAACAUCGGACGGACUUACGCUAUAGAAAACUGGAAUAACGAUUUGGCCGUUUGUGUGCUUGCAUUCAAGAAUCUUGACAAGUUCAUUCAGGCACCAUUUUGAAGAAGCGUAGUCCUUUGAGAAAAUGACGACCGAAAUUUUCGAACCUUCGAUUGCGUUCAAAAGAGCAGGUGAAAUCUCAUCUCCUCGCCUAAGCUCUUCAUCAUCAAUAAACGUUUUGAUUUUCGUUCUUUCAUUCAAAUUAUAAUAGAGAUGGCAUGUAAAGCUCACGCGAGUGUCCUCUCCUCUGAAACUGAGGAAUACAUCAUAAUUGCAACAAGAAGAAGAGGAAGCCAUGAAGGAAAUUUUAGAAAUUUGGUGACAGAAACAGAGAAUUAAUCUUGAGAGUUGAGAGGGGAUAUGUAAGAAUGAAAAUGCGUAAAUAGUAAAUGAUUGAAUUAAUCUGGCGAGUAAAUAGUAAAUAAUUGAAUGGCCGGAGCUUUCUUAGUUUCCUGGAAAUUUCCUGGAGCUUUCGUAUACAUGAUUUGUCAAGUCAAGAAACAUAAUCAUGAUAAUGGGGCAGACCAGGAAGGAAAGAAAAUUUGAUCCAACCAAUAAAGGAAGGAAAAGUAAAGAAAGAAAAUUUGAAAGUAGAUUCAGAGAAUUAUAAAAAGCUAAAGGAUAUUGGAAUUUUGUACAAUUUCUCUAUUACAGUUUGGAUUAAGAUUUGAGCAAGCGGCCAAAACUACAUUGCGUCAGGGCUUUGGUGCCACACUCGUUUGUCUGUUAGUAGCAUUGGAUUUGAUCUGACGGCUGCAGAAGAGACACAAACAUAAAGAGGAGUAACCUGAGGAAAAGGUAAUAAGCCGGUUACCUGCAGAAAAUAAGUGCAUGAUAAAAUAACACAAGUAAUGAACACAAUGGAAGCGUAUAUGCAAGUAAUGGUUGGAAACAACUUGCUGGAAGCGUGCAAGUAUUGGUUGGGCACAGACCGACAUUAAAUUUCGCAAAUAGUGUCUGAAACAUUUGCAAAUACUUAAUUCAAAACGUCAAUAAAUGCUGGAAAAAAUACAUAUUUUUUUAUUUUUUAUUAAGAAUACAUUUAAAAAAAGAAUAAUUAUUAAUGGUACAUAUUUGUAACAAUUAUACCAAAAACAAUUAUCCAUAUAUUUAAAAAAAAUGUUAACAAUACAUAUUUUUUAGAAGUAUACAUAUUAUAUCAUAAAAAAAUUGAGUUGGAGCUUCGACAAGUAGAUCUUAAAAAACUAAGGUUGAAUUUUGGAGGAGCAGAUUCGGUCGUGGAGUAACAUUUGUUUAUUAUUAUUAAUUUAUUUUGGUAGUCCUAGUGAAACAUCGUUGUUUCACAUAGAUGAUGUCGCAGUUUGAUAGACGGGAUGACAUGUGAUUUUUUAUCAAAUAUAUCGGGCCACAUGGCAUUUUUGACUAGGUGAAUGGAGUGACAUGUUAAUUUUUUUUUUUUUUAAUCAAAGGUUCUUCUAUCUUAGAAGACUAGAUUAGCCUUAUGAUGUCAAGACUUGGAAACGACAACUAACUGACUAGUGGAUAGCAGACACAUGUUGUCAACUUAGGGUAUACAAGGAUACAUGUUAAAAGUAUUGUAGUAUAUGUGAUACAAGUGUCAUGGAAGGCUAUAUGAGUGAUAAUUACUCAUUAAACUAUAAGUUGCAAUAAUUUAACACAACAAGUGCCAAUUAAAAUGUAAUAAUUUAAAAAAAAUUAGGUAUUCUCCGUCUGUCUCCCUCUCAAUCAAUGUGUCCUACUUUGAAUGUUAAUAUUUAUUAUCAAACAUAAAAAAAUUCUAAAAUAUUAAAAAAAAAAAACAGAGUCUUCUAGGCACAUAAAUUAGAGUAGUUUCGUGAACAAAGAACUUGAGAAAGAUAAUGGUGGCACUCUCUUAGAAGGAAUCUAUGGGGUUAAUGUUUUCUUCCCUAUGUCUAUUUUAUGUAUCUUAGUUUCAAAAACAAGAUGUACACAAUUAGGGGUUGGUUAAUGCAGUUAAAACGGUGGAAAAAGGCUUAUAGAAAUAAAAUAUAAUUGUAAUGCAGUGUUUGGUAUGAAUAAGUAAACUAAAAAUAAGACAAUUGGGUAUACGAAUUUAUAAUGCGAUAAUAAUAUUUUUUCCCUAAGACGACCCGUAGGGUAAGAUUAUAGACUAAAUUGUUGUGUUAUGUUAAUGAUACGAUAUAAAAGUGUUGUUUUAGAAGCUGUAAAAGUUAGUUAAUGUGAAAUUUGUUUUUAAAGGUAAUUGUCUUGUAACCCCUUGUUUUUAAGGGUAAGAUUAUAGACGCAAUUUGUUUGUUUUGAAAAAAAGUCCCUUAUGUUGAGCUGGACUUUUUUUCGUCUUCACAAGUCCCUUUUGCCGAGCUGGAAUUUUUCUGACAGAGUCUCCGUUUGUUCCCAUAAUAGCGGCGAGAAUCUGGCCGAGCCUCGAUGAUAGCUCGUUGCUACGACACGUGACUGUGUCCAUUGAGUCUCUAUUCGAAAUCCAAAUGUCGACGACAACGGCCGCCUCCACUAACGGUUCUCAAAUCACGCCGUGCGUUGAUGACGUGGCGGUGGCAAUUAACAACAAUAACUUCAACUCGAAGGAGAGAUUCAACGACCGUGAUUUUUUGUUGAAGCAGUCGUAUUCGUUUGGAUUCGAGCGGAGUCUUGCAUCGAAGAGGAUGGUGAUGGAGGCGGUAAUGGCGUUGCCGUGGAAGUACAAGAGGGGGAGUUACUGGAGCAAACAGUCGUCUCCGUUUGGCUCAUUGACGAAGUCUAGAGUCUUCUGGAGCAAAGGAUUAUAUACUUAUCCUCUUUGUUUUCCUUUUACUGAUACUGUAGCUUUAGCCGAUUACCCAUUUUCCAAGUGUUAAACAUGAGCCGUUGUUACCUUUCUUUACUAUCUAAAUGGUCAUUCGCAAAAGGACAAAUGACUAGGGUAUCAAACCCCUUACGCAAUGUAGCUGGACCCUUAGCAAAGCAUUCACCUAAAUCUUACCUCCGCUGUAAAUUCUUAAGUUUUGAAAAUUAUGAGACCUUUAUAUUGGGAGAUAUUAUAAUCAAAUGAAAAGUUAAAAUUUUAAUAUUGUUAAUAAAUGACAAAGCCAUUUCAUUUCUCUUUUACAUGUUAUUAAUUUUUGUAACACGGGGUGGCAACAUAAGCAUAAUCAAGUAAAGCAAAAGGGUUUCAAAUUAUGGUGGUAAAACGUGAAGAAGGAUGCCAACUGAAUAAUUCCUUCCACAAAACGAAAAAUAAUCACAGAAAAAGGAAUCUCUUAUAAAAUGUUUGCGUAUUUUUUAUAAGGUUUGAAACUUUAGGUGGUCGGUAAAUGAUUUCUUAAUUGAAUAAUAUAUAAAAAAGCUAAUUAUUUAUAAUUUUAAAUAAUCUGAAUUUGUAUGUUAGAAAUUUCAUCUCUUUUAUUUUUGAGAAUUUUUCAUAAAGAAUAGAGAACAUAAUGUUAACAUUUAAAGUAACACAUCUCAAUCGUCGAAAUUAUUUUUCUAUUAAAUCCAACGAUAACGAAUUAAUGUCAGAAAAGGACAAAAUUAGUGGUGGCUUGCAAUAAUUGCAAGGUAGCUUUUGUAAAGACAGAAAUGUGAUGGAUUCAAAAAGAAAUUGAAGUGAUAAUGUACGUGGAUCCUUAAAAUAAAAAGCCGAAUCGCUUGGUGGCCCAGUAAAAUUACGAUUUGAAUUUUUUUUUUUUUUUUUUUUACACAAUGUGUCAAGCACAUAAAUGACGAAAGCCAUUUCAUUUCCCUUUCACACGUCAUUAACUUUUGUAACACGGUGUGUUCAUCGUCAAGUGAGGCAAAAGGGUUUCCAUUACAGUGGGAAAACAUGAACAAGAAUGCAUAAUGAAUAAUUCCUUCGAUAAAGCGAAAAUUAAACAUAAAAUAAUCCUAAAAUUUAAACUCUAAUAUCCUUCGAUAAUGUAUUGAUUAAAAAUAAUCCUAAGAGUUUCCAAUUGAAACUUCCGUAAGUAUUUUUAUUGUUUUGGAUAAACAAAUUGCACUAGGAUAAAAAUUUGGUAAAUUCAGAGGAUAAUAGAAAAUAGCUAUGGUUCAAUAGGCCAAAGAUUAGAGAACAAACAAGAAUUAGUUAUUGAUAUACAAAAGAGAAACACUCCAAAAUUUCAAGCAAAAAUAGUUUCAUAUACCAUUUCGAUUUUGGAAGGGGUGAGGUUUUGAAAUUCAAUAGUUUCCUCUAAAAUCAAAAGGCAGCAAUUAAGUUAGAAAGAGCAAAGAAGACUUAUUGGUACCUUAUUGAAGCUGAACAUUAUGGAACUUUCAAUGUCAUUACCUCACUGUUCAAUUUUUAUUGAGAUUUGUGCAAGCAUUUACCUAAAUUUUACCUCCGCCUGUAAAUUCAUAAGUUUUGAAAAUUUUGAGACGUUAUAUUGGGAGAUAUUAUAAUCGAACUAAAACUUAAAAUUUCAAUAUUAUUAUUCUUUGAAAAAAAAAUGAGAUAUCAGAGUAAUAUCACAUAGAAUGGUAAGCCAAAAGUCUAAUCAACCACAUGCAUAAAGCUAACUAGAACAAGUGAACAGAGAAACGCGUGGGUCCCUAAAAGAAAAGGCAAGCACAUAAAGAAAACGGAAAACAAACGCCAGAGAAAAGAAUUUCUUAUAUGCCUUGAUAUUGAUUAAUAUUCAGCGAUAGCUUAAUGCUUACCAUCAAGCAACUUUGAAAGCAGGAAGCUAUAUAUGACAAGAAAUCAAAGUAAUGUGAAGGAACAUGAUGAUGAAAUUGCAGGCCAGCACAAAAACACCCAUACCCCUGAUUUGUUUAAAUGUACACGAAGACCUUAAGGUUUGGUAAAAGAAAAUUGAAUUUAUAUUGUAUUAUAAUACAAUUUUUUUUAAACCAUCAAUGAUAAAAUCUUCUUACUUUUUUCCAUCCUUUGGAUCAAUAAGUACAAAUUUCUCAUCUAAAUCUUCAUACUUUUUACAAAUGACUUUUGUGCCAUAGAUUUUUUUUUUCUUUUUUUGGUUUUGCCGAAAAAACAAAACAAAUUCAUAAACAACAUUGUAUUUCACCAAUUAACAGUGCAAGUGUCAUUAUAGUUUCCACAUUUUAGUUCUGUUUUUUUUAGUUUCAUUUUCUUUCUGUUAUGUAACUGAUGUUUCAUUGCUAUAAAAUUAAUUGUCUGUUUCUCUUCACAACUGUUAUUUUGAAUGAUUUUUUCUGAAUUUUAUAAACAAUUUGUAUAUGACAGGAAAUGAAGCAGAGUGCGAGCAACUUGUAUGGAUUCCUAAAAGGUCUGGUCAGAGUGUUCCUUUCAAUGCAUACAUCUGGCGGCGAGGGACUAUUCCAAUAUGGUGGGGUGCAGAAUUAAAGCUUACUGCUGCUGAAGCAGAAAUUUAUGUUGCAGAUCGGGAUCCUUAUAAAGGAAGUCUGCAGUAUUAUCAGAGGUUGAGUAAUCGAUAUGAUGCUCGAAACUUUGACUUAGCUGUUGGGGAAAAUCAGAAGAAAAAGCCUUUUAUUCCAAUUGUAUGCAUUAACUUGCUUAGGAAUGCGGAAGGGAAAUCAGAAUCUAUUUUAGUUCAGCAUUUUGAGGAAUCUUUGAACUAUGUCAGAUCAACUGGAAAACUUCCUUAUACUCGAAUUAUUUUAAUAAAUUAUGACUGGCAUGCCAGUACAAAAUUAAAAGGUGAACAACUUACAAUUGAAGGAUUAUGGAAGCAUCUAAAAGCACCCACUCAGGCCGUAGGCAUUUCUGAAGGGGACUAUUUGCCAUCACGGCAACGACUUAAUGAUUGCCGAGGUGAAGUCAUCUGCAAUGAUGACUUUGUGGGUGCCUUUUGCUUAAGAUCCCAUCAGAAUGGAGUGAUACGCUUUAACUGUGCAGACUCUCUUGAUCGGACCAAUGCUGCUAGUUAUUUUGGUGCUCUGCAAGUAUUUGUGGAGCAAUGUAGGCGGCUUGGGGUCUCCCUUGACAGUGAUUUUGCAUAUGGCUAUCAGUCAGCUAAUAACUAUGGUGGAUAUACUGCUCCUUUGCCACGAGGAUGGGAGAAACGAGCUGAUGCAGUGACAGGAAAAACAUAUUAUAUCGAUCACAACACUAGGACCACAACAUGGAUUCAUCCAUGCCCAGACAAACCUUGGAAGAGAUUUGAUAUGACAUUUGAGGAGUUCAAGCAUUCAACAAUUUUAUCACCAGUGUCUCAGCUAGCAGAUCUUUUUCUGCUUUCUGGUGAUAUCCAUGCAACCCUUUAUACUGGUUCAAAAGCAAUGCAUAGCCAAAUUCUUAAUAUAUUCAAUGAAGAACCAGGAAAGUUCAAACAAUUUUCUGCAGCACAAAAUAUGAAAAUUACUCUGCAGAGAAGAUACAAAAAUGCAGUUGUCGAUAGCUCUCGUCAGAAACAGCUGGAGAUGUUUCUUGGAUUUAGGCUGUUCAGUUCAUUUUUUUGUGGUAGAAAUGUCGUCAUUUUAAAUUUAGUGUAUUUUCAAAAAGCUUAUUUUCUCAGAAUAUAAAAAAUAAAAAAAUAAAAAAAGAAUUCUUACAUGUUUCAUCAGCAUGAUUAAAAUCGAAGAAGAAAGCGAGACAUAAUGUCUCUGACAUAAUAAAAUUACAAAAAUUUCAAGGAAAAAAAAGAAGUUAAAACAUGUAAUCUUCAGAAGCAUAUAAUAAAAGAGCACUUCCACAAAUUACUACAAUUUCAUGCAGUAGAGAUUGAAGAGUUGAAUUCCACUUAUAGACACCGACCUCUUGUUUUGUCUAAUGUUAAAAUUACAACCUCUUGCUUUGACUUAUUAGCAGGUUUCAAAAGUAAUAAGGAAUACAUAGAUAAAACAUCAUCUUAAACAAAUCACAAUCUAGAAUUAGAGCAUUUUCGACAUACCUAAGGACCACGAAUACGUGAAAACGGGUGACUCAUUU
rnacentral:lncRNA from 1 species